rnacentral:lncRNA from 1 species
UGUUUUUUUAUUUUGUGAAGCUUGAUUGACGAUGUAAGUGCAUCUAGUGCCACCCCUAGUUGGUUUUGGAGUAUUGACGACAAAGUUGGUUGAGGGACUAAUGCGUUUGUGAGAAUAGCAGGAUAACGCAGGAAGUGUCCCUCUAUGAUUCGGUUUACCUACCGGAGAUGACCCCUAAAAAUGUAUGAAGACAUUGACGACAAUGGUGGUAUGAGAAGAUAUUCAUAUUGAAGACUAUGACAUGAGAAGACAUUGCAUGAAGACUAUGGAGCACGAAGACUGUGUGGUUUCGUUGUUUCCUUUUCUUCUUUGUUGAGUCAUAGGAACCACCGUAUUGUUAAGUGGGGUCCAAGUGAACUAAGUCAGAGUGACUGAAGUGAUGCUCAACCCAAAUCCUAUGUCUUCGAGCGAAGACAAUGAGAGCAAAUCUUAUCCAGAGUUGGAUGAGUCAGCUUUGCUUGUAGCCCAAGUAAAGUUGCCGUGUGUGUUUGAAAUCUGACCGUUGGAACACGUGUCAGUUCCUUAGUGACCCAGGGUCAUUUCAGACAAAUCAGGUCGGGUUGCCUAGUGGCUAUAAAUAGCCCACCCCCUACACCAUAAAUUGGUGGCUGCUCAGAGUUAAUAUACAGCUUUUGUCGUUUGAGAGCAACCCACCUCGAAGCAUUUGAGAGAGAGAAAUCCUUGCGAGGACAAAGCCCAAACACCCAGAGCCAAAGAGUGUUAGGCAUCACUGAAGUCUUUCUGUCUGUGUGACCUGAAGACUUAUUACACUUGAGGACUGUGUAUCCUCCAGCCGGUUAGGCAUCGCGUUCUGAGCAUCCAAGAGUCAUUGUGGAUUGCCGGGUGAACGAAGUCUGUGAAGGUUUGGAAGUCUACCUUGAAGACUUACUAGAGUGAUUGGGCGAGGACUAAGUGUCCUUAGCUCAAGGGGAAUAAGGUGAAGACACGGUCUUCUGAGUUGAAUCUCAGCCUCCCUAACCAGACGUACAGUUGUCACAGCAACUGGAACUGGUCCAACAAAUCCUGUGUCUUCAACAAGCAACUGGUUCUAUCUCUUCCCUCCUUUACUUUGAGUUUGUCUUCGUGAAGUCAUUGCUUAUCGUCUUAUCUGAUUGACUUCAUUGCUUGACUACUAUUGUUGAUUGGCUUCAUACUAUCUUCCAUCCUGAUCCUACUACCUAGCUGCUAUUAAUCUUUGAACGUUAAUGCUAUUGCAUACUUGAUUAUGGCUUGCUUGUUGUAGUUUAUCUUCCGCUGCAUAUCAAUUAGGUUGUUUCUAUUGUUUGUCUUUGAAACUUCCAUGUUUUGAAGACUUCCAUAAAAAUCGCCUAUUCACCCCCCUCUAGUCGAUAACUAGCACUUUCAAUUGGUAUCAGAGCAAGGUACUCUCUUGUUCUGUGUGAUUCGGUUUAACCACCUGGAGUUUAGCUAUGUCGACUGCAGGGAUAAUCAAAGUCUCCGCUGCUUGCCCCGUGUUCGAUGGAACAGAAUAUCCCUACUGGAAGAACUUGAAGCCAUUGAUGUCGACCUCUGGUAUGUCGUCAAGAAUGGCGUUCCCAAAACUGGUGAAGGUGUCACCCCUACUGAUGUCAAGAAGUUCAUUCAACUGGACUCGACUGCAAAGAACAUCAUCUGUGGUCAUCUGACCAAAGGACAGUAUGGCCGUGUGAGUGCUCUGGAAACGUCAAAGCUAGUCUAGGACUGGCUGUCCAAGGUCAAUGAAGGCGUCUCUACACAGAGAGACCAGAGGAUCAGUGUUCUUCGCAAUCUCUUCAAUCGCUUCAAGAGAAACGACAAUGAAAAUGUCCAGCUCAUGUUUGAUCGCCUCACCGACAUCACAAAUGAGCUUCAGGCUCUCGCCGCCACUGAGAUCAGCAAGCAUGAAAUUGUCAAGACACUACUGAGAUCACUUGACACCUCCUUUGACACCCUUGCCCUCAUGAUACAAGAACGUCCUGACUUCAAGACACUCGAUCCGUCUGAUAUACUUGAGAGGCUCAACACACAUGAGUUCUAGCUUUCUGAGAAAAGAGAUAUCUAUGGCCCCAACUAUGGCCGAACUCGUGCUUUGAAGGCAAAAGUUAUUUCCUCAUCUGAAGAAGAAGAAUCUGACUGCGGUUCUGACGAUCCUGAAGACAUUGGAAGGGAGCUUGCUAUGCUUGUGAAGAAGUUCCAGAAAUUCACCAAGAAGAAGGGCUUCAGAAAGUCUUCACGAUCCAGUUCAAGAAAUGAUGAAGCUUCCACUCAAGACAACAAGAAGAGAACAUGUUACAAGUGUAAGAAGCCUGGGCACUACAUCUCUGAGUGUCCUCAGUGGGACAAUGAGAAGAAGAAGAAGAAGAGCAAGGAAUAUGACUCCGAUGACAAGAAGAAGAAGAAAUCUUCGAAGUCUUCUUCCAAGUCCUCAUCAAGGUCUUCAUCUCACAAGAAGAGCUCAUCUGGCAAGGCUCGUGCUUUUGUUGGCAAGGAAAUGGAUUCAGAGGAGGAGUCUGCUUCUGAGGAGGCAGAGGGGAAUCUGAAGCUGAGUCCGACUCUGGCGUUGCAAGUCUGGCUCUAGCCACAGCCUACGUCGCACAGUCCAUCUUCAACACUGAAGACAAUGAGUCCCACACCAACGCUGAUGAUGACAAGGACGAUCCUGCUCCCACCUACUGCUUCAUGGCACGCGGUGCCAAGGUAAAAUCGCGCGAUGCUUACUUUCAAACAUCAAGUGAAGAUGACUCUGAUUGUGAAUCUAAACCCAACUACAAAACACUUGCUAAAAUUUCUACUGAACAACAAAGGGCUAUGGAACAUACUCAAAAACUGUUAGACAAAAGCGAUGACCUGUUGGACGCGGAAAUGACACGUUCACAGUCCUUAGUUGAAGACAUAAAAAAUCUUCAUGCUAAGUAUCAAGAACUUGAAAGUCUUCAUGAGACGCUCUCAACCACUUAUGAAAAGCUCUUCUAUGAUUAUCUUCAAAGGAAGCAAGAGCUUGAGAAACUGAAAGUGACUCAUGAAGAUCUUCAAAAAGAGAAUGAGUCAUUUCGCGCUCAACAGAUCAGUCCCGCUCAGGAUGAAUUUGAACCACCAUGCUUAAAAUGCAUUGAGCGUGAUAAUGCUACCUCUAUUGCCGAAUGUUCCACUGUUGCUACUGUUGCUCUGUCUUCAACUACUGAUGUGGUAACUAACCCCUCUUCUGAGGAUACCACUACUAUUUCUGAUGAAAAUGCUAGGUUGAAGACAUUGCUUGAAACAGGGAUGUAUAAAAGUCUGAAAGGGCAUCAGACACUUUGUGAUGUCCUCAAAAAGCAGAUUCUGAACCGAAACCCUAGGAAAGAGGGUGUUGGGUUCGAGAGGAAAAUGAAUGCUGAUGGUUCCUACUGGAAGCCUGAGUAGUAUCCCAAAACCACAUGGGUUGCUGCAAAGGAACCUUCAGUGGAUCCAUCUACUUUAUCUGGAUUUACCUGUGCUAAUCCUAUUAUCAUUGAUGAAUCCUUUGAUGAAAACUAUAAAUUGUUCAAAAAUUAGAAUGGUGAAGUGUUUGCCAGGUAUAUUGGUACUAACUGCAGGAAUGGACCUUCUAUGAAGAAGAUCUGGGUUCCCAAAAGCUGCCUUGAGAAUCUUCCAGUGAAUGUCAUCAUGACACCACCAGGGAAGAAGACAAACCCUAGACCAAAGGUAUCAUAUGGUCCAACGGCUACUUACGAACACAGGACUCACUUGAGUCACCCUAACGCAAAUGUUUUGUGGGGAAAUCAUACUCAGACUCAUGAAUAUGAGUGUGUGUCUUCAAAUCGCUAUGUUCAUAGAACUAAGAAUUUUUCUGCUUAUUCACAUGAGUAUCAUUCAUCUCCUGCAAGGCUAUUUGCUAGGGCUUCAAAGCCGAAAUUCUCAGAUGCUGCACUUAGACUCAUUGCUUCUAAGCCACCCCUAAAAAUGUGGGUGGUGAAAGAAGAAUUAACUCUCUCUUGCAGAAUGUGGUCUCCAGCCAGCAAUCAAUGGCGUCCGAUAUAAUUGCUAGGGACCUAAAACACAAAGGGACGCAUGAUAAAAUAACUUAAUAUGUAUUCCACAUAUGAAUCGCUUACCUGACAUAUUGUGUGCUAACUCUCAUCUAUGCUGUGAUAAUCCAAGUGUGCAUCAAAUGCUUAUGCUUCACAACAUACAUUGUGAAGCCUAUCCCUCUAACUGCACUGUAGGGUACACCAAAAGCUUCAGAAUGGAUUAUUGACAGCGGAUGCACUAAUCAUAUGACUGGCGAUCAAAGUCUUCUCUUGGACUCAACCUUACGUCCAUCCGACAAGAGUCAAAUCACAUUUGCUGACACUGGUAAAGGCAAAGUAUUGGGUCUAGGUAGAGUUGCAAUCUCAAAGGAUCAACACAUGGAUAAAGUGAUGCUUGUUGAAUCCCUUGGAUUCAACUUAAUGUCUGUCUCAAUGCUUUGUGACUUAAAUAUGAUUGUGAUAUUUGGAAAAUAUCGUUGCCUUGUACUAAUGGAAUCUGACAAAUCUCUAGUCUUUGAAGGGUAUAGGAAAGGUGAUCUAUACAUGGUAGAUUUCUCAGCAGGUCCAAAACUUGCCAUAUGUCUUCUUGCUAAAGCUUCAGAAUGCUGGCUCUGGCAUCGAAGGCUGGGGCAUGCAGGCAUGAGGAACUUGCACACUCUCGUCAAGAAUAAGCAUGUCAUAGGCAUCGAAGGUGUCAAGUUCAAGAAAGAUCAUCUGUGUGGUGCCUGCGAAGCUGGAAAGAUGACAAGGGCCAAGCAUCCUUCAAAGACCAUCAUGACAACAUCUCAACCCUUUGAGCUGCUACACAUGGACUCAUUUGGACCUACCCACUACUCCACCCUCACAACAAUGGCGUGUCUCUAUGGCUUCGUCAUUGUUGAUGACUACUCAAGAUACACAUGGGUGCACAUGAUUCUCUACAAGACUGAAGUACAAGAUGUCUUCAGACGAUUCGCCAAUCGAGCAAUGAACAACUAUGGCGUCAAGAUCAAGCAUAUCAGAAGUGAUAAUGGCACUAAAUUCAAGAACACCGGCCUUGAUCUUUAUCUGGAUACAAUGGGAAUCACUCAUGAAUUUUCCGCUCCAUACACACCACAGAAAAAUGGCAUUGUUGAGCGCAAAAACAGAACCCUUAUUGAGGUGGCUCGAACAAUGCUUGACGAGUACAAGACACCAAGAAAGUUCUGGCCUGAAGCCAUUGAUACAGCUUGUCACAUCAUCAACCGUGUCUACAUCCAUAAGCUUCUGGGCAAAACAUCCUAUGAGCUCCUCACUGGCAAGAAGCCAAAUGUCAGCUACUUCAGAGUCUUUGGUGCUAGAUGUUGGAUCAAGGAUCCCCAUCACAAGUCAAAAUUUGAACCCAAAGCUCACGAAGGCUUCAUGCUUGGCUAUGGAAAGGAUUCGCACUCUUACAGAGUCUUCAACCUCUUCCACUACAAAAUCGUUGAAACAGUGGAUGUGCGAUUUGAUGAAACCAAUGGUUCACAAAGAGAAAUUCUGCCAAGUACACUUGAUGAAGCUCCUUCCUUUGAAUCUAUCAAGUUGAUGGGAACUGGUGAGAUCAUGCCCUCUGAAGCACAGCCUGAAGAGGAACUUAUCAUUUCUGCACCAAACCAACCUGAAGACAAUGCUCAGACCGAAGACAAUACUUCCAAUGAUGACAAUGAUCAGCAUGAGCAAGGUCUUCGUCCAGUUCAUCCUCGUGUUGCAAAUGAAGUACAAAUUGAGAAGAUAAUUGACAGCAUCAAUGCGCCUGGUCCGCUUACUCGCUCAAGAGCAACACAGUUAGCAAACUUCUGUGGGCACUUUUCAUUUGUGUCAAUAUCAGAACCCAAGAAAGUUGCUGAAGCUUUUAUGGAACCUGAAUGGAUUCAAGCCAUGCAAGAAGAACUUCAACAGUUCAAGCUGAAUAAUGUUUGGGAACUUGUCAAGCGACCUGACCCUCGCAAGCAUAACAUUAUAGGAACAAAAUGGAUAUAUCGAAACAAGCAAGAUGAGCAUGGUCAAGUCGUCAGAAACAAAGCACAUCUUGUGGCUCAAGGAUAUACUCAAGUUGAAGGAAUUGACUUCGAUGAAACAUUUGCUCCUGUUGCUAGGCUUGAAGCCAUUCGCAUACUGCUAUCCUAUGCAAAUCAUCACAACAUCUUACUAUAUCAAAUGGAUGUAAAGAGUGCAUUUCUCAAUGGCAAGAUUGAAGAAGAAGUAUAUGUUGCACAACCACCUGGCUUUGAAGAUCCAAAACAUCCUGAUAUGGUGUACAAACUCAACAAAGCACUGUAUGGCCUCAAACAAGCUCCUCGCGCUUGGUAUGAUACAAUCAAAGACUUCCUGAAAAGUAAAGGCUUCAAACCGGGAUCCCUCGAUCCCACACUCUUCACGAAGACAUAUGAUGGUGAACUGUUUGUGUGCCAAAUAUAUUUUGAUGACAUAAUCUUCGGCUGCACCAACCAGAAGUACAGUGAUGAGUUUGGAUUUAUGAUGCAAGAGCAAUAUCAGAUGUCCAUGAUGGGUGAGCUGAAGUUCUUCCUUGGUCUUCAAAUCCGUCAACAAAGAAAUGGCAUCUUCAUAUCUCAAGAAAAAUAUCUCAAAGAUUGCCUGAAGAAGUUCGGCAUGCAAGAUUGCAAAGGUUACACGACGCCAAUGCCAGCCAAACAUCAUCUUGGUCCCGACGACAAUGGUAAAGAGUUCGAUCAAAAGGUAUACCGCUCCAUGAUUGGUUCUUUACUUUACCUAUGUGCAUCUAGGCCAGAUAUUAUGCUUAGUGUUUGCAUGUGUGCUCGAUUCCAAGCGGCACCAAAGGAAUCGCAUCACUUAGCAGUGAAGCGAAUUCUUAGAUAUUUGGCUUACACCCCAACACUCGGAUUAUGGUAUCCAAAGGGCUCAAGGUUUGAUCUGGUUGGAUUCUCGGAUGCUGAUUAUGCUGGUGACAAGGUAGAUCGCAAGUCAACAACAGGCACAUGUCAUUUUCUUGGUCGAUCAGUUGUCUGUUGGUCUUCAAAGAAGCAGAACUAUGUAUCACUCUCAACUGCUGAAUCUGAAUACAUUGCUGCUGGAUCCUGUUGUGCUCAGCUUCUGUGGAUGAAGCAAACUCUCAAGGACUAUGGCAUCGAUCUGAAGCAAGUCCCUAUCUUCUGCGACAACGAAAGUGCCGUCAAGAUUGCCAACAAUCCAGUCCAGCACUCGAAGACAAAGCACAUUGAAAUACGUCAUCACUUUCUCAGAGAUCAUGUUAUGAAGAAAGAUAUAGAUAUCAUGCACGUCAACACUGAAGAGCAACUGGCAGAUAUCUUCACAAAGCCCUUGGAUGAGAAAAGGUUUUGCAAGUUACGGUGUGAGCUAAAUAUCUUGGAAUCCUCUAAUGUCCUGUGAUCAGGCACACAUCCUAACACUUAUGCAUGUUGAUGACUUAGAUAUGCAACACACAAAGUAAUGUAUAUCUUCAAUCAAUGAAGAUUUACACUCUGAGUGUGAAUACAUUAACAUGGAAUUUGACUUCGGAGCGCCACGAUAAUUGUGCGCCAUGUCUGGGUCUAAUACUUCCUAUACGGUGGGUAACGCCACCACCAAAUUUCUCUGUUGAAGUGUUUCACUCAUGGCGUUAUUUUGCAAAGAUUUCGCAUUUGGUUUGUCUUCAGUUUCAAUUUAUCUUCGUGAUUUUUCUGCGCUAUAGUGAUUUUAUUGCACAUAUAUAUAUACUAGUGUUCUGUCCUCUACAGCAUUCACUUAUAGCUAUGUCUUCAAGUUGAAUCUUUUGAACUAAGUGAAUGUGAUCGGACCCUAAUCUCUCUAUGCUUCCUAUCUCAAACUCUAUCUAUCCAAAUCAUAUGCAUUCUAUUGAAAUUGUCGAAUGUCUUCUCUGCGUCCCAGCAGAAGACACAGAGACAAAACAUCAAGUCCUAUUUAAAUGAAUCAUCUAAACUGUCGAUAUCCGGAGAAGCCGGAACGAACAUCCGACAUACUUGGCGGGCGUGGGAACGUGGGACAAUUCUAAAUGUGUUGCAUGCUUGCCACGUACCCCACGGAUGUGAACAGAUAGGGGCACCUACGUAAUUGCGCUGUGCUGCACACCUGCUUAUAAAUAUGUGUCCCCUGCGGUAAAGAAAUCCUUCUUCCACCUCUCCACCUCCGUCAAAACCCUAGCGCCACCGCUAGCUCUCGACGAAGUGCUUAGCUGCCGCAACUUCUCCGACGCCGUCCUCACGCCGGCCGCGGACAUCGUCCUCUCCGCCGUCGCCGUAGGUGUCCUCCGUCGCCAAGUUAGGGCACGGUGGACUAAACUGCUCGGUCUCCUAUUCUUCCCAUCUAGCAGUUCUUCGUGCGGUAAUUAUAACUCUAUUUUUACCACCUUUUUGAUCUUCAAGAUUCAUCCUGUUUACUGAAAGUAGUUUCUACCUAUUCAAUGUUAAAUCGAUUCUGUCUGCAUCUCUUAAUGCCUAGUAUAUUCACUUAGAUUUCAUAUCAAGUUUGAUUCCUCACUUGUACUUAUUCAAGAAUUGGUACAAAUCUGGAACCAACUCACCUAUGUAAGUGAAUGUCUUCGCAUCAUGAGGUCAAUAUCUUCAAACUAAUUUAUCUUCAAAAUCUUGUGAGAAUGCAUAUGACCUCGUCCCCUUCCCUCGCAUCUCUAAUGCUGUCACAGGUACAUGUCCGAGGGAGAAUCCCUAGGUUCUCAUAGUCUGCAUUCGUUUGCAGAAUACUUACAGCAUCAUAUCAAUUCUCCUGAAGCUAGUUCCUGUUUGACCAGCAAGCAUAAAUCUCUGAAGCCUUUGAGCAUAUUGAAACCAUUCAGUUUGAAGUUCAUGGCUGCAGAGAAAUCAGUCAGGAAGGGUGGCAGACAGCGUCGUGGGGGAACUUCUAGGGAUCUGCCUGAUGAUCUUGCAGAUAUAUACAAAACAGAUCCUGAAGAAGAUUACAAUCAACGCAAGACUCGAAUCCAAUGGAUUCGACACUAUUGGGCUGAACAGUGGUACAAGUAUAGGUUCGUCACCCAGGAGUACACAGAGAAGUAUGCUAUCAAGAGUCCUUGGGGCAAUAUUUUCUAUCGAGGCCUUCCCCCCAAGAACAGAGCUGAAGCCAUUGAGCAAAAAUUCUAUCCGUGCAUGGUCCGUGGACCACAGCCUGAAGAAGCCGACCCAUCAUCAUUGCUCUGGUGUCGCGACGACAAUCUCUUCAAGUGCAACUUCCAGUUUGCUAUGUCUUCAGCAAAGGAAAACAAGAAGUCAUGGGGAUUAGACUUCAAUCCUGGUCCCUCUGCUCCCCGUGAGGAUGGGACACGUGAAGCUGAAGAGAAUAGAAUUGGCCCCUUUGCAAACCUUGAUGGUCUCAUCUCCUACGUCUUGGUUCAUGGUGCCAGAGUGGAUCAUCCCAACAAUGAUGUUGAUUAUGAUGAAGCCCCUGCUCCUACUCCAAGGCCGAAGAAGCCAAAGAAGGUUAAGGUUACAUCAUCAGUCGCACCUCCAAAAGCUUCUCGUGUGAAGCCAUUGGCCACUGCACCUCCUGAAGCCAGUGUGCAGUCUAAAGAUCAAUCUCGUAUCUCCAAGAAGACGGAGAAGAAAAGGCAACUUGUCAGGCAUACUGAUCAAGCUCUGACUCCUGCUGCUAUUUUGCAUGAAGAACCCAUUGAUCUAUCAAGUGAUGAAGAUCUUGCGGAUGAUGCUCUUGAGCAGCUGAUACAAAGCAAGGAAGAAGCAGAAAUCUUCAGCAAUUUGCCUCUCUUUGAUGUGGCCAUCAUCCACAAUUUCAUUGAUGAGUGGUUCGACACCCCAAACGUCAGCUUUGAAGAUUUACAGCUUCCAAUUGGCCUCAACGUCUCUUUCAAUGGCGCCAUUGCUUCUGAGCUAGCUCUCGCUCAGCGAAUCGUUGAGCUCAGGCACAAGAUUGAUUAUGAAAAGGCUCAAUUCAAGAAGCAUAUGGCCAAGCUGAGUGUUCAAGACGUCAGGAACUUUAAGGUCAUGCUGCAUGAGCUUAAAGAAGCUUUUCUGAAGAAGCGCCAAGAAGCUCAAGGCUCUCGUGAGCGCAUGAAGAGUUUGGCUGAUAAGUGUGUGCUUGCCUACAAUGAGGCUGAGAAGCGCAAGUCACUUGGCCGUCCUGGCAUUGACCCCGGGAUGGCAGCAAAGAAAAAGAAGAAGCUUCCUGCGGAUCAGCCUACGCCUUCAAGCCAAGAAGCUCCACGCAUUAUCUUCCCAAGUAGCAUGACUGGCUCGAAGCCAAAGGUCACCACAACUGCUUCAGAACAGAAGAAGACGAGGGCUGCAGAGGCAGAAGCCAGAAAGAGGAAGAAUACCGAAGCCUCUGAUGCUGCUCCCUCCAAGAAGAAGCGCAAGACCAAGAAGAAUCGGGCUGCUCCCACAGAGCCCCUUUUUGUUGAACCCAUCUCAGUGAUUCAUCCUGCAUCUGCAUCCCAAGAACUUCACAUGACUGUUCAUGAGCCUGCUUCCACAGAGGCUCCUGAAGCUGAAGAUAUUCCAGCAGCUGAACCCACCACUGCUGAAGACAUUGGUCAUCAUGACAAUGUUGAAGAUGAUGAAGUUCUUCCUCAGAUCGAAUACAAUGUGGUAUCAUCGCCUGUUCGUACGAACAACGAACUCAUCAGCAUUGGUCGUCCUCUGACGCAAAUUGCACAGGAUGAUUCAUGGGCUGAUCGCCCGCAAGAACAAGACUCCCCCAACACUCCCCGGCAACAACAAGUCACAACAUCCGUACAAGCUGCAGAGGAUGAGGGCCUGCCCACUCCAUCUCCAAAAGCGUCGCUAGUACUUCAAAGGCUUCACAAAGGACCAAGGCCUCAAGCUCCUCUUCCGAGCGUUCCAGAAGGACAAGGGCAACAUCAACCUGUUGCACGUCAAGUGUUUUCAGAAGCCACUCCUGCUAUGAAUGUCUCUGCGUCUGAAGCACCUGCUGCUGAAGACAAUCCGGCUGCAUCAGCCGAUGAAGAACGUCAAGAAGAACGUGUCUCUACUCCCCCCAUUCCUGAAGAAAUAGUUCAUGAAGUGAACGUGUCAAUGCCUGACCCUCCAGCUCCUCAAGUGGAGGUUGAAAAUCCUGAAGCUGCCACAACCAACGCAAGUGAAGCCGAUGACAUUGUCAUGGCUGAAGCUAAUGUGGAGCUUGCAACAACCAGUGUGCCUGAAGCUAAUGCGGCCACUGCACCUAAAGCUAGUGAGGCUACUGCUUCUGAAGCACCUAUUGUGCAGCCUGAAGCCUCAGUUGCUGCCACUGCUCCUGUUCCGCCACCAAGGCCCUAUACAAUUGAGCAGACAUAUAACCACGGAGAGCUAACAACAGUCAGAUGGCCCGUUCUGGUCCCUCCGCCUAAUGUCUCUGGUCCUCAAUUUGACUAUCAUGUUGAGCAUAGGCCUCAAGUCCAGAAGCCCAAGCCAAGACUGCCAAGGUUUCCAGGUACUGCAAACUCAAUAGGGUCCUUCAAUGCUAAUGGCUUCAAGAGCCACAACACAUUCUUUGAUAGCUUGAAGAACCCCUACACGAAGCCAAGAAUUGCAUCAGAUCGGUUCUGGAGUCAUCAGCAGCGAAGCUAUUAUUCCUGUGUUCUGUAUGAUCAAGGGCGCAUCUUCCCUCAUAUGCGCCUCGACACUGAAGCCAUUACUGGACUCCCCUGCUUAGAAGAAGCACUUGACUGCUUUCGUGAUGCUGGGCUGCUCAGUUUUGUCACAGAUAAAGAACACUGGAAUGAAGAACUAUUGCUUCAAUUCUAUGCCACACUGCACAUUCGCGGCUACAACAGAGAUACGGAGACUUGGGUUCUCGAGUGGAUGACCGGAAACGUUCAUCAUGAAGCCAAAGCUAUGGAUAUCAUCGAGCUUACAGGCCUAUCCACUCCCGGAGAACUCUAUGAACCUGGCUAUCAACAUCAUCGCAAUGCCCUGGAAAGCAUCUUUCAUAGGCCUGAACCCAAUAUGAGUCAGAUGCUGAGCAUGAUGAAGCCUUUGCCCCGUGAUGCUGAAUAUCCAACAGAGUUCUUUGUUGAAGACCUUGAGUAUCUAUCAUGCACCACAUAUCACAUCAUCAGGCGGACUCUAUGGCCUAUCAAAGGACAUUCAUCAGCGGCAAAGCUUGAAGGAGCUAUGAAGACUUUGGUCUUCUACAUUUUCAAUGGCAUCAGCUUCAAUGCACAAGAUUUCUUCAUCAGACAACUUGCUGCCUUCGGCUCUGAUCUCUUUGGUCCGAAGUUUUAUGCUCCAUGGGUCAUGCGCCUCAUAAAGCGACACUCUACUGUCAACUAUCAACCUUCUGCUCGCAAUCAUGUGAUUUUUCUACCUGAGGUUGAUAUGUCAGUUGAAGCUAUAUAUCCUGACCCAGCCAAGAAGCCUCUUUGUCUUCAGAAUGCCGAGCACCAAAGCUUCACUCAACCCAUUGAAGGUGUUCAAGCAGCUACACGAAUCUAUCCAUUGGCUGGAAAUACUCGUCUGCCUCAUCGAGCACCUACUAAAGCCACUGAAAGCACCAUUGCCCAAAGGCCUCGGAAGCAUUCUCACGUUCUCAAUGAUCGAGAACUUCUUAUGGCCCUUCAUCAGAAACAUGAUAAACAUCACUUUUGGCUCAAGAGACAGAUGCAAAGCCUCUUGGUGGAUGUCAAUCGCAUUCGCAACCUUGCCACCAAGAAUGACUUUGUUGCUCACGAAACUUGCCGGCGAUCAUGGAAGAGUUUGACCCUGCUUAGUGCUGAAGCAGAUCUUCAAGACGAUGGCUUCAAUGAAAGAUUUCAGUUUGACUCCACUCCUCCACGGAAUGCUGUCUUACGAAGAACUCCAUCUCUUCAAGACUCUGAAUAUUCUUCCUCCGCGGCAACGGUAAAUGCCAGAGUGAUCAAUGAUGAAGAUGAUGCUACUUCACCACCUCCUACUACUACUGCGCGCAUCGACACUGCACCAAGUUCAUCUGCACCGCCACCCAACGACGACAACCCUGCUGCUUCACCUACUCAUCAAGAAGACGAGUAGAUGCUCUAUGUCUUCAAACCUUUUUGGUCAUUACUGACAAAAGGGGGAGAAGCAUAUGAGUUGAUAGUCUUCAAGCGGGUUCAAAUGGGCGGUUGCGUUAUAUUUUGCCUCGUACUUACAACUCUUGCGCUUUGAAACAUUUGGUUCUCUGAGUUGUAACACUUAAACUUGAUGGUCGUCUGCUACUUAUUUGCAUUUCCACGUGCGAUGAUAACUUCCGCACUUAAAUCAUCCUGCAGACGUGCAUUUUUCAUUAUGCAUGUCAUCCGAUAUGCUAUAUCAUUUCAUGCAUGAUGAAUUAUCUUCAUAAGUUGAAGUGGAUCUCCACAAGUACAACCUGCCAUGUGCAUUUGCAUUCCAAAAGCAAAAUUAUUUAUAUGCACAUCUUCAGGGGGAGCCCUUGCUACUUAUGAAGACAAAUUCCUAUCCUUUACAAUUUCACAUACUUUAUCCCCGUUGAAAACUUCAACCAGUUUGUCAUCAAUCACCAAAAAGGGGGAGAUUGUAAGUGCAUCUAGUGCCACCCCUUGUUGGUUUUGGAGUUGUAAUGCCCCGAGACCGACGCUCCAGAAGACUUCCAUAUUUUCGUGAUCACCGUCUGUUUCAGUUGUGCUUGCUCUUUUAUUUUUUUGCUUUGCAUCAUGUCAUCAUGCCAGCAUGUCAUUUAAUUUUUAAAACUCACCUAAAUAAAUUGCAUAGAUCAUUGAUCUAUUUAAAUCGAGGGAUAUUCACAUGGUGAUUUCUCUUUAAAACAUAUUCAAAGUCUCCUACUAUUAUUAGGGAGCUAUAAUAAAAUUAUUCCAUUUAUUUGGAAUUAACCAUAACCCACUUGCAAAAUAUCCCAUGCCGUUGUUAUCUCAACUCUUGGUCUCCAACCUUGUCCAUAAUUUCUUUCAUCAUUUUCCGGAGCUCCAUCAAAAAUCCUCGAAAUUUUUGGACCUUCCUUUUAUCAAGUCCUAGUUCAAACCCAUUUGAAUUAAAUUCAAAUGAGUUCGAAUUUACAUCUUUCAACCAUGGCCUUUUCUAUUUUCUCGGAACAAGCGCAUUUUUGUGAGUCCGGGAAAAUUAUCCGCGUGUCCAACUUCUUCCCCGACAGCUCCUUCCUUCUUCUUUUCUUCUUUGUUAUUUUCUGUUUUAGAAAUAAGAGAGAGAGAGAAGGAAGAAGCCUUGCAGCCCAGCCGGCCUCUUAGGCCCGGCCAACCUAGCCGGCCCAGCCAGCCCAUCUAACCCCUCCUAACCCUAGCCCACACACGCAGCGCCCGAUCCCCAUCUCCCCGAGUGCCUUCUCCCCUCGCGCUGCCAGAACCCAUCGCUCGAUCCCCUCUCCCUUUCCUCGCACCCUUCCCCUCGUCGCCUCCUCCCUCCGCUGCGCGCGAGGCCGUUCAGCCCCACGCCCGGCCUCUGCAACUCCACCGGGGCAGCCAACUCCGGCGGCCCUCGUCGCCUGCGCCUGCGUCCUCUGCGUGCCUCGCGCUGGGCCUCCCUCUCUUCUUCACAGGAACAAGCAGAGGCCUUCCAUGGCGGCCGAUGGACCUAGCCAUGGCCGCUUCCCCUCCCUCUGCGGCUCACCUCUUCUCCAACUCGCGUCGCCCCGCCCCACGUUGACUUCGCCGGCAUCGCCCCCUGCCCGAGCCGUCCCCGAGCGCCACCACCUUGCUCUGUCGCCCGCCUCCCCUACGACCUGGGCGCUCAUCCCCGUCUGCCCGGCCUCCUCCGUGCCCCCUAGCUGCCUCUGUCCGCUUCGAGCAACAGCAGAUCGUUGCUCAGCGCCAUGCCACCCGCGCCCUCAAGCUCCUGCGGCAGCCUCACCUUCCUGCACCACCUUGCCUCUGUCGUUUGACCCCAAGCCACCACCUCGCAUCACGGUCUUCAUCCGCCAAGGACGCCAAGACCCUUCCGUGGAUGCGUUAAGACCCCUGCCCCCUGUGCCAUUCCGCUGUUGCACUAGAACCUGCCAAGUACCCCGACGAUCAUCAUGGAGUACGACUACUUGACAACCUUGGUCGGCUACCUCCACAUCAAGUUCCCCUACGACCGUGUAAAACUACACGGUGAUGCGCCAAGUACCCCCUCGGAUCGUCAAGUUCGACUACACGGAGCUGCCAAGUACCACUAUGAUUGCCGUGUGCAUCUACGGAUCGCCAAGUACCCCUACGCAUGGAUAUGCCAAGUUCGUCUAUGACCCGUGAACAACUACCGUCACCAAGAUCGCGAGUACCUCUACCGUCGCCGUGAACGACUACUUCCACUACCGUCGCCGUGUACCACUACUUCCACUAUGAUCGUUCCAAGAACGUCUACUUCCUCUACGUCACUUCGAACUCGAACCGCUCCAAAAUGCACGCUUCGAAGGUAUAAUCCCGAGAUGAUCACCCGUGGACCGAAUGCAUGUGUUGUAUGAGAUGCACCCUAUGUUUGGACCGUGUCCGAGAGGUCUUUGCACGUUCGCCGUAAGCCAUGCCGUCGACCCGUGGGAACCCGGUAAUCCGGGAUCACCCCACCAUCUUGCAUGACUCGCUCACGUCACACUUCCUUUUGCACCGGUACCUCCAUGAGUUAUCGGGACCGGAAUGUUGCCAUGGCACCAUUUCCGUUUCACCGCCGUGGCACCUUUUUCCUUCCGCCAUGGCGACAGAUGCCUCGUAUCAUGCUCAUGUUAACAUUUUCAUAAAAUUGCAUAAACUUGCAUAUGUCAUCCGCAUCAUGAUAACAACAUUUUAAAAUGUUUAAAUUGUGUUUGCAUUAUAUUGUUCAAUGACAUAUGGGGAUUUUCCGGAAUUAUCGUUUGUUGUUUCCGGCCUCAUUUAAACUUGCCUAGAUAGGUAGUUUAAUUAUGCUUCCCCUUUUGCCAUGUUUAACAACAUGUAAUAUUGUUGUGUUCCUAAACGAGAGAGAACUAAAUAUUUGAAUGUGGUGUUUCGUCGAUAUGCAACUCAUUGCAUAUUGAGCUCCACUUAAUUUGUAGUAUUGUUUGUUGCACUUUGCCAUGCCAUGCCUCUUUAAAUUGGACAUGCAUCAUACUUGAUUGUGCAUCAUGUCAUGUUUAUGCUUGUGUGUUUACCAUAUUGUUUGCUUCUUUCCGGUUUGCUUCUCUUGUUAGCUUCGGUUUCGUUCCGGAGUUGUGAGGAUUCGUUUGACUACGUCCGUUUGUCUUCUUCAUGGACUCGUUCUUCUUCCUAUCGGGAUUUCAGGCAAGAUGACCAUUACCCUUGAUAUCACUUCUAUCUUUCCUUGAUAGUUGCUUCGUUCUAUCGCUAUGCUGCGCUACCUAUCACUUGUUUACCAUGCCUCCCAUAUUGCCAUGUCAGCCUCUAACCUUUUCACCCUUCCUAGCAAACCAUUGCUUGGCUAUGUUACCGCUUUGCUCAGCCCCUCUUAUAGCGCUGUUAGUUGCAGGUGAAGUUGAAGAUUGCUUCAUGAUGGACAGGAUUAUGUUGGGAUAUCACAAUAUCUCUUAUAUAAUUAAUGCAUCUAUAUACUUGGUAAAGGGUGGAAGACUCGGCCUUUUGCCUGGUGUUUUGUUCCACUCUUGCCGCCCUAGUUUCCGUCAUACUGGUGUUAUGUUCCCGGAUUUUGCGUUCCUUACGCGGUUGGGUGAUUUAUGGGACCCCCUUGACAGUUCGCUUUGAAUAAAACUCCUCCAGCAAGGCCCAACAUUGGUUUUAACAUUUGCCACCUAAGCCUUUUUCCCUUGGGUUCUGCAGACUCAAGGGUCAUCUUUAUUUUAACCCCCCCGGGCCAGUGCUCCUUCGAGUGUUGGUCCGAACUGAGUAGAUUGCGGGGCCACCUCGGGGAAACUUGAGGGCUGGUUUUACUCGUAGGAUGUCUCAUCCGGUGUGCCCUGAGAAUGAGAUAUGUGCAGCUCCUAUUAGGAUUUGUCGGCACAUCGGGCGGCUUUGCUGGUCUUGUUUUACCAUUGUCGAAAUGUCUUGCGAACCGGGAUUCCGAGGCUGAUCGGGUCUUCCCGGGAGAAGGUAUAUCCUUCAUUGACCGUGAGAGCUUGUGAUGGGCUAAGUUGGGACACCCCUGCAGGGUAUAUAAUCUUUCGAAAGCCGUGCCUGCGGUUAUAGGAAGAUGGGAAUUUGUUAAUGUCCGGUUGUAGAUAACUUGACACCAGAUCUGUUUUAAAACGCAUCAACCGCGUGUGUAGCCGUGAUGGUCUCUUUUCGGCGGAGUCCGGGAAGUGAACAUGAUUUUGGGUUAUGAUUGACGUAAGUAGGAGUUCAGGAUCACUUCUUGAUCAUUGCUAGUUCACGACCGUUCCAUUUGCUCUCUUCUCGCUCUUAUUUGCGUAUGUUAGCCACCAUAUAUGCUUAGUCGCUGCUGCAACCUCACCACUUUAACCCUUCCUUUCCCAUAAGCUUAAAUAGUCUUGAUCUCGCGGGUUUUGAGAUUGCUGAGUCCUCGUGACUCACCAGAUACUAUCACAACGGUUGCAGGUGCCGAUGAUACCAGUACAGGUGAUACAACCAAGCUCAGAUGGGAGCUCAACGAAGACCUUGGUCGUUGCUAUGUUUCGUUUCAUGUUGAUUAGUAGUGGAGCCCAGUUGGGACGAUCGGGGAUCUAGCAGUUGGGUUAUCUUCUUUUCUUUUGGUUUUGUCCGUAGUCGGACUAUGUGUGUGUACUCUGAAUGAUGUAUGAUUUAUUUUAUGUUCAUUGUGUGAAGUGGCGAUUGUAAGCCAACUCUUUAUCCCAUUCUUGUUCAUUACAUGGAUUGUGUGAAGAUGACCCUUCUUGCGACAAAACCACAAUGCGGUUAUGCCUCUAAGUCGUGCUUCGACACGUGGGAGAUAUAGCCGCAUCGUGGGUGUUACAAGUUGGUAAUCAGAGCCAUCCCCGACUUAGGAGCCCCCUGCUUGAUUAUUUGCUGGCGUUGUUGAGUCUAGAAAAAAAUGUUUUGAGUCUUAGGAUUAUAUAUAUCGGAGAGUAGGAUUCUUUUUACUCCUCAGUCCCUUCGUCGCUCUGGUGAGGUCUCUUGACGUAGAUGUUUUGACUUUCCUCUCCUCAAAUUUCACUAAUUUUUUUUAGGAUCACGCGGGUAUCUUGGAAUCUUCCGAUGGUUUUGUGACGAGAACAUUGUUCUUGGUGCCUCCUGUCUAUUAUGUGGCUUUCACCCGGGGAGUUGAGCUCCGAGGUGUUGUCGUCAUAAUUUUAUCGUUGCAGUUCUGGAAUACCUGAGUUUUGCCGACAUCAAAAAUCUCUUUUAUGCAGUUGUUGGUGAGAUAACCUCGACGCCACCCAGUACUGGGGCGGGAGUUCGGGAGUAUUGCCAUAACUCGUAUAACGGAUGCUUUUCGAAGGUUGAGGUACACGAUUUCCGAAGGUUUCUUGGUUAUGUGUUGACGGAUGGAUACAGCUUGGAUGUUGGUAUUGUUAGUUUUGGGUGAGAUAUAUAUUGCUUCCCCUGUAUCCCCAACACCAGAUUGCAUAACCAGAAAGUUUCGGGAGUUUUAUAGGUGGGAAUUCAAGUAGCUCCUAGAAUAUCUUUUCGACAGAUGCAUGAUAUGAGAUUGGGGUUCGACGUCUAGUGGUCCGCCUUUCCACGGUCGUUUUUACAGUGGUCUCGUUGUGUCUUAAAGAACCCUUGGCUAUGCUGGUUCAGGGACACUUCGUAUGUCAUGUGCACUGCCUUGUACAUGAUGGUGCUGUACGUUCGAGCCCGUGUGGGCCCCACCACGAAAACUUCGGACGAAAUCUCUAUCAUAUGUUUGUUCCAGCUUAUUCUGCAAGCCAAAUCCUUUGGUUUGUUUUAUAUGUGGUAUUCGAGUUGCUUCGAAGUCAAAUGUCGAAUCCAUACCUUUCCUAAACGGUGUUCUCAUAUUGCUAUGUGAAUACUAAUCCUUCUUGAUCAUCGAGGUCGUCAUGUUGGUUCUUUUCCAACCUGUGCAUUUCUCUUCGAGAUGAUCCCAUCAUUCUCCCCAUCCACAAGAUCAAUUCUAAGUUUUCUCAAUGGUGUUUGUUUCAUUCAUCCCAAGUUGUCUUUGUUUUCCUCACCCUCCCACCCUUUUCUUCAAGGACUCAUAUAUUUUAAUCAUGUAUCCAUUUAUUCAUGUGAAGUCACUUCAACCUUUUCAACCAAUGCUCUUAUCCGGUGAUUCUCAAGAAGAUACUAAUGGAGUUUCAAGUUCAUCAUUUUUCAUUCUUUUCUUCUCCGAUGGAUUCAAUUCAAGCUUUGUCGAUCAUAUCCUUAUCCUCGUUCAAAUGCUAUCCGGUGCCUCUCAUAAUUGUUCACCUCUCUCUAUUCUUAUUCAGAGGGCUCAAGAUAUCUCGGAAGAUUCGUGUUUCCAUUCUCAAUCAGUUCAAGCUAUUUGGAGAUUAUUAUCUCAUUCAAGUCAUUUAAUUCAACCGGCGCAAUCCCCCCCUUUCAAACAAUUGUUCAACGGUGUUUCUCUUGAGUGGGCCCUAACCCACAGGUCUUUUCCCAGGAUCUUACCUGACUCUUCUAAUUAUCAGGAGGGAUUCUCAAAUUCAUUUCCAAGUUUGACGUAAGAAUGAAUUUUCAUCAGUCAUAUUCUUUCUCCAAGAUCGCUUUCAAAAUAUUUUCAGCGUUGGUUCAUCAUUUCUAUUCUUCUUUGUUCCGAAGUGCCUCAACAAUUUUGGUGGUUCUCGUCGUCAUUCUCAGCUUUGAAGACCGAAGAAGAGUUCCUCUUAAAUCCUUACCCGUUCUUCCAAAGAUUCGUGGUUCUAGCUUGAUGCCAUCCUCUCAUAAUUGUUUUCGAUUGUGAGAAUUCUUUUCACCCAUCCGACGCAUUUCAGGAGUUUCUUUCCUUUCUAGAUCUUUUGAAGGCCAUCAUUUAUGAAUAUUACUCAGUCUCAGCUUUCAGCUCUCGUUCUCAAAUUCUUCCGGUGCAUCGUUCUAAUAUCCUCUAAUCAGUUCAUGAUCUCUUCGUUCUCUUGUAUCUAAAUCCCCUCAAGUAUCUUCAUUCGUUUUCCAAUUCUUCUCAGUGAAUUGUACCUUUGCUACUUUCUUUUUCAAUUAUUACGGUGGUUCGUUCAAGAAUUCACUUCCUUCAUUAUCAUAUCAAAUAUUCGUUGUUUCCAAAUCCCACCGGUGGUUCCAUAAAUACCUUCUCAAGUUUACGCUAUAUCUCUCUUAAUUCCUUCUACGAGAAUAAGUAGUAUGCCAAAUCCGUUGCUUGUCAUCAAUUUAAAUUGGUGAAGGAUAGGCAUGACAUAAUUCUUAUUCUUGUUUCAUCCAAGUGAUUAAUUCUUUUCUUCCAGAGAUUGUUCGUGAUGAAGUAAUUAUCGACUCUAGUGCUUCAUCUUUUCCUUUUCUGGAGCUCCAAGUUUUCUCGGUUAUAUCGUCGCGAAGCUUCAUCUAAAUCACCACAAGGCUUCACCUUGUGUUUUCAACUUCCCUUUCUUUUUAUCAUCCUUUUAUUACCGAAGUUCUUCAUGGAGGCUCUACAUGGUGGUUUGUCAAGGAUUCUUUUCAGUCUUUAAUUGUUCUUCAAGAUUUCUCUUGAAGUUAACAUCCGCCAAGCUAUACUCAAAAUUAAACAUGGUGCUCAACACAUGUUUUGUUUUGAGGCAUUCAAGCAUUCUUCAUCUUGCAUUCCGAAGUGCAAUUAUCCUACCUUAUCUUUUGAGAUGGUGUUAUAUCAUUCUUGACAAUUUCCAUUCUUGUUUCGCGAUUCACAUGUUGUCAAGAAUGAGGUAUUUUAAAUCCAUCAAUCUCUUUGUUGGAGUUAUCUUGUGUCAUAUUUCACCUAAAAGCCUUUCCUAAGGAAUGUUGCUAUUGUGGUGCUUAUCAAUGAUCCAAGUUUUCUCCUAUCCUCUCGGCAAAAGCAGUUUUCAUAUCUUCAUUGAUCUCAACCAAGCAAUCAAUUGUUUCUGUUAGUGGCCGGUUGUCACCUCAUAGUUUUGAGAUGUUUUCCAUAAGCCCACUACAAGCUUAUUCAUUUUGUUGUUGGUUUUUCCCAACAACCCCGUUGUAAACUUCUUGGAAGGAUGCUUUCCAAGAUCAUUUGUGGCAGAAGUUGGCAUUUUCUUCUCCAUUCCCUUAUUCCAUUGAUCUAUCUUCUAUUCUUUCUUCCGGAGGCAUUGUGAUGUUGCUCUCUUCACUCAUCUUCUCGUAUUAAGGAUCGUGUCCUUUUCGUGCUUAUCCAUUUAACCGGAGUGUCGUGUCAUCUCUUCAAGUUCUUUUCAUCUUAUCAAGUUUUGCCUCUCUUUUCUACCGGAUUGCUGUCUGAAAUCCUUCUUACCCAUUGUGCCAUUCUUUCAAUAGUUUCGGACGCAGUGUGUUGUUGAUUUCAUCAAGUAUCAUCCCAUCUUCUCAAGUUCAUGUUCUAUUCCUUCCAUGUUCAAUCGGAGUGCUGCCCGAAUUUGUUCUUCCUUGUUCCUUGUUUAUCUUGUUUCAACCAGAGUGGUUCCAAUUCCUUCUUGUCCAUUGUACUGGUCAUUCAUAGCUUUGCAACCUCCAAGGUUCACAUGGUGUUCCUUGUUUCUAUUUUCUACCGCAGUGCUCUCAAUUGUGUUCAACUCUAUUGUGUUCUUUCUUUCAACUUUUAAACCUCUCAGGGUUCUUUGGUUUCACUCAUUGGGCGAAGAAGCAACUUAGUUUUACCUCCUCUCUUCCUCUUCCGUUUCUCUCCGGUGCCAUGCUAGAUCUCGGGACGAGAUCCUCUUGUAGUGGUGGAGUGUUGUAAUGCCCCGAGACCGACGCUCCAGAAGACUUCCAUAUUUUCGUGAUCACCGUCUAUUUCAGUUGUGCUUGCUCUUUUAUUUUUUUGCUUUGCAUCAUGUCAUAAUGCCAGCUUGUCAUUUAAUUUUUAAAACUCACCUAAAUAAAUUGCAUAGAUCGUUGAUCUAUUUAAAUCGAGGGAUAUUCACAUGGUGAUUUCUCUUUAAAACAUAUUCAAAGUCUCCUACUAUUAUUAGGGAGCUAUAAUAGAAUUAUUCCAUUUAUUUUGAAUUAACCAUAACCCACUUGCAAAAUAUCCCAUGCCGUUGUUAUCUCAACUCUUGGUCUCCAACCUUGUCCAUAAUUUCUUUCAUCAUUUUCCGGAGCUCCAUAAAAAAUCCUCAACAUUUUUGGACCUUCCUUUUAUCAAGUCCUAGUUCAAACCCAUUUGAAUUAAAUUCAAAUGAGUUCGAAUUUACAUCUUUCAACCAUGGCCUUUUCUAUUUUCUCGGAACAAGCGCAUUUUUGUGAGUCCGGGGAAAUUAUCCGUGUGUCCAACUUCUUCCCCGACACAUCCUUCCUUCUUCUUUUCUUCUUUGUUAUUUUCUGUUUUAGAAAAUAAGAGAGAGAGAGAGAAGGAAGAAGCCUUGCAGCCCAGCCGGCCUCUUAGGCCCGGCCAACCUAGCCGGCCCAGCCAGCCCAUCUAACCCCUCCUAACCCUAGCCCACACAUGCAGCGCCCGAUCCCCAUCUCCCCGAGCACCUUCUCCCCUCGCGCCGCCAGAACCCAUCGCUCGAUCCCCUCUCCCUUUCCUCGCACCCUUCCCCUCGUCGCAUCCUCCCUCCGCUGCGCGCGAGGCCGUUCAGCCCUGCGCCCAGCCUCUGCAACUCCACCGGGGCAGCCAACUCCGGCGGCCCUCGUCGCCUGCGCCUGCGUCCUCUGCGUGCCUCGCGCUGGGCCUCCCUCUCUUCUUCACAGGAACAAGCAGAAGCCUUCCAUGGCGGCCGAUGGACCUAGCCAUGACCGCUUCCCCUCCCUCUGCGACUCACCUCUUCUCCAACUCGCGUCGCCCCGCCUCGCGUUGACUUCGCCGGCAUCGCCCCCUGCCCGAGCCGUCCCCGAGCGCCACCACCUUGCUCCGUCGCCCGCCUCCGCUGCGACCUGGGCGCUCAUCCCCAUCUUCCCGGCCUCCUCCGUGCCCCCUAGCUGCCUCUGUCCGCUUCAAGCAACAGCAGCUCGUCGCUCAACGCCAUCUGACAACAGCGUCCGUGCUACAGCUAGCUCUCCUCCCUCGUUUCUCUCUUCUAAUUCUAAACUCGGCCGAUGCCCGGUGGGUGGGGUGGGUUUGCUCAACUGCGGCCCCACCUCACAGUGAAAACGUUAUGACUGGAAUAAAAAAUGCCAUAUACUCCCUCCGUUCAUAAAUACUCCCUCCGUUCAUAAAUGCUCCCUCCGUCCCAUAAUAUAAGAACAUUUUUUACACUAGUGUAGUGCCAAAAACGUUCUUAUAUUAUGGGACAGAGGGAGUAUAAGCCUUUUUAGAUACUAGUUCAAAUGGAAUACAGCAUACAGAUGUAUGAAGACAUAGUUUAGAGUGUAGAUUCACUCAUUUUGCUCCGUAUGUAGUAGUCACUUGCUGGAAUCUUUAGAAAGACUUAUAUUUGGGAACGGAGGGUGUACUAUACUAAUAAAACAUUAAGGCCACGAGGCGAUGCAGUGCUGGUUACAGGAGGCAAGAAGAAGAGAUGCAUCCAUCGACGAUGUCCACCUCCUAGACUCAGGGCGCCGGCCCACCGAACGGCGCCUAAGUAGCAGCGGCUUUCAUGGCCAGGUCGACGUGCUUCUGAACAAUGGCGUCCAAAGAUUCCAACCGCUGGAAGAAGGCCAACGUCUUUCUGUCCUCGCUUGCCUUGUAGUGGCCUAUGUAGACGAUUUCCUCGUAGACGUGGAUGUGCAGGUCAACGGUUUCUUGCAUGGUGAGGCGUUGCGCGGCGAGCGCGGUCUCAAGGUGCACAUUCUUCGUCGCAACCUCCGGCACCUGCAGGGCCACCAGGGCUUGAAAGAGUUCAUCACCAUGUAGGCCGAUGAGGGUGGCAGGCAAUGAGGAGCCUGGGCGCGCGGGCUGGAGCAGUAUGGCAAGGUCAUCCGCGCGCUUCUUGACGGUGGUGAACUUGCGGAUGGAGUUGACCAUCAUGUCGUCCAUGCGAGAGGUGAAGCCGGCGUCGGCGAGGGAUACGAUGCCUGCGGUCGCCAGCACCAUCUGGAAAGGCUGCACGGUGCGGGGCCACAGGCCGGCGCCUUGGAUGAUUUGGCACAACCGACUGCCGCUCGCGUCCAUCGCCUCCAUAGGUGCUUGUGGCUUCUGGUCACUUGGUCUUGGAUUGGAGUGAGCAGUGUUGCGCAGAGACUUGGGAGUAGAUGGAUUGGAGUGGUGGGGCGCCUUUAUUAUAUGAGAGUCCAAACUCUGUUGCAUUCACAUCGUGCUGGCUCUAGUCUGCUUCUCCAAUUAAUUCCCUCUGCAUGUAAUUGAGGAUGCAUCAUUGACCGUUCAACGUCUCGGGAACCGCUACCCUCUUCCUCCUUGGCAUUCAAGCACCUAUGGACCCGUUGACGACGAGGUGCCUAUGGUGACUUCAUAAAUAUCAAGAUGAUACUUAGUGUCGUGCGUGUGUGCGUUCAUAGGGGUGAGUGUAUGCGCGUGUAUAUGAGCGCUUGCGUCUGUACUGUCAAAAAAACAACAACGUAAAUGCGUGUCAAAAAGAGACUAGUCAGUAUACUCAAUAUUGUGCACCUCGGAGAGGAAAACGAUAGAACUAGUACGUAUUUAUUUACGGUGCAGAUUCACUCAUUUUGCUCCAUAUGUACUCCAUCUCGGUGUAGUCUAGUCACUUGUUGAAAUCUCUAGAAGGGCAAAUACUCCUUUUUGGUUUACAGGGCUAUACUAGCAAGUAGUUGUACGUACUAGUACAAUAGUGGGCUCACAUAGCAAUUUUGUCUCAUGCAAGAGCCUGGCUAUAUGCGUGCUCCAAUGUUUGCAACUGCAACAUUCGGUUUGCGCUUGGAUCUUCGCCUCUUCGAGAAGACGAACAAUGAUGUUACUACUACUGCUUCUACAGUGUCGAAUCCACUGAUGCAUGUCCGUCCACCGCGAGCGGGACGGAUAGCUUGUUGUAGAAGUACUACUAAGCAAAAACAUGUCCUUGUUUGUGAGCAACAGCGUGCAUGGGCGAGGGAGAAGGCGUGUAGUAAAAUCAAGCUUCUCCUCGUUCUACGAGUUGACGCGACACAUCAUAGCACUGGCCCCACAUGCUUGCCUCUAAACUUGGCUGAAAGACCCGCAGUGUACAAUAUAUUUGCUGCAACCUCUAACAUUUACCCACCACAAAUUAAAAUAUAUGUGGCCGUAUGCAUCGUUCUGAUGCAGAGGCCGGGGAGUCCCCCCUUUUCGAAAAAAAACAAAUUAAAAUAUAUAUUCCUGUCUUGACCAGAUGAGCGUGCAAACUACAAUCACCAGGGUGACAGGUAGGCCCAGAAGACUAUUUUAAUUUAAACAAAAAAACUUCGAGACAGCCACAUAGCAUGGAGCCGACCCCAACGAUUUUAAGCUUACAGGCACGGUACACGCUAUCUAGACUACUCUACACAUGAAACUGCCACACGAGCGUCUGGGCUGCGCUUGGCUCUUCGCCUCUUCGGGAAGUCGAACAAUGAUGGUGUACUACUGCACUGGAGGAGUACUAUAGUACGCUUCUGGCCAUCUGACACCGAUUGAACUACUGCAUGUCCACCGCGUGCGGGGAGGGAGAGCGUGUAGCGAAAGCUUCUCCUAGUCUUGCCAGCCACCACGCUCAUGGGCGAGGGAGGGACGCUCAUGUCUUUGUGUAUAUGACAGGUGGGCCCGACAGGUGUGUGGCCAACCUGUCAUACAGCCAAAGGCAGGUGCAGUUAAGUCCGCGAGGGAGAGGAUAAUCAAACUUCUCGUUGAUGUACGAGUUGACGCGACACAUCAAAGCACUGCACUCGAUAUAUUUCAAUAAUUUAGGGUUACCAAUGCAUUAAUUACAACGCAUGCAUGCAUGCCGUGACUCUCCCUUUGAUACUUGCAUGUGUUGAUUUAAUGCACCUUGAAGUAGUACUCCCUCCGAUUCCUUUUACUUUGCGUAUAACUUUUUCUUAUUUUUCUCAGAUUAGUCUGCGCGUCCGCGUUGGUUUCCAUCUGUGCCCCCGCUCGAUUAGUUCUGCCCCCAUUAAUUGCGCCAGUUUCCAAAGCAGAAAAUGGCUACAGGCAAACGCGUGCAGCGCUGGAUGCGGCUUGACCGCCUGGGGAAGCCAACUCAAGCGAAAAGGAAGGAGGACCAGCCAACCAUUGCAUGCGCAUUUACUGUCGAUAUUUAUGCAGCUUACUCAUGCGUAGGGGCAAAUUUGUCCAGAAAACUCAAACUACUGCCUUCCUUGGUAUGCAGGAGGAAAGUUAUGCGCAGAGUAUAAAAUAUGUGACGGUAAAGCUUUGUAAUGCCCCGGCCCAAGCGAGAGAUGGUUGUGCACGAGGAGGGCGAGAUCAUGCAGACGGAACAGGAACCGACGAGAGAGCUCACUAAGGUCUCGAUGGACCUCACCGUGCUCCACUGCCCCUUGUGCCUCCGCCCCUUGACGCCUCCAGUGUAUGAGGUUCGAAUACACCUCGUCCAUUCGGCUGAUUGAGCAAGGUGUAGGUUUCUUGUCAAUGUGUUGUUCGAUUGAUUUCUGCAGUGCAAGGGAGGGCACCUGGCCUGCGCGGACUGCCGCAUCAAGCGCCCCGAGAACCAGCGGCAGUGCUAGAAGUGCGAGUGCGGCGGUGGCUUCGACGUGCGGAACACGGCGGUGGACGUCGUCGUUUCGUCGCUGAGGGUGGAGUGCCCGCACGAAGGCUGUGGGCUCUACGUCACUUACCACAAGCUCGCCGAUCACCAGAGCGUGUGUCCGCUCGUGCCCUGCAAAUGCCCCAUGCCCGUCUACGGCUACGAAGGCCUGCCGCCGGCGCUCUACCACCACAUCAGCAACGCGCAUCCCAUGCCCGUGCACAGGAUCCAGUACGGCAAGGUGCUCCAGCUGCAAGUGCCACUGUUGGAGCCACGGCUCUUGCUGUUCGCGGAGGAGGACCGCCGCACGCUUUUCUUGGUCGGCGGCGUGCUCGACAUCGGCGCGCCUAUCGCCGUGUCGGUCGUCUGCAUCAGAGCGGGGGCGUCCCCACUGCCGCACUACUGGGCCAAGCUAUGGGCGAACGGCCCACCGGGGGAGCCCAAAGGCACGACUGACGCCGUCGAGGUGGAAAUGGAGGUGACAAGCAACAAGGAUCCCAGUGACGUCAACAUGCAGGAGCUGACCUUCUUGACAGUUCCGCCCAAGCUGCUGGCCGGGGCUAAGCUUGUGUCCCUCCACAUUCAGAUUGACAAGCUCACGUCCUAAAUGUUUCGACAGUGCCUUCUAUUUAUCUUAGUAAUAUGCUAAUAUAGGGAUUACCUUGGUCUACUUUAGCUUAAGAAAUGGUUGGUUUUGGUGGCGAUGCAGCAAUUACUUCGACAUCAGAUCAGUAAUUUCCAAUAGUCGAACGGAUAUUUUGUGUCUGUUGGAUAUAAAGUUCCUUUGGGUAAGAAGUACUACUUGUCAUCAAAAUGGGUAAAAGGAGAUGUAUGUAGACGUAUUUUAGUUCUAGAUACGUCCCUUCCAUUUGUCAAAAUAUAGAUGUAUCUAGACAUGUUUUAGUAUUUAGGUACAUCCAUGAUAGAGCCAAUCGGAUGGUUGAGAACACUACAAUUCGUAUCUACAGAUGCGUGUGUGACUCCCAGAUGCAGAGGUCGGGGGUCAUCAUCCUCUUUUUCGAGAAAAAAUAGACGCGUGUGUGAGAGGACGAGUGUGUGCGUGCACCUCUUCUCUUCCUGUAUAACGUACUACUAAACUCAGAGUACAAGUUUUUGUGGGUGGCACGAUGGUGCGUGCGAGAAGUCCUGAGAGAUAGGUUUAAUGCGUUUGAAAAAAGGACUAGCCUAGAGCUCGCCAUGCGGGUAUUUAUAAAUUUUGAUCUUGCGUCUCGUCACAUUCCAAAUUACUCCACGCUAUAUUGCAGACCUGUUCACACCGAUCACAACCUAAACGGUUUCCCACUUAGGAGCGUAUUAGUACCACGCUAUAUUGAAUUCCAAACAUGUUCACACCGAUCACAACCUAAACGGUUUCCCACUUAGGAGCGUAUUAGUACUCGAUUAUAAAUACUAGUAUGCCAAGAUGACUGCACAUUCCUCCUUAACUCCUCAUCCACAAAAACAAACAAGUCAUUCAGCAUCCUUCCCUUGCGUCUGCCAUGGCCAGCUUGAGUUCUGGGUCGAGAGAUUGCCACCAGGGAGAGGCGAGCAUGGAAGCGGAAGCACGAGAGAUGUCCCACCUCGCUGUGAGAGUAGCCGACAUGUCCUGCCGCGCGGAAGUAGCAGCACAGAGGUCCCGCCGUGCCGCUGAAGCAGCACGGAGGUCCUGUCGCACUGUCGAUGCAGCAGACUGGUUCGGCCGUGCCGCGGAAGCAACAGAGAUGACCCGCCGUGCCAUGAAGCAGUAAAGAUGUCCCGCCGCACCGCGGCGGCCUGGGAAAAUUUCUCGCGGGCAGACGACGACUGUUACAGGUGCAUGCAUGCGAUCGUCCAUAGCCAGAUGGAUCAGAUCUCCGGCUUGGCGAGGUUGCAGGACGACGUGAAAGCCUCGUUUGAACAGGCAACAGGCGUUGAAAGAACAUGCAGUGCCCCCAUGUUUGGUUUUGGUAAUUGAUGAAAAUCUCUAUGGACUAAUGGUUGCCUUGAGUUGUAUUUGAAGGUUUUGUCCAUAGGUUUUUCUUGAAGUCCAUGUGUUGGUUUCAAGGAGUUUAUGAGUUGACCAAGGUGCUAUUAAGGAAUUAUCCAAAGAUUGGUCAUGUGAGUAUUGAGCUUAUUGCAAGCAUGUCUUGAAGAAGAAGAUUGUGUGAUCAUUCAUCUUUACCUUCAAGACAUCAUCCAGAUGAAGAGAGUUGGAAAGAUUCAAGGUUGAUCAAGACUAAGUCAAGAGUGAAUCAAGUUGAUCAACUCAUAAAGCGUAGAAGAUGUACCGAGAGGGAUCAAGUGAUCCCAUGGUAUGGUAAGCAUUGUCCAUUGCACUUUGUGUACUAACCCAUGGUCUAUGUGAUAGUUCUAUGUGGGGUUAGGUACGUGUCCAUGGGCUUGCUUCAAGGAGAAGAUAUCAUACAACCCAUGGAAAGAAUGACAUCAAGUGGUGAUCGUCAUCAAGAUUGCCGUGUGCAAGUUCAAGUGGAGCAUCACGAAGAGAUCAAGUGCUUGAAUCUUGCCAUCCAUUGUGGUGUCAAUGGACUUGUGAAGAUGUGCCUAAGAGUGGCUCACCCAUAGUGGACUAUGGGGGAGCAAUCAUCUAGUCUUCAUCGAGCCAUCGCAAUCAAGAAAGGUGGUCCAACUUGAGGGAGUCAAGAUCGUCUUAAUCUAGCUCAAGUGGACCAUGUGCAAGGCAAAUGUUUGCCCUUGAUAGGUUGUCUAUUUUACCGGUCUCGUGGUGGUAGUUGGGAGAUCGGGUUAUAGGAUCAUUUGCCGUACUAUCAAGGGGGGCUCUCAAGUUGGUAGCUUGAUCGUAUCGUUAGUAGAGAGCUCAAACCAUUGCAUCCUUGCAUCAUGUUUCUUGGUUCUUAUUUGGUUAUCUUUGUGAGUCUUAAAGCUUAUGGUCAUCUUGAUGACAAGCUUGAGUUCAUCAAAAACGGAGUUCGCAUGCGUCUUCUAUGAUGUUUUCGGUGUUGGAGGUUUUACCGGUCUUAUCUGAGGAAGGGUUCUCACCUUUUUCUUAUGGGCCUUUUAUCAUUUGCUUAUUCUUGAUAUUUCUAUCAAGAUUGUGUUAGCCCAUGUCGUUAGCUUUCCAACAAACUUGGUUUCGUUGAAUUCGGAGUCCGUUUGCAAAAGUUGUGGAUGUUUUGGUAAAGGCUGCACCGGUACUACCGCGACUAGAGCGGAUGUAAUUUUUUACUACCGCUCUAGAGCGGUACUACCGCGUCUCCUGAGCAGUAGUACCGCUCCAGAGCAGUACUAUGACGGCUCCUAAGCGGUAGUACCGCUCCGGACCAAAAUCCCGUAUUUUGCUCAGCGGAAAUAGGCACAGAAGUAUUUUUUAGUACCGCUCGCAAGCAGUAGUACCGCUACCAUUUGCGGUAGUACCGUGAGGUCGAGCGGUAGUACCGUGAGGACGAGCGGUAGUACCGCUCCGGCGGUUCUACUGGCCUUUUGCCUCCUCGCUGUUGUUUUUCAAAGGGGUAGUACCGCCCUAGCGGUAGUACCGCUCCUUGGAGCGGUAGUACCGCUCUGUGCCGGCUGUGAGCAUAACGGUUGGAUUUUCCCCCACCUAUAAAAGGGGGUCUUCUUCCCCAUUGAACCUUAUCCUUUAAGCUCGUGUUCUUCCCCCAUUGUUGACCUUCUCCGAGCUUGCUAUCUCUCAAUCUCUUCAUGGAUUCUUGCUAGUUUUUGAGGGAAAAGAGAGAGGAGAUCUAGAUCCACGUUUCCACCAAUCACUUUCUCCUCUAUGUGAGGGGAAUCCCUUGGAUCUAGAUCUUGGAGUUCUUGGUGUUCUCCUUCUUAUUCUUCCUCUCAUUUUCCUCCCUAGCAUUAGUUGCUUCGGUGGGAUUUGGGAGAUAAGGACUUGGGCACUCCGUGUGCCCUUGCCAUUGCAUUUGGUGCAUCGGUUUGAGUUCUCCACGGUGAUACGUGGAAGUUUCAAGUUGAGAAGCUUAUUACUCUUGGGUGCUUGGUGCCCUUGAGCUUGUUCCUCUUGGGUGCUUUGGCGCCCUAGACGGUUGGUCGUGCUUGGAGCUCAAUCAUUGUGGUGUAAAGCUCCGGGCAAGCGUCGGGGUCUCCAAUUAGGUUGUGGAGAUCGCCCCGAGCAAUUUGACGGGUACCGGUGACCGCCCCCAAGGGUUGCCAAAGUGUACGGGUUCGGUGACCGCCCCCAAGGGUCACCAUUUGUACGGGUUUGGUGACCGCCCUCAAGGGUCCCUUAGUGGAAUCACAACAUCUUGCAUUGUGCGAGGGCGUGAGGAGAUUAUGGUGGCCCUAGUGGCUUCUUGGGGAGCAUUGUGCCUCCACACCGCUCCAAACGGAGAUUAGCAUCCGCAAGGGUGUGAACUUCGGGAUACAUCAUCGUCUCCGCGUGCCUUGGUUAUAUCUUACCCGAGCCCUUUACUUAUGCACUUUACUUUGUGAUAGCCAUAUUGUUCUUUGUCAUAUAUCUUGCUAUCACAUAGUUACUUAUCUUGCUUAGCAUAAGUUGUUGGUGCACAUAGGUGAGCCUAGUUGUUUUAGGUUUUGUGCUUGACAAAUUAACCGCUAGGUUUAUUCCGCAUUUGUUCAAGCCUAAACCGUAAUUAUUUUAAAGCGCCUAUUCACCCGCCCCUCUAGGCGACAUCCACGAUCUUUCAAUUGGUAUCAGAGCCUCAUCUCUCUUUGUUGGGCUUAACCGCCCAGAGAGUAAAGAUGUCGACUAGGGGAUUAGGAUUCUCUGACACUCUUAGUUUCGAUGGCACAGAUUUUGAUGUUUGGGUAAUUGGCAUGCUUAAUCUCUUUAGGGUCAUGGACCUAAAUUUAGAGCGAAUUGUAGAUAUGGGUUUUUCUCCUCCAAAGGAUCCCCAAAGAUUAUCUUUAGAGGAUGAGAGCAACUCUUAUCUCAAUGCUCAAUCUUCUAAUGUGCUUUUCGAUGCUUUGAGCAAUGUAGUUAUAUUUCAACUCAUGCCAUUCCGGGAUGCUCAUGAGUUGUGGACGAAGCUUCAAGAUAAAUAUGGUGUGUCCAAGAUUUGUGGGGAUGAUUGUUCUCCCUCCACCUCCGGCCGUAUAGUCUUCUCAACUUCUUUUACUUCACCUACAUGUGGUUUGCCACAAGGUAAUGAUAUGGUGAGUAGUGUUGGUCAUUGCAAUGAUGAUAGUAUGCUUAUUGUGGAUGAUCCUUCAUCACUAUAUUAUUGCAAUGCUCCUUCUUUGGACUUUAACACUUCGAGCACUCCAAAUGUUUCACAUGCUUGUGUUGAUAGUCCUUGCAUAUCAUGUAGAAAUUGCUAGACUAAAUCUCAUGAUGAUAUGCUUGCUAUGUCUUGUUUCCAUGAUAAAAAUGCAUCUAUUUCCUCGAAUUGUUGUGCUAACAAUGUAGAGGAAACCGAACACUCCAUGGAACAAGACGUGGUGUUGUAACAUCAUCACAAGUACAGCAGCCUUCGCGGAGACAGAACUCCACUAUGCCUCCUCCUCUCCCACCCACCCCUCUCCCACCCACCUCCCCCUCCUCUGAGCUCCAUGGCGAUUUCUAGGCUAGCUCCCUAUGGAAGGGCUCCUGCAUUGGGAUUUUGCUCCGGGCCUUGCCUUGCAGAUCAGGUGAGAAGAAGGUUUGGAUCCACAGUCCAUUUUUCCCCCUCUCAAGACUCCAAGGAAUUAUUUUUGGUGGUCUCCUUCUCUUCGGACUCUUUUGUUCUUUCGGAGGAAUCGGUUGGUAUUGCGUUGCAAUGUUGCAUUGGGGGUAUUAGUUCUGGUUUUCAUGUGUCCAAGAUCAAUGACCGUUCUUUCAAGUUCUCUGUGGCCAAUAACAAGGUGGGGCAUUUCAUUCAUCGCUUGAGGGACAGAAUUUGGCCGGACUUUGUUUGCCACUUCCAUCUUUUCAAUGGCCAUUUUGCUCCCGCGCCAGUUGUGACUCCUUGUUGGCAUGCCGAUCAAGAGCUUCUGGAUAUUUCUGCUCGCCGUCCAAUGGCCAUUAAGCAUUCUCUCAAUUUUUUACACUCUGGUGCCCAGAGAGACUCUGGCUCCGAUAUGGUUUUGGGCAAGUUUGGCUUAUCCCCAUUGGAUCAUAUGCAGUUCUCCAAUGCUAAUGCCAGGGAGGCAUCUUCAUCUUCGGCCCAAGGUUCUUUGAAUCCUCAAUUUGCGAAGGACUCUUCUGACACAGUUUCUUCAUUACAUGGAUUUUUGGUUCAUCAUUCUGGAAAACCUGUUCAUCCGACCUCUGAUGGCGUUGAUCAAGCAACAUUAAUUGCGCAUUUUCUACGCUUGGCAAAAUUAGAGGAGAAUCAGCAGGUUAAUUUCAUUAAAUUGGGGUCCUUUAAUUGUCCUCUGACCAGCCCAUAUCCGCAGCUACCGCAAUGCUUCUUGCGCUCGGCUUUCAAAUAUGCCCCCGCGCAUACUUCUUGGCCCGCUAUCCUCUCGGCCCAGCACAUGGCCGAUCUAGCCCAAGCGCAAUAUUCAGCUGCUGAUAUUUCGGAAUUAUCAAAUAAUUGGGCAGUUCUAUGUCCGCGCUGUCUCCAAUGGGGCCAUCACAAGUAUUCUUGCCAAGCAUUGCUGAUUUGCAUUAACUGCUCAUCGCCAAGACACAAAGCGGUCGCUUGCCCGUCAAGGCCUAAUUCUCGGACCUGCCCUGUCUUACAUGAUCAAUCUGAUAUCGACCAUCAGGGGCAAUGUAUCAAUCAGCUCGGAAGCUUACCAAAUACCAUCGACUUGCCUAAUACUCGCCGCAAGAGAACCACCGUCAGAUGCUUUGCAUGUGGCUUCUAUGGACACGUGGAGCGAUCCUGUCAUAAGUUGCGGUGUAACAAAAAAUGGCAAUGGAAGCCCAAGAAUCCGCAGCUUUCCAUUCCUACCCCUCACGGUCCAUCUUCCGCCUCGGGUCUCGUCACACCGCUGCAGAGACCAGUCCCGUCACUCUUGCAGUCUCCACCGCCCACCUUCGCCUCCACUCCCAUGGCGAACUACCCGCUUAAUCCGGUGCCGUUCCUUCCUCCUGGCUUCGCCGUCGAGCCCGGUCCGGCGGAUUAGUUGGUUCGCAUUGGGAUGGUAGUCGGCCCCAUUGCGCCGCUCAACCAUGACUUCCUCGCCAUUGCCGAAGCCAGUCACUACGUUCCUCUGCAUCGUCGUGCCGCCAUUCGCAACAUGAUUGAAGGUCUGUUACAUGAAUCCCAGCUAUUCACUACUGAGUCAUCUGAUCACCCUCUUGGCAUUGGCAUCUUCGGGUUUGUGGAUGCUUUUAUGCGCGACACUGCGGUCGCCACACCCAUCGAGCUUGAAGAAGAAGAUCUUCUCAUCACUUUUGUGCCGCACAGUGAAGCUCUGAACCGUCGCACAACUUCUUUUAGACCAGAGGUAUGGCUGAUGUUCUUUGGAUUCCCAUAUGAUUACCAGAAAGACUACUAUAUCACAAAAGCAUUGGGUGGAUAUGGUUCCCUGGUCCGUUGGUAUAAUCCCCGCCAAGAUAGAAGGUAUAUCCUGCUCAAAUCUCGUGUUCUGCGCCUCCGUUUGAUUCCAAAAAGCUUUGUCGUCUGGCAACUGGGUGGUGCUCGCGACUGCUGGACUGUGCAAGUUACAAUCUUACGCAGCAAUGACUGGAACGGACUGCUCCCUGAGGUCCUUGCUCCAGGUGAAGACCCACCACCACCGAACGGAAACCCGCAUCCCCUCUUUGGUCCUGAGCUCACGGCUGAGCAGCUUUACCAGCAACAAGUGCAUAAUUGGUUAGUUCAGAACGGCGCCCCUGCUGCUGGAGGCGCCGACCAGGGAAUUGGACCUGCUCAGAACCAUGCUGCUUGGGAUGCCUAGCCUGCUCCACCAGCUCCUCAACUGCCGCAGCUCCCUCCUCACUUGAUGAAUUAUCAGGCUUGGCUAGCGUCACAAGGUUUAACUGUCCAGCAUGGUAUUGUACUAGAUGAUAACCUGUCUGAUAAUGCUUUGGAUGCCUGGCAUGACACUUUCUCUGCUACUGAUGAUAGCUCUGAGGACUCUGCUCUGAUUUUAGUCCCUCUGUCUGCACCUGUGUAUCAGAAACGUUCUGCCCCUGCACCUGUUACUAUCUCUGUUGCUCUGCACCACGGUGGUAUUCGGUUUGGGUUGUCAGCGGAAGGUUCUGAACUGAUCAAUUUACUGCUGGAUGACCCCAUCCCCCGCCAACAGCUCAAUACUUACAUGUUUCGUGCUCUUCGGCCUAUGAUUGCGGCCAUUGGACCUUGGAGUGCUGGUUAUGGUUUAGGGCCUCAUAACUUGGAUCUACAGGUCACUGUGUCCGCUGAUACUUCUGGGCUCACCUUCUCCCAUUGCCAUACUGCACGAACGAUGCCUACCACCAUGACUAUUGAAGAAAUCCAUGAUGAGCCACCACAGAACACUUUGUCUGAUGAGAAAAACUAGUUGGCGAUGGUGCCUGCCGCUCCUGUCAUGUCGCCUGCUAGCCCAGGGAAUGUUUCAAGCCCGCUCACUGACAGAAUCGCCUCGGAUCCACCUGGACUAGCUGCAGUCAAUACUAUCUCCCUGCCAUCUGGGCCUGUGGUCACUCGUGGUCGUCGCACACGCCCCGCUGCUCCCAUAUCCACUACUGAGGUUCGUCGUAGCAGCCGCUCCAACAAAUUCAACGGUUUCAAAUCUCAGCAGGUAACUGACGCUCGCCCUGUGAUCUCUCGGGUCAAACCACGACUGAUCCCUUCAAUUGGAUCUUCGUCUUCUGCUGCGGAUGCCCAUGAGGCGAUCUUACCUCCCACACCAGUUCCCGUGCUUCAAGAUAUUGGCAUCAACAGGUGCGCGAUCCCUCCAGCAGAAUUGUCUGAAGAAAUCAUCAAUGCGGCACCUUCAUCAGUCAGGGUGGAGUCGCAAGAACAAGUCCCCGCUUCGCCGGAGCCAGUGGAUACGUCCGCUGCUCCCAGGGUUUAACUUCUUGCUGGCAGCAUGCCUCCGCGGAUCAACUAGAAUGUACUUUGCUGGAACAUUCGUGGCCUGAACUCAGAUGAUAAGCAACUUUCUCUGAAUAAUGCGGUCCGCUCUAGUGGUUGUUCGGUUAUUUGCCUUCAAGAGACUAAAAAGACCACUUUUGAUUUAGCGUUUAUUAAGUCUUGUUGUCCGAGACAAUUUGAUAAAUUUGCUUUUGUUCCCUCCCAAGGAGCCUCAGGUGGCUUAGUUACUGUUUGGAAAAGUUCGGUCUUCUCUGGCAAUGUUAUCUUUUCUUCUGAAUUUGCACUGGUUAUUACCUUCACGAGCACCUUAUCAGCUCACACUUGGACCCUGGCUAACAUUUACGGGCCGUGCUCUGGCGAUGCUCGUCUGACCUUUACUAAUUGGCUUUAUGAUCUUGUCAUCCCUCCCACUCAAGACUGGCUUUUGCUCGAUGACUUCAAUUACAUCAGGGGGCCUGACAACCGUAACAAGCCUGGGGGAUGCCCGAACGAUAUGUGCACUUUUAACGAUAUCAUCCGCAAAUUGAGCCUAAUUGAGCUGCCCAUUAAAGGCCGAAUGUUUACCUGGAGUAAUAUGCAGCAGGAACCACUACUCGAACAGUUAGACUGGUUCUUUACCUCGAUCCAUUGGACUAAUGCAUUCCCGAACACCAUGGUUAAACCCCUAGGUAAACCUGUUUCUGAUCAUGUGCCCUGUCUAGUCUCCAUUCAAACAACCAUACCUCGCAGCAAAGUUUUCAGAUUCGAACCAUACUGGAUUUUGCACCCCGGAUUCAAUGACAUAGUUCAAGCGGUUUGGAACGUGCCAGUCAGAUCCUCUAAUGUUGCGACUGUUCUUUGUCGUAAGUUCACGGCGCUACGAUAUGCACUCAAAAAAUGGAGCAAAAACAUCUCUCGUCUAACUGUUGCAAUCACUAAUUGUAAUGAAGCUUUGGCGCAUUUAGAUGAGCUUGAAAACAACAGAGCCUUGACGAUCCCUGAGAUGAACUUCCGCAACAUUCUCAAGAAGCACUUAUUGUGACUCCUUCGUUACCAAAACGUUUAUUGGAAGAAACGAUGUACCAUCCGCUGGAUCAAGUUUGGGGAUGAAAAUACAAAUUUCUUCCAAGUUAUUGCCACCGAAAGGUUUAGACGCAACAACAUUGCUAGUUUUAGAAAUGAUGCUGGAGAAACUAUUGAUGACCACAAUGAGAAGGAAGCUCUGCUUUUUCAAACCUAUACUGAUCGACUCGGCACCUCUUGACCAACUGAAAUGAGGUUCAGUCUCCCUGACAUCAUACAACGUCACACUAACUUGGACCACCUGGCUGAUAAAUUCUCGCAUGCGGAAAUUGAUGAAAUAAUUAAGGACAUGCCUUCUGACCGGGCGCCUGGUCCGGAUGGAUUUAGUGGUGCCUUUCUGAAAGCCUGCUGGCCUUUGAUCAAGCAUGACUUGUAUGCUCUUUGUGACCAAUUUCAUGAAGGUAGUCUGGACUUGACAAGCAUAAAUGAUGGUUUCAUUACUCUGAUCCCAAAAACCAACUCACCUGAGACGGUUAAUGACUAUCGACCAAUCACACUGCUAAAUUGCUGUCUGAAGUUGCUUACCAAACUCCUUGCGAAUCGGUUACAACGUGUCAUCCUGCAAAUUGUUCAUACUAACCAGUACGGGUUCAUCAAAGGUCGCACGAUCCAAGACUGCCUCGCCUGGGCCUUCCAGUAUAUCCACCAAUGUCAAGCCUCUAAGCGAGAGAUCAUUCUUCUAAAGCUAGAUUUCGCCAAAGCUUUCGACACGAUUGAGCAUGCUCCCAUGCUUAAUAUCAUGAAGCACAUGGGUUUCAAUGACAAAUGGCUCUCUUGGAUUGACUGUAUCUUCUCCACUGGCAGAUCUUCGGUGCUUCUUAACGGAGUUCCUGGCCGACAGUUUCAUUGCCGCAUGAGAGUGCGCCAGAGGGAUCCGCUCUCACCCCUAAUCUUUGUCCUUGCCACUGACCUCCUUCAGGCUGCCAUCAAUGAGGCCUUCCGACAAGGACGAAUCCAGCUGCCUUUCCCUUGCGCAAGUCAAACGGAAUAUCCGGUGAUUCAAUACGCGGAUGAUACAAUUCUUGUAAUGUCUGCAUGCCUGCAACAAGCUGUCACCAUGAAAGGGAUCCUCACUGAUUAUGCCUCUUCGAUCGGCUUACGAAUCAAUUUUCAGAAGUCCACGCUCAUACCAAUCAAUUUAUCUGCCGAUGCUGCCACUACCUUUGCUAACCUAUUUGGUUGCUCUGUUGGAUCGAUGCCGUUCACUUACCUUGGUUUGCCUCUUGGCACCUCCAAACCAACGAUCCUUGAUCUUAUGCCGAUGGUUUGCAGUGCUGAACAUCGUCUCACACCUACCAUUGCUAUGAUGUCGUAUGGGGGGAAGCUUUCUUGGCUCAAUGCUACUGUUACCUCGCUCCUCAUUUAUGCCAUGUGCAUGCUGAAAUUCUCACCGAAACUGCUUGAGAUGCUUGACAAGAACAGAAGAAGAUGCCUAUGGACCAAGAAAAGUGAGCAAGGGGAGAAAUGUAACUCUCUUGCUGCCUAGGAUUUGGUGUGUAAACCUAAGAAGCAUGGAGGCCUCGGGGUCAUCAACAUCAAGCUGCUUAAUAAGCAUUGCUUUUGAAAUUCCUUCAUAAGUUUUACAACAAGAUGGACAUUCCCUGGGUACAACUACUGUGGAGUACCUACUAUACUGACAAAAUUCCACAUGCCAUGCCACCGGUCGGCUCCUUCUGGUGGCGAGACAUUUUGAAACUCACUCCGAUUUUCCGAGGGGUCUCUCAUGUGCAAGUGGUGUCGGGCACGUCUGCGUUGUUUUGGAAGGAUCUAUGGGGACAAGAUGUACUCCAAACCACACACCCCCAUGCUUUCUCAUUUGCCAUACAGGAAGAUGCUUCCAUCAAGGGCUUCUUGGAGACUACGUCGUUGGCUGAGGCCUUUCAUCUACCGCUUUCGCCUCAAGCUCUGUCUGAGGUGCGCGACAUCCAAUUGCUCUCCCUGCGCAUGAGCCCGACCACGUCCGUUAAUGAUGUUUGGCACUAUGUUUGGGGCAAGACGGAGUUCAGGCCUAGAGACUACUAUCAGUAUCUCUUCAGAGAUGCCCAAGCCCACCCCAUUUUCAGAAGUCUUUGGCGAUCUCAUUGCAUCAUGAGGAUUAAGGUCUUCGGAUGUCUCCUUUUCCACGACAGUCUAAACACACGUAACAUGCUGAAACGACGCCAUUAUGACAUUGGAGAUGACCACAGUUGCCUUCUAUGUGGGGGUCCAGAUGAAGAAACGGUGGAUCACAUGAUCUUUACGUGUCCGUUUAGUCAAGCAUGCUGGGAUAAACUUGGAAUCGUUUGGCCCACUUUUCAAUGCCGUCUACACCUUCUCCAAACAACCAAAGAUACCUGGAACGGGCCCCUAUUCCUUGAUAUCUUCCUUGUGGCAUCCUGGAGUUUAUGGAAGGAGAGAAAUAACAAGCAUUUCAGGAGGGUGGACCCAUCCAUCAACUCCUGGCUUAGAAGAUUCAAGGAAGAUUUUGGACUUCUGCAACACAGAACCAAGAGAGAGUACUUUGCUCUCAUAGACUCCUUCCUAGCUGAUCUUUGAUACGAUAGAAUUUUCAUUUAGUUCUUUGUUUGAUUAGGGAUCCCCACUCUCAUUGUGGGUGGUAUGGAUGGAGUUGUAUGUACAUAUGAUGUAAUGAUGUAACUAUGUAAGCUUCUUCCUUAUAUAUGAAAAUACAGUAGGAGCCUCUCCUACUGUCCUUCCAAUAAAAAACAAGACGUGGUGUUUAAUGGUGCCUCAGUGGAUCCUACAUCAUCAUAUAUUGCUUUUUGCCUUAUGGCUAAGGCGUCAAAGGUAUCUCCUACUUUGUACCCCAAUAUUUCUCUUGAUGAUGAUGUUGAUGCUAAUGAUGAUGAGGAUAAUGAUGAAGAGAAUGAUAAUGUUGUCUCCUUAAAAAUUAAGGGGGAAAUGAUUUUUAAAGCUCUUCAUAAAGAUAAAAUUGCUCGUUCCAACUUCAUGGAAAUAAUGUCCAUUGCCAUUGAUGGCAAGAAAUACAUUGAGGAGUUGGAAUCUCGUCUAGAGGAGCAUGAGGUCACCAUUGAGAAAAUGGAAGCUCUUGAGCGUGAUUACGCAAAUGAGAUUGCAGAGCUAUCUCAAGCUCUUGAACAUGAACAAACCACCUCUGAAUCUCUUGAGGAGACUUUUGCUCUAGAAUUAUCUAGAGUGAGGGAAUCUCAUGAUAGAGCUCUUGAGGUGGCCAAUGAUUUCAAAACUAGAAAUGCUAAGCUUGAAGUUUCUCAUGCUAGACUCCUUGAGGAUUUUGAGCACCUCGAAAAUGGCUCAAGGGUCAUCAAGGGUGAGCUCAUCAAACUCACCGAGUCUCAUGCCCAACUUGAAGCUUCUUAUUUAAAAGAGCUUGCCAAGUUGUCCUCUCCUAUUGUUGUAAAUGAUGAUGCUUGUGCUACUAACUCUAUUACUUGUGAAGCAUCCAUUUUGAAGGAGAAUGUUGAGCUACGGGCUCAACUUGACGUGCUAUCUAGCAAUUAUGGGAAAUUGGAAGAAAGUCAUGAAAAGCUCUCAAGCUCUCAUGAUGAUCUUCUAGUAUACCAUAGUGUGCUAAAGAUAGCUCAUGGGGCCAUGAUUGCUAAGGUAACAUCUAGUGAGCCUCAUGUGGAUACUAGCACUACUUCUAGUCAAGAUAGUAUAUUACCAUGUGCUAGUCCUUGUAAUUCUUCUACUCACAAUGUUGGUACAUCUUGUGAUGAAUUGCUUCCUUGCCUUGUUGCUCUAACAAUGAAGCUUAUACUUCCUCUAGUACUUGUGUUGAGACUAACCAUGUAGAGGAAAUCAAAGAGCUCAAGGCCCAAGUCACAUCUUUGAAGAAAGACUUGGAAAAGGGUCAUGAAGGGAAUUCCACACUCAACAAUAUCUUGAGUGUGCAAAAAUCCCCCAAUGACAAAGGUGGACUUGGAUUCAACUCCAAUAAGAAGAAUAAGUCCAAGAGAAUCAAGAAGAAGGGCCAAGAGCAAGUCAAGAAUUUGUCCAAGAUUAUUUGCUUCAAGUGCAAAAUUGAAGGGCAUCAUGUUAGAUCUUGCCCAUUGAAGAAGAAGGCCAUUAGUGACAAGUAACAAGGGAAGAGGCCACAAGUUCAAUCUCAUGCUCAACCUCAAGUUGAAGAAAGGCCACUUCUCAAGAAGACUCAAGUUAAUGCUUCUCUUGUUGAGAAAUCAAGUGAGAAGAAAGUGAAGAGUAGACAUUGCUACUUAUGUCGUGAGAAAGGUCACGUCGCUUCUUCAUGCACUAGUGGUAACUUAUCCAACCCAAUUAUUAUUGAUGAUAUAUAUUCUCUUGGGAAGGAUAAGGUUGGCAAUGUGUUUGCCAAGUUUGUUGGUACUCAAAGUGGUGUCAAUAAAAGAACCAUUUGGGUAGCCAAGCCUAUUGUGACUAACCUCUUAGGACCCAACUUGGUUGGGGACCACCAAACUCAAACUUGAUCAAUAGGUGUUGAUGGAGGGCAUUGGAGACUUGGCUACAUUAUGAAGAAUUAAGGGGACUUCAUCAUUCUUAUUGUCUUAAGCCAAGUCAAUUGGAUUAUCAAGUUUCUAUCUUAUAUCCAAUGUGCCUCCUUGCGGUAACUUGUACUUAAGUUGUUUACAUUGAAAGUUACUUGCCCCCUUGCAUGUUUUGGUUUUGUUCCUUGCAUGUGUUUGUAUAUGUUGUGCUUCCAACUGUGUGUGAUGGUUUGCACAUCAUGUACAUGUGUGUCGUGCUUUGAGCCUUUUUGCUUCUUGUUUGUAUCCUAGUUGGCUCAUGUGAGAGAUUAAUGGAACAUCCCAUUUUGGGGGAGUGAUGUGCUUUGUGCACCUCACAAUCCUAUAAAUGUGUGUACAUUAGGAAUACCAUCUAGUAUUGAUAUUACAAGAUUAUCUAGUCGCUAGGUGGUAUAUCUCUCAUGAGAAAUUCAAAUUCUAAAAAUUCCAUUGAUUAUCUCUUGUUGGGUCCUCUCAUUGCCUCUUGUUAAGUUCUUAUUGGUAUCACAUUAUGGGGGAGUAAUAUGCUAAGUGCAUAUUACAAGCCUAGAAAAUGUGUACAUUUGAGAUAUUGUCACCUAGAAUUGAUAUUGUAGAUUAUCUUGUUCCUAGGUGGCAUGUUAGCUCUACAAGUUUCAAUUUGCUUGUGUUUGGUGUGAAGAUGAUGUCGGAUAUCCUUGUUAUCUACCACCGGGAAUUAUUUCCAAAUACUUCUUGUCUUUUGACAAUUGGUAGUCACUUUUGUGUGGUAGAAUUUAUUGAUCAUCUUUACAUUGGCUUUUGUUUUUAUUUGCCUUUUCGCUUACCAAGGUUUGUGUCAACUCCCAUUGUCUUCCAUACCACUUGUGGAUCUUGUUUAUUUCUUGUUCUUGUCUAGGGUUUUCUAGAUAUAGUGAAAGUGGUGAUCCUAGCUUGUGCAUUUUGUAUUCAAAUACAAAUUCCCUAUAUAAUGCACAACUCGUGGGGGAGCUAUCCUAUUUUCUCUAGAACACUCUUCUUGUGAUCCUUAUCAAGUGUGUAGGUGGAAGACAAGCCAUUUAUUCUUGGUACUUUGUGCCAUCAUGAAACUUUGUUGAGAGCUUGGUUUGUUUGGAACCAUCCUCUCUUUGGGAGUUUGACAUCUUUUAUUUUAGUGUGUAUCAAUGGAUAUCUCACUCCUUGUUGUAUCUUUAAUGAUAUCUUCCAAGUGAUGAUUUAUCUAUUUGGUAUCCUUUUCUCUUGGCAUUUCAUUUUGUUUUGGUUUUAGUUCUUGAAAGUCUUGAGCAUGCAUAUUUACUUCAUGUAUGUUUUAUGGCAUGCUUUCUUUCUUUGACUCAAUAUAUAGGGGAAACUCCACCUAGUCUCAAUUUGUAUGAGAUGUGCAUGAAAUUCUUUUUCAAAUCUAUAUGCACAUAUUUAUGUGGAGUUUGUCCUAUGUAUUGGUGUUUCUAACUAUUUGGUCCCGAUGAGUUUGGGUACCGUUUAGUGUGUGUUGUUCUUUUAGGAACAUUUAGAGAUUCAUUGGAUGCUCGGCUCACUCACAAGGAAGGUGUUGUCACCAUGUGCAUUUUGGAGUCAAGCUAGGAUGAUCAAUGAACUACUAUCUACCUUCAAUGGGUAUCUACUACAUCCUUCCAAUGAUAUCUCGGUAACAAGUAUCUUUAUCUACUUCAUGCACACAUUUAUUGCAUCAACCUUGUGUAGGUUGUAUCAUGGCAUGUGUUUCACUAGUUCUUGUGAUACUUGUUUCCUUUCUCAAAGCAUCUCAACGAUCAUAUCAUGUUGCUAGUUGUGAUGUCUUUGAUGGUUGUGUGGUAGGAAUUCAUCUAUAUCCAAUAAGACCAUAUCUAGCCAUGUGUUAUGCUUCCAAGCAAAUAUAUUAUUGGUAUAUCUAUGACUUCCUUUUGGAUAUCUUGUUCCUUCGUGUUGUAACUAUUCCGGGUGUACAUCCUUCUUUGUAGAUAUAUCUUCAUGAUUUCGUCUACCUAGAAUCUUAUACACUUGAGAGAAGUUGCAUAUCUAGAUGAUAUCCUUUCUUUCAUGUCCACCUUGUCUUUCUUAUGUUAUUUCUUUGGUGGAUCCGUGAAAGCUUUUGCCUUGAGUGCGUGUCCUCUAUCGUUGCAUCUUGAUGCACUCUUGUGUGGUGAAGAUUAUUUUCCUCUUGCUUAUCUUUACGAGGCUUGGUAUCCCUCGUCUUGAUGAGCCUCUCUUCGUCUAUCUUCACCACGGGUUGUCACAAGCAUAGGUUCUCUAUUUGCUUAUUAGUAAGCUUGUGAACCCAUUUGCCAGUUGUGUGUGGGAAUGAUAGGCCUUGCACCGUGCGCCUCAUUCUUUCAAGACUAUGUUGCUGCUUAAUGCUCAUCCUAAUUUUAGUCUUCUCAAGUGCUUCGCCAUGACUCACACACAUCAUUUUUUGGUUGAGCCUUUUCUUAAGUUGCCUCUCUUACAUGUUGCUCAACCAUGUGCUUGUUGCAAGCGCUAGGCUUUGUUUCCUAUUUGCUCACUUGCACUGGAUGUGAGUUUCUAUUGAUUUUGGGGGAGCUAUGAUCCUAUUUUGUGCACUUUGUAUUCAAAUACAAAUAUUCUUAUGUGCGCACAAAUCAUGGGGAGCUUCUCUAGUUUUUUAGAACACUCCUUUGCGCUUUUCUUAUCUUUUCUUGUGGCCCGUAGGAUUAUUGGUCUAGUUGCUUCAAUUGGUAUCUUUUGAUUGCUUGUGUCUCUCUUUGUUAUGUCUUUGUGGCAUAUCUUUCUGUUGCAAUCUUUGGCCCUCAAUAUAGUUUGUGUUCCUCCAAGUAUUUACCGUUGGAUAUGUGUAUUGCAUUCCACUCUCUUGUGAGGAAAUACACAAUUUAUGGAGAACCACAGUUUAUAUUGGUCUUCUUAGCUUUUCGCCCAUUUUGGCAAUCGAUGCCAAUGGGGGAGAAGUUUCAGAGAGUUUUGUGGAGAAGUUUAGAGAGUUAUCUCUUCUUGCUUUGGUUUUGUUCCUUAGCAUUUGCAUCUCAUAUGCAUGCACUAUUGGUUGUUGCAUUGCCUAGUGAAGCAUAAUUCCUUAUAUAAACUCUCUUGAAAGUGAUUGUCAUCAAUUACCAAAAUGGGGGAGAUUGAAAGAACAUGCGGUGCCCCCAUGUUUGGUUUUGGUAAUUGAUAAAAAUCUCUAUGGACUAAUGGUUGCCUUGAGUUAUAUUUGAAGGUUUUGUCCAUAGGUUUUUCUUGAAGUCCAUGUGUUGGUUUCAAGGAGUUUAUGAGUUGACCAAGGUGCUAUUAAGGAAUUAUCCAAAGAUUGGUCAUGUGAGUAUUGAGCUUAUUGCAAGCAUGUCUUGAAGAAGAAGAUUGUGUGAUCAUUCAUAUUUACCUUCAAGACAUCAUCCAAAUGAAGAGAGUUGGAAAGAUUCAAGGUUGAUCAAGACUAAGUCAAGAGUGAAUCAAGUUGAUCAACUCACAAAGCGUAGAAGAUGUACCGAGAGGGAUCAAGUGAUCCCAUGGUAUGGUAAGCAUUGUCCAUUGCACUUUGUGUACUAACCCAUGGUCUAUGUGAGACUUCUAUGUGGGGUUAGGUACAUGUCCAUGGGCUUGCUUCAAGGAGAAGAUAUCAUACAACCCAUGGAAAGAAUGACAUCAAGUGGUGAUCGUCAUCAAGAUUGCCGUGUGCAAGUUCAAGUGGAGCAUCACGAAGAGAUCAAGUGCUUGAAUCUUGCCAUCCAUUGUGGUGUCAAUGGACUUGUGAAGAUGUGCCUAAGAGUGGCUCACCCAUAGUGGACUAUGGGGGAGCAAUCAUCUAGUCUUCAUCGAGCCAUCGCAAUCAAGAAAGGUGGUCCAACUUGAGGGAGUCAAGAUCGUCUUCAUCUAGCUCAAGUGGACCAUGUGCAAGGCAAAGGUUUGCCCUUGAUAGGUUGUCUAUUUUACCGGUCUCGUGGUGGUAGUUGGGAGACCGGGUUAUAGGAUCGUUUGCCGUACUAUCAAGGGGGGCUCUCAAGUUGGUAGCUUGAUCGUAUCGAUAGUAGAGAGCUCAAACCAUUACAUCCUUGCGUCAUGUUUCUUGGUUCUUGUUUGGUUAUCUUUGUGAGUCUUAGAGCUUAUGUUUGUCUUGAUGACAAGCUUGAGUUCAUCGAAAACAGAGUUCGCAUGCGUCUUCUAUGAUGUUUUCGGUGUUGGAGGUUUUACCAGUCUUAUAUGAGGAAGGGUUCUCACCUUUUUAUUAUGGGCCUUUUCUCAUUUGAUUAUUCUUGAUAGUAGCCCAUGUCGUUAGCUUUCCAACAAACUUGGUUUCGUUGAAUUCGGAGUCUGUUUGCAAAAGUUGUGGAUGUUUUGGUAAAGGCUGCAGCGGUACUACCGCGACUAGAGCCGAUGUAAUUUUUUACUACCGCUCCGGUCCAAAAUCUCGUAUUUUGCUCAGCGGAAAUAGGCACGGAAGUAUUUUUUUAGUACCGCUCGCAAGCNNNNNNNNNNNNNNNNNNNNNNNNNNNNNNNNNNNNNNNNNNNNNNNNNNNNNNNNNNNNNNNNNNNNNNNNNNNNNNNNNNNNNNNNNNNNNNNNNNNNNNNNNNNNNNNNNNNNNNNNNNNNNNNNNNNNNNNNNNNNNNNNNNNNNNNNNNNNNNNNNNNNNNNNNNNNNNNNNNNNNNNNNNNNNNNNNNNNNNNNNNNNNNNNNNNNNNNNNNNNNNNNNNNNNNNNNNNNNNNNNNNNNNNNNNNNNNNNNNNNNNNNNNNNNNNNNNNNNNNNNNNNNNNNNNNNNNNNNNNNNNNNNNNNNNNNNNNNNNNNNNNNNNNNNNNNNNNNNNNNNNNNNNNNNNNNNNNNNNNNNNNNNNNNNNNNNNNNNNNNNNNNNNNNNNNNNNNNNNNNNNNNNNNNNNNNNNNNNNNNNNNNNNNNNNNNNNNNNNNNNNNNNNNNNNNNNNNNAGGGUUCUCACCUUUUUAUUAUGGGCCUUUUCUCAUUUGAUUAUUCUUGAUAGUAGCCCAUGUCGUUAGCUUUCCAACAAACUUGGUUUCGUUGAAUUCGGAGUCUGUUUGCAAAAGUUGUGGAUGUUUUGGUAAAGGCUGCAGCGGUACUACCGCGACUAGAGCCGAUGUAAUUUUUUACUACCGCUCCAGAGCGGUACUACCGCACAGUACUACCACGGCUCCUAAGCGGUAGUACCGCUCCGGUCCAAAAUCUCGUAUUUUGCUCAGCGGAAAUAGGCACGGAAGUAUUUUUUUAGUACCGCUCGCAAGCAGUAGUACUGCUACCAUUUGCGGUAGUACCGUGAGGUCGAGUGGUAGUAUCGUGAGGACGAGCGGUAGUACCGCUCCGGUGGUUCUACUGGCCUUUUGCCUCCACGUUGUUGUUUUUCAAAGGGGUACUACCGCCCUAGCGGUAGUACCGCUCUGUGCGGGCUGUGAGCAUAACAGUUGGAUUUUUCCCCACCUAUAAAAGGGGGGUUUCUUCCCCAUUGAACCUUAUCCUUUAAGCUCGUGUUCUUCCCCCAUGUUGACCUUCUCCGAGCUUGCUAUCUCUCAAUACCUCCAUGGAUUCUUGCUAGUUUUUUAGGGAAAAGAGAGAGGAGAUCUAGAUCCACGUUUCCACCAAUCACUUUCUCCUCUAUGUGAGGGGAACCCCUUGGAUCUAGAUCUUGGAGUUCUUGGUGUUCUCCUUCUUGUUCUUCCUCUCAUUUUCCUCCCUAGCAUUAGUUGCUUCGGUGGGAUUUGAGAGAGAAGGACUUGGGCGCUCCGUGUGCCCUUGCCAUUCAUUUGGUGCAUCAGUUUGAGUUCUCCACGGUGAUACGUGGAAGUUUCAAGUUGAGAAGCUUAUUACUCUUGGGUGCUUCGUGCCCUUGAGCUCGUUCCUCUUGGGUGCUUUGGCUCCCUAGACAGUUGGUGGUGCUUGGAGCUCAAUCAUUGUGGUGUAAAGCUCCGGGCAAGCGUUGGGGUCUCCAAUUAGGUUGUGGAGAUCGCCCCGAGCAAUUUGACGGGUACCGGUGACCGCCCCCAAGGGUUGCCAAAGUGUACGAGUUCGGUGACCGCCCCCAAGGGUUGCCAUUUGUACGGGUUCGGUGACCGCCCUCAAGGGUCCCUUAGUGGAAUCACGGCAUCUUGCAUUGUGCGAGGGCGUAAGGAGAUUAUGGUGGCCCUAGUGGCUUCUUGGGGAGCAUUGUGCCUCCACACAGCUCCAAACGGAGAUUAGCAUCCGCAAGGGUGUGAACUUCGGGAUACAUCGUCGUCUCCGCGUGCCUCGGUUAUCUCUUACCCGAGCCCUUUACUUAUGCACUUUACUUUGUGAUAGCCAUAUUGUUCUUUGUCAUAUAUCUUGCUAUCACAUAGUUACUUAUCUUGCUUAGCAUAAGUUGUUGGUGCACAUAGGUGAGCCUAGUUGUUUUAGGUUUUGUGCUUGACAAAUUAACCGCUAGGUUUAUUCCGCAUUUGUUCAAGCCUAAACCGUAAUUAUUUUAAAGCGCCUAUUCACCCCCCCCCCCUCUAGGCGACAUCCACGAUCUUUCAGGCAUCAUUCGGCAACUAAGGGAGGGCAAUAAGAGGCUCCAGGCCGAGAGCGACCUGCUGAGGGAGAAGAUCGUCCAAAGUGCAGACCGGCAGGAGGAGGCCAGUGCCUUGUUGAAGAGGACCGGCGUCAUCGUCAAGAAACUUAUGGACGAGAAUGACAUGCUCCGCAACGAGCACCAAAGGCUGGUGGAGGAAUCCGUGGAUGUUCCCAAGUAGCGUCUUCAGGACACGAAAGAGCUCAUCGCCGCUUGCCGCGGAGACUAAUUCCCGCGGCCUUCAGCAACGCAUCAAGAAAGUAGAGAUCAGCGAGCCAGAUCCUUGUAUUCCUUCUUCUUUUGCCCUUGUGUAUUUCGGGCGUAGCCGCAUGUGGCUUUUUUUAAUUAUCUUUCUAAUUAUGUAAGGCAAUUACUCGUCCUUAUCUUUCUGUGGAAGAUCAAUGUUGCGAGGCUGGAAUGAAGAAAACUCUUGUUGUGGCGACCCCUGGCGUUGUUGUUCUUCUAGUUGCUGCUGGGCUUCCUUCAGUUUCCUGGUUUCUUUUGAUGUAAUAAUCGGUUUAGGAUGUGGAUUGUGUCGUCGGCUGUGAAAUGUUGGGUUCUAGCGCGGAUGUUUGGCCUUUGUUGGCCUCUUGGGAUGUUGCGAUUUCAAUCUGGUACUCCCUCCGUCUCAUAAUGUAAGACGUUUUUUGACACUAUACUAGUGUCAAAAAGCGUCUUAUAUUAUGGGACGAAGGGAGUAGCUUUUAGUCCUUCGUGUUAGGCUGGAGUUGUGCUGAACUUCUUGUGAAUUGUGGUGGUUUUCAGUAAUGAAAAUCGGAAGGGGCAAGCCCUUCUUUGAUAAAAAAAUCGUCCUUAUAUAUUCAUCAGUCUUGCUACAAGUCGCAGUAGAUGCUAUAUAGGUCCGUCAAAUCUUACAUCAAGAUCCGUGCUUUCAGAUUUUCUUUUUUCUCUCUUAAAUCUCAGUCGAGUGAGACAUAGCCACGCCAUUAAACAGAGGCUCGGGCGCCAUUAAUGGAGGCCUUGGGAAAGAGGUGGAUGGUAGAUGGAGGUCAAAGGGCUUUCCUCCCGAUAAGCACGCGCAGGGGUCUGAUCGCACGCCUCUCGUACUCAAAUAGCUACCCUGCAUGGCUCCUCCUAGCUAAUAAAAAAUGGGGACGCGUGGCGGCACGUAAAUGGUACUAGUAAGUAGAAUGCCCACGGUUUCAAUAAUACUUGUGUUUCCGAUUGUAACGUGACAACACUUGUUCCAAAAUGACUUUGUUGAUUGUUAAUGUGUGCGCCUUCGCAAAUCGGACUGCAAAUUUACCACAGCAUGUUGGUGCCAUGUCAUGGCACCAAGCCAAGUUUCAUUAUUUUCAUGCGUGUUUUGGAUUUACAGGAAUUAAAAAACUAAGUUUCUCAAUGUUUCCAACCCAGCCACGACGCCCAGAAUUUUGAAUUUCAUUCCCAUUUCUUGCAUGGAACCUAGAAAUUUACCCGAGGACACACAUGUGAUUUUUCAACCAACUUUGGUGCACUAGAACAUGUGCUUGUAUUUCAAAUUUGAAUUAUGCACACAAAGGUGACACGUUCCCUCCCAGAACCACGAGCCUUCUUGAGAGAAGCUCCGGUUUGCAAGAAGCUUAUACCAAAAUUUGUUCCUAUUCGACCAAUUUUUUUACCACGGCAUGGUACUACCAUGACAUGACACCAUGCCAAGUUUCAUGAUUUUAAAACCAAGUUUCUCAAUGUUCUCGACCGAGCCACGAUGCCCAGAUGUUUGAAUCUUAUUCUCAUUUUUUGCAUGGGAGUAGAAAUUCACCCGAGGACAGAAAUGUGAUUUUUCAACCAACUUUGGUGCACGGGAGAACGUGCUUGUAGUUCAAAUUUGAAUUAUGCACAUUAAAUGACCAAAAACUCAAUUAAUGUGUAAAUAAGGCCAAGCGAAGCCGGAAUAAUUCCAAAAUUUAACAGGGCACUCAUGUAGUUCUAUGUUGCCUUUGUAAAUAAACUCAAGGGGGACAACGUAUAUUGUUUUGCACUCAAAGGUGACACGUUCCCUCUCAGAACCACGAGCCUUCUUGAGAGAAGCUUCGGUUUGCAAGAAGCUUAUACCAAAAUCUGUUCCUAUUCGACCAUUUUUUUACCACAACAUGGUAGUACCAUGACAUGACAUCCAUGCCAAGUUUCAUGAUUUUCAGACGUGUUUUGGAUUUAAUAGAAUUUUAAAACCAAGUUUCGCAAUGUUCUCGGCCGAGCCAUGAUGCCCAGAUGUUUUAAUUUUAUUCUCAUUUCUUGCAUGGGACCUAGAAAUUCACCCGAGGACACAAAUGUGAUUUUUCAACCAACUUUGGUGCACGAGAGCAUGUGCUUGUAGUUCAAAUUUGACUUAUGCACAUUAAAUGACCAAAGGUGACACGUUCCCUCUUAGAACCACGAGCUUCCAAAUCGGCCCAAUUUUUUACCACAACAUGUUAGUGCCAUGACAUGACAUCAUGCCAAGUUUCAUGAUUUCCAGCCGAGUUUUGGAUUUACAUGAAUUUAAAAUCUAAGUUUCUCGAUGUUCUCGGCAGAGUCAUGACGCCCAGACGUUUGAAUUUCAUUCUCAUUUCUUCCAUGGGACCUAGAAAUUCAACCAAGGACACACAUGUGAUUUUUCAACCCACUUUGGUGCACAUGUGCAUGCAAUUCAUAUUUAGAUUAUGCACAUUAAAAGUCCAGAAACUCAAUUAAUGUAUAAAAAGGCCAAAUGAACCCAAAAUAAUUCCAAAAUUUAACAGGGCACUCAUAUAGUUCUAUGUUGCCUCUGUAAAUAAAAUCAGGGGGGAGGCAGUGUAUAUCGUUUCGCACACAAAGGUGACACGUCCCCUCUCGGAACCACGAGGCUUGUUGAGAGAAUCUCCGGUUUUGCAAGAGGCUUAUACCAAAACUUGUCCCAAUUCAGCCAAAAAUUAUACGUAUGAAAACAUGGUUUAGAUUAUCCCGAACAUCUCGCUACCUAGACCAAUAAUGUACUAUGAUUUGAAUUCAACAUAAAAUGGAUACAGAUAUUUGAAUUGGAGAGCGUAUGGUACAUGUAGUUCAUAGUGAAAUAUGAUUACUGCUAUAUGCAUGUCUUUUUGUUAUCAUGGUAAUAUUUAAAUUAUUGUAUAACUUGACAACAAUUGUAUUCAAAUAAGGAAAAUUGAUUAAAAUUUAGUCCAUAUGGUAGACGACAAUAUAUAUGUUCACAUGGUGGAGUAAAAUGUUCAUAUAUGAUGGAAGAUCAAAAUGUACGACUACAUCAAUUAUAAACCGCAAGGUCACCUAAUGAUAUAUUCGAAUUCAACAUAACGUGGAUUCAAAAAUUGAAAUUCGAGAUCAUGGCAUCUGUAAUCAUAUAAAAAGGGACAUUACUCUUUCUUUGGUGGGAAUUGAUUUGUUUUUUGUUGUUGUUGAGGGAAGUGCGAAUCGAUUUGGUACUGUGCAGGGUAAUCUUGUUCUCCCGAUUUUUUUUACAUUUUUCUUGUAGUUUUUUCAAUGGCAUCUAUAGCAAUAUAGUAAAAGGGGACAUGACUCUCUUAUGUCUUAUAUGAUUUUUUUACACGUUAAGUUUGUUCUGCCGAACAAGGAAUCCGCACCUUGUUAUCCCUAAAUUUUCAAGCUCGAGUAUCUUUUGUCUCACCUGCUUUGAAACUCCCGCUUCUUCAACCCGCGCCACGCCUUGUUAUCCCGAAAUUUGGACGCGCGCGAGAACUCCCUCCUCAUCCGAAAUCGCUCCCGCAGCCCAGACACGCGAAAUCCCCCUUCUACCCCUCAGCCGGAAAUGAAGCUCCACGUCGCGGUGUCAAAGCUGGUGGGGGUACGCUGGUAACUUACCCUACAUUUCAGACAAGCGCAUCCCUAAGCUUGGCUCCCCCCUCCCCCUUCGCCCCCCNNNNNNNNNNNNNNNNNNNNNNNNNNNNNNNNNNNNNNNNNNNNNNNNNNNNNNNNNNNNNNNNNNNNNNNNNNNNNNNNNNNNNNNNNNNNNNNNNNNNNNNNNNNNNNNNNNNNNNNNNNNNNNNNNNNNNNNNNNNNNNNNNNNNNNNNNNNNNNNNNNNNNNNNNNNNNNNNNNNNNNNNNNNNNNNNNNNNNNNNNNNNNNNNNNNNNNNNNNNNNNNNNNNNNNNNNNNNNNNNNNNNNNNNNNNNNNNNNNNNNNNNNNNNNNNNNNNNNNNNNNNNNNNNNNNNNNNNNNNNNNNNNNNNNNNNNNNNNNNNNNNNNNNNNNNNNNNNNNNNNNNNNNNNNNNNNNNNNNNNNNNNNNNNNNNNNNNNNNNACCACCAAAACCUGCCAAACCCCACGCAACUCCGUCGGCCUCCCGACCGCCGCCCAGCCGGAGACUCUUCCCCGACUACGUCAUCCACCGCAAUAGCUCGCCGUCCCUCAUCCACCACACCGGAUGAGGAUCCGUUGUCGAUCUCGUCGUCCCACUGGAUCAGCCGCCCCGUCCUCUACCUCCAAGGAGCUGCCCUGACGUUCGCCUCGUCUAUCGCGCCACCUCAAUCCCCACAGCGCCAUCUUGACCUGCCCCACCGGAACCGUGGCACCCUCACCAAUUCCUCUGAGGAAGCCGAGGCCAACUCGGCGCCACCAAGGAGGUUCUGUACUCACCGCUGCAUUUUAUCUUUUAUUCGAUCUCACGGGGCUGCCGGUGCUCGAUACCGAGCAGACAUGGCGUCUCCAUCGACGACGUCGUUGCCGGCCACAUCAUCCACAACGUCUCUCCCCCAUGUCGUUGCUUCCUCGGCGGCGACUUCCACAACGGCACUAGUUGCAGCUGCUCCGGCUCUCGCUCGCGCUGCGGCUCUGUUCUUGCUGUCGGUCGCGCUACUGCACUACUCCUGCUUUCGUUCGUGUUGCUGCUCUGCUCUUGCUCUCGCUUGCGCUGCUGCUGCUGCUACACGACCUCCGGCAGCUACAGGAGUUGCUGCUUUAGCACUCGCUCGCGGUGCUACUGCAUGACUUGCUCUCUGCUAGUGCGUUUCCUGCUCGAGCGUCUGUUGAUUUAGAUCACUGCUUCUCUGCUACUAGUGCUCGAACGCCCUAAACAUCUAUUGCAAUGCUCUGUUACUAGUUCAAUCAGUUUGGACAGUAAAAUUCAGUUUCGACUGUGAAGUUCACUUUCUUCAGUUAAGUUCAGAGUGAACAGUACUUACAACAUCUGUCGGAGCGGCCGUGGCGCGGCUGAUGCGUUUUACAUCUAGCACUUUUUGGUGAUGUAUUUUACAUCAUCUAUUGCAGAUGAUAUUUGGGUCCCACUUCAUAUUAAAGUUGUUUGUCUUGUCAUGCUUCAGCCUCGUCGCCGUACACCUUAGCGGAGCUACUCCAAUGACGGAACCGUCCAUCACAGCGGAGCAGUACCCUCGGUGCCGUUUCCAGAGGCCUCGGAUCUUCUUCCCCGCCUCCGACAGUCACACCAGCAUCAUCACCAUCCUCCACGUCCAACCCAAUGAUGCUGAGGUCCAAAAGGCUAUGCCAAAGAGGUUGUACAGUCGUCGCAUCACUUUGUUUCUCCAUUCCUCUGUUCUUCCAAUUCACGUGAGCCAAACACCCAGGUUGACUGAAAUCCUAUGUUUCCAAAUGCUUUGUUUCGCACAUGCAUUCCUAUCCUAUUCCUGUGUUUUUCCUGUCCCUGCGUUUAUAGAAUCCUCCAAUUCUAAGGAGCCCUUACAAAUUUACUUCAUUUUCAUAUUGGCGUCAAAGAAAACUCUGUGUGUUAUGUCCUGCUCCUGCCGUGCCAUCAUCCACCCCACCUAAGGUGCACCAUCGACAGAAGCGUUCACUAUAGCAGAGAUCCCCCCUGCAGACUUUAUUUUGCCGCCUCAGAUCAUCUUCCCCGUUCCCGGCAGCCAUAGCCAACUGGAUUACCAUCAUUGACUGAGCAGAUGAACCUGAGGACUACAUAGUUCCGGAAGAGAGGUUGCAGUCUUUUGUGUUUGCUUACGUUAUACAUCGGUUAUUAUUACCUGCUACUUUAUCGUUCAAUCUUGAGUUUUGAAUUGCCCAUGGGUCUCAUAUCGAGCCAGCAACGAAUAGUAUCUGUCUACUAUCUGGUUCAUCUGGGGCCUUCUAUGUGGUUCAUGUUGGGUGGGCAACAAACAAUAGAUGAUCCAUUGUCUAUCUUUUUAAACUGAAGCUAUAAUCUACCUGCUAUCAUUAGUUUUGGAUCCAUCCACUCGUUUGCUACCAUCAGUCUUGAUUUUUGCAUGCACCCCUUAGGCCUUACAAAAUCUAACUAUUUUUUUAUUAUUAUGCAUGUCAGAUAUUGUACACAAUCGUACUAAACAUGUAGAGAAAAAGAGAAGACCAUUGCGUGCGAAUAUAAUGUCAUGCAGACGCUGCUCCAUGGUGGGCGAAGUGCCCCCCCCCCUCUCCUGCAUUUCCAGAUUGUAUUCCAGAGGAAGAUAACUGUUCAGAUGGAGAUUCAGAAGGAGCCGACCAUGCCUGUUUACCACCUGAGGUGUUUGGUCUAACCUGGCAUGCUGAUGUUGGUCAUAUCAUGCAUAUGGCGCCUUGCAUUGCUUACAUUAUACAUCGUAUAUGUCAUCAGCUUAGUUUAGAUUUGCUUUGUGUGAAUGCCACCUGUUUGGUUUCUAUAUCAUACUCCCACCAUUCCUAAAUAUUUGUCUUUUUAGAUAUUUCAACAAGUGACUACAUAUGGAAAAAAUGAGUGAAUCUACACUCUAAAAUAUGUCUAUAUACAUCCGUAUGUGGUAGUCCAUUUGAAAUCUCUAAAAAGACAAAUAUUUAGGAACGGAGGGAGUAUAUGGGAAUUAUGCAAUGCCAUCUUCUUGGUUUGUGGACAUACACCCUACCUUUCUCGACGCUUGGUUUGUGGACAUACACCCUACCUCCGCCGACAGUUGGUGUGUGAACAUACACCCUACUUUGGCCAACGAAUGGAUUGUCCUUCUAGGUCUAUACCUCCGUCGACAGUUGGUGUGUGAACAUACACGAUCGAAUCUCGGGCAAGUAACAUACCAAUGACAAAGGGAACAACGUAUGUUGUUAUGCGGUUUGACCGAUAAAAGAUUUUCGUAGAAUAUGUAGGAACCAAUAUGAGCAUCCAGGUUCCACUAUUGGUUAUUGAACGGAGACGUGUCUCGGUCAUGUCUACAUAGUUCUCGAACCCGUAGGGUCCGCACGCUUAACGUUCGAUGACGAUUGGUAUUAUGAGUUUAUGUGAUAUGAUGUACCGAAGAUUGUUCGGAGUCCCGGAUGUGAUCACGGACAUGAUGAGGAGUCUUGAAAUGGUCGAGACAUAAAGAUUGAUAUAUUGGAUGACUAUAUUCGGACACCGAAAGUGUUCCGGAGAAGUUUCGGAUAAAACCCGAGUGUCGGAGGGUUACUGGAACCCCUCAGGGGAACUAGUGGGCCUAGAUGGGCCUUAGUGGGAGAAGAGGAAGGGCCAGGAGGGGUUGGCCGUGCCCCCCCCCCUCCUUGAGUCUGAAUAGGACAAGAGAAGGGGGGCGCCCCCCCCCCUUCCUUCCCUUCCCCCUCUUCCUUCCUCCUUCCCCCUCUCUUCCCUUGUUGGAAACCUACUAGGAAUAGGAUUCCUAGUAGGAAUCCUACUUGGGGCACACCCCAUGAGGGCCGACCGGCCUCCCCCCUUGCUCCUUUAUAUACGAGGGCAGGGGGCACCCUAAGGCACACAAGUUGACAAUUGUUUUAGCCGUGUGCGGUGCCCCCCUCCACAGAUUCCACCAUGGUCAUAUCGUCGUAGUGCUUAGGUGAAGCCUUGCACCGAUAACUUCAUCAUCACCAUCACCACGUCGUCGUGUUGACGAAACUCUCCCUCAACCUUAGCUCGAUCUAGAGUUCAUGGGACGUCACCGAGCUGAACGUGUGCAGAUCGCGGAGGUGCCGUACCUUUGGUGCUAGGAUCGGUCGGAUCGUGAAGAUGUACGACUACGUCAACUGCGUUGUCAUAAUGCUUCCGCUUUCGAUCUACGAGGGUACGUAAACAACAUUCUCCCCUCUCAUUGCUAUGCAUCACCUAGAGAUAGAUCUUGCGUGGUCGUAGGAAUUUUUUUGAAAUUACUGUGUUCCCCAACAGUGGCAUAAGAGCCAGGUCUAUGCGUAGAUGUUAUAUGCACGAGUAGAACACAAAGAGUUGUGGGCGAUAAUAGUCAUACUGCUUACCAGCAUGUCAUACUUUUAUUCGGCGGUAUUGUUGGAUGAAGCGGCUCAGACCGACAUUACACGUACGCUCACGCGAGACUGGUUCUACCGACGUGCUUCGCACAUAGGUGGCUGGUGAGUGUCUGUUUCUCCAACUUUAGUUGAAUCAAGUGUGGCUAUGCCCGGUCCUUGUUGAAGGUUAAAACAACACACUUGACGAAAAAUCAUUGUGGUUUUGAUGCGUAGGUAAGAACGGUUCUUGCUAGAAGCCUGUAGCAGCCACGUAAAACUUGCAACAACAAAGUAGAGGACGUCUAACUUGUUUUUGCAGGGCUUGCUAUGAUGUGAUAUAGUCAAGGAAUGAUGUGAUAUAAAUUGUUGUAUGAGAUGAUCAUGUUUUGUAACAAAGUUAUCGGCAACUGGAAGGAGCCAUAUGGUUGUCGCUUUAUUGUAUGCAAUGCAAUCGCCAUGUAAUUGUUUUACUUUAUCACUCAAGUGGUAGUGAUAGUCGUAGUAACAAUAGUUGGCGAAACGACAACAAUGCUAUGAUGGAGAUCAAGGUGUCACGCCGGUGACGAUGGAGAUCAUGAUGAUGCAUCGGCGAUAGAGAUCAUGAGCACAAGAUGAUGAUGGCCAUAUCAUGUCACAUAUAUUGAUUGCAUGUGAUGUUUAUCUUUUAUGCAUCUUAUUUUGCUUAGUAUGGCGGUAGCAUUAUAAGAUGAUCCCUUACUAAAUUUCAAGGUAUAAGUGUUCUCCCUGAGUAUGCACCGUUGCUACAGUUCUUCGUGCUGAGACACCACGUGAUGAUUGGGUGUGAUAGGCUCUACGUUUACAUACAAUGGGUGCAAGCCAGUUUUUGCACACGCAGAAUACUUGGGUUAAACUUGACGAGCCUAGCAUAUGCAGAUAUGGCCUCAGAACACUGGAGACCAAAAGGUCGAGCGUGAAUCAUAUAGUAGAUAUGAUCAACAUUGUGAUGUUCACCAUUGAAAACUACUCCAUCUCACGUGAUGAUCGGACAUGGUUUAGUUGAUUUGGAUCACGUGAUCAUUUAGAUGACUAGAGGGAUGUCUAUCUAAGUGGGAGUUCUUAAGUAAUAUGAUUAAUUGAACUUUAAUUUAUCAUGAACUUAGUCCUGACAGUAUUUUUGCAAAUUAUGUUGUAGAUCAAUAGCUCACGUUGUAGCUUCCCUGUGUUUUUUUAUAUGUUCCUAGAGAAAACUAAGUUGAAAGAUGACAGUAGCAAUGAUGCGGACUGAGUCCGUGAUCUGAGGUUUAUCCUCGUUGCUGCAUAGAAGUAUUAUGUCCUUGAUGCACCGCUAGGUGACAGAACUAUUGCAGGAGCAGAUGCAGAUGUUAUGAACAUUUGGCUAGCUUAAUAUGAUGACUACUUGAUAGUUUAGUGCACCAUGCUUUACAGCUUAGAAUCGAGACUUCAAAGACAUUUUGAACGUCAUGGACCAUAUGAGAUGUUCCAAGAGUUGAAGUUAAUAUUUCAAGCAAAUACUCGAGUUGAGAGAUAUGAAGUCUCCAACAAGUUCUAUAGCUAAAAGAUGGAGGAGAAUAGCUCAAGCAGUGAGCAUGUGCUCAGAUUGUCUGGGUACUACAAUCACUUGAAUCAAGUGGGAGUUAAUCUUUCAGAUAAGAUAGUGAUUGACAGGGUUCUCUAGUCACCAUUACCAAGUUACUGGAACUUACUGAUGAACUAUAGUAUGCAAGGGAUGACGAAAACAAUUCCUGAGAUCUUUGUGAUGCUGAAAUCGACAAAGGUAGAAAUCAAGAAAGAGCAUCAAGUGUUGAUGAUUGACAAGACCACAAGUUUCAAGUAAAGGGCAAAGGGAAAGAAAGGGCACUUCAAGUAGAAUGGCAAGCAAGUUGUCACUCCCGUGAAGAAGCCCAAAGCUGGACCAAAGCCUGAAACUGAGUGCUUCUACUGCAACGGAAAUGGUCACUGGAAGCGGAAAUGCCCUAAAUAUUUGGUGGAUAAGAAGGAUGGCAAAGUGAACAAAGGUAUAUUUGAUAUACAGGUUAUUGAUGUGUACCUUACUAGUGUUUAUAGUAGCCCCUGGGUAUUUGAUACUUGUUCGGUUGCUAAGAUUAGUAACUCGAAACAGGAGUUACAGAAUAAAUAGAGACUAGUUGAGGGUGAAGUGACGAUGUGUGUUGGAAGUGGUUCCAAGAUUGAUAUGAUCAUCAUCGCACACUCCCUAUACUUUCGAGAUUAGUGUUGAACCUAAAUAAUGUUAUUUGGUGUUUGCGUUGAGCAUAAAUAUGGUUAGAUCAUGUUUAUUGCAAUAGGAUUAUUCAUCUAAGAUAGAGAAUAAAUUGUUAUUCUGUUUACAUGAAUAAAACCUUAUAUGGUCAUACACCCAAUGUUGAUGGUUUAUUGAAUCUUGAUAGUAGUGAUACACACAUUCAUAGUGUUGAAGCCAAAAGAUAUAAGUUUAAUAAUUAUAGUGCAACUUAUUUGUGGCACUGCCGUUUGGGUCAUAUCGGUAUAAAGCGCAUGAAGAAACUCCAUGUUGAUGGACUUUUGGAAUCACUUGAUUAUGAAUCACUUGGUGCUUGCGAACCGUGCCUUAUGGGCAAGAUGACUAAAACUCCGUUCUCCAGAACAAUGGAACGAGCUACUGACUUAUUGGAAAUAAUACAUACUGAUGUAUGUGGUCCAAUGAGUAUUGAGGCUCGUGGUGGGUAUCGUUAUUUUCCUACCUUCACAGAUGAUUUGAGAAGAUAUGGUUAUAUCUACUUAAUGAAACAUAAGUCUGAAACAUUUGAAAAGUUCAAAGAAUUUCAGAGUGAAGUGGAAAAACAUCGUACCAAGAAAAUAAAGUUUCUACGAUCUGAUCGUAGAGGAGAAUAUUUGAGUUACGAGUUUGGCCUUUAUUUAAAACAUUGUGGAAUAGUUUCACAGCUCACGCCACAUGGAACACCACAGCAUAAUGGUGUGUCCGAACAUUGUAACCGCACUUUAUUGGAUAUGGUGUGAUCUAUGAUGUUUCUUACCGGGUUACCACUAUUGUUUUUGGGGUUAUGCAUUAGAGACAGUUGCAUUCACUUUAAAUAGGGCACCAUCAAAAUCCGUUGAGACGACGCCUUAUGAACAGUGGUUUGGCAAACCAAAGUUGUCGUUUCUUAAAGUUUGGGGGUGCGAUGCUUAUGUGAAAAAGCUUCAACCUGGUAAGCUCGAACCCAAGUCGGAGAAAUGCGACUUCAUAAGAUACCCAAAGAAAAUUGUUUGGUACACCUUCUAUCACAGAUCCAAAGGCAAGAUCGUUGCUAAGAAUGGAUCCUUUCUAGAGAAGGAGUUUCUCUUGAAAGAAGUGAGUGAGAGGAAAGUAGAACUUGAUGAGAUAAUUGUACCUUCUCCCGAAUUGGAAAGCAGUUCAUCACAGAAAUCAGUUCCAGUGAUUCCGCCACCAAUUAAUGAGGAAGCUAAUGAUGAUGAUCAUGAAACUUCAGAUCAAGUUACUACAGAACCUCGUAGGUCUUCCAGAGUACAAUCUACAUCAGAGUGGUAUGGUAAUCCUAUUCUAGAUGUCAUGUUACUAGACCAUGAUGAACCUACAAACUAUGAGGAAGCAAUGAUGAGCCCAGAUUCCGUGAAAUGGCUUGAGGACAUGAAAUCUGAGAUAGAAUCCAUGUAUAAGAACAAAGUAUGGACUUUGGUGGACUUGCCCGAUGAUCGGCAAGCCAUAGAGAAUAAAUGGAUCUUCAAUAGGAAGACGGACGCUGAUAGUAGUGUUACUAUCUACAAAGAUCGACUUGUUGCAAAAGGUUUUGAGAAGUUCAAAGAGUUGACUAUGAUGAGACUUUCUCACCCGUAGCAAUGCUUGAGUCUAUCUGAAUCUGUUAGCAAUUGCCGCAUUUUAUAAUUAUGAAAUUUGGCAGAUGGAUGUCAAAACUGCAUUCUUGAAUGGACUUCUGGAAGAAGAGUUGUAUAUGAUGCAACCAGAAGGUUUUGUCGAUCCUAAAGGUACUAACAAGGUGUGCAAGCUCCAGCGAUCCAUUUAUGGACUGGUGCAAGCCUCUCGGAGUUUUAAUAAACGCUUUGAUAAUGUGAUCAAAGCAUAUGGUUUUAUACAGGCUUUUGGAGAAGCCUGUAUUUACAAGAAAGUGAGUGGGAGCUCUGUAGAAUUUGUAAUAUUAUAUGUGGAUGACAUAUUGUUGAUUGGAAAUGAUAUAUAAUUUCUGGAUAGCAUAAAGGGAUACUCGAAUAAGAGUUUUUCAUUGAAAUACCUCGGUGAAGUUGCUUACAAAUUGGGCAUCAAGAUCUAUAAAGAUAGAUCAAGACGCUUGAUAAGAUUUUUCAAUGAGUAAAUACCUUGACAAAGUUUUUGAAAGAGCUCAAAAUGGAUCAGUCAAAGAAGGAAUUAUUGUCUGUAUUACAAGGUGUAAAGUUGAGUAAGACUCAAAGCCCGACCACGGCAGAAGAUAGAAAGAGAAUGAAAGUCAUCCCUAUGCCACAGUCAUAGGAUCUAUAAAGUAUGAUGUGUUGUGUACCAGACCUAUUGUGUACCUUGCCAUGAGUUUGGCAAGGGGUUACAAUAGUGAUCUAAGAGUAGAUCACUGGACAGCGGUCAAAAUUAUCCUUAGUGAGGACUAAGGAAAUGUUUCUCGGUGAUGGGGGUGAUAAAGAGUUCGUCGUAAAGAGUUACGUUGAUGCAAGCUUUUACACCUAUCCAGAUGAUUCUAAGUCUCAAUCUAAUAUAUAUUGAAAGUGGGAGCAAUUAGCUAGAGUAGAUCCAUGCAAAGCAUUGUAGACAUAGAAUAUUUACAAAAUACAUACGACUCUGAUUGUGACAGACCCGUUGACUAAACUUCUCUCACGAGCAAAACAUGAUCACACCUUAGUACUCUUUGGGUGCUAAUCACAUAGCAAUGUAAACUAUAUUAUUGACUCUAGUAAACCGUUUGAGUGUUGAUCACAUGGCGAUGUGAACUAUUGGUGUUAAUCACAUACAUAUGUGAACUAUUGGUGUUAAAUCACAUGGCGAUGUGAACUAGAUUAUUGACUCUAGUGCAAGUGGGAGACUAAAGGAAAUAUGCCCUAGAGGCAAUAAUAAAAUUAUUAUUUAUUUCCUUAUUUCAUGAUAAAUGUUUGUUAUUCAUGCUAGAAUUGUAUUAACCGAAAACUUAGUACAUGUGUGAAUACAUAGACAAAACAUAGUGUCCCUAGUAUGCCUUUACUUGACUAGCUCGUUAAUCAAAGAUGGUUACAUUUCCUAACCAUAGACAUGUGUUGUCAUUUGAUGAACGGUGACAUAAUUAGGAGAAUGAUGUGAUGGACAUGACCCAUCCAUUAGCUUAGCAUUAUGAUUGUGUUAGUUUCAUUGCUACUGCUUUCUUCAUGACUUAUACAAGUUCCUCAGACUAUGAGAUUAUGCAACUCCCAAAUACCGGAGGAACACUUUGUGUGCUACCAAAUGUCACAACGUAAAUGGGAGAUUAUAAAGGUGAUCUACAAGUGUCUCUGAAGGUGUUUGUUGGGUUGGCAUAGAUCAAGAUUAGGAUUUGUCACUCCGUGUUUCAGAGAGGUAUCUCUGGGCCCUCUCGGUAAUACUCAUCACUAUAAGCCUUGCAAGAAUUGUGACUAAUGAGUUAGUUACGGGAUGAAGUAUUACGGAACGAGUAAAGAGACUUACCGGUAACGAGAUUGAACUAGGUAUUGAGAUACCAACGAUCGAAUCUCGGGCAAGUAACAUACCGAUGACAAAGGGGUAUGUUGUAAUGCGGUUUAACCGAUAAAAGAUCUUCAUAGAAUAUGUAGGAACCAAUAUGAGCAUCCAGGUUCCGCUAUUGGUUAUUGACCGGAGACGUGUCUCGAUCAUGUCUACAUAGUUCUCGAACCGUAGGGUCCGCAUGCUUAACGUUCGAUGACGAUUGCUAUUAUGAGUUUAUGUGAUAUGAUGUACUGAAGAUUGUUUGGAGUCCCGGAUGUGAUCACGGACAUGACGAAGAGUCUCGAAUGGUGGAUAAAGAUUGAUAUAUUGGACGACUAUAUUCGGACACCAGAAGUGUUCCGGAGAAGUUUCGAAUAAAACCGGAGUGCCGGAGGGUUACAGGAACCCCCCGGGGGAACUAGUGGGACUAGGUGGGCCUUAGUGGGAGAAGAGGAAGGGCCAGGAGGGGAUGCCCCCCCCCACCCCUUGAGUCCGAAUAGGACAAGGGAAGGGGGGCGGCGCCCCCCUUUCCUUCCCUUCAUCCUCUUCCUUCCUCCUUCCCCCUCUCUUCCCUUGUUGGAAACCUACUAGGAAUAGGAUUCCUAGUAGGAAUCCUACUUGGAGCGCGCCCCAUGAGGGUCGGCCGGCCUCCCCCAUUGCUCCUUUAUAUACGGGGACAGGGGGCACCCUAAGACACACAAGUUGACAAUUGUUUUAGCCGUGUGCGGUGCCCCCCUCCACAGAUUUCCACCUCGGUCAUAUCGUCGUAGUGCUUAGGCGAAGUCCUGCGCCGGUAACUUCAUCAUCACCAUCGCCACACCUUUGUGCUAACGAAACUCUCCCUCGACCUCAGCUGGAUCUAGAGUUCAUGGGACAUCACCGAGCUAAACGUGUGCAAAUCACGGAGGUGACGUACCUUUGGUGCUAGGAUCGGUCGGAUCAUGAAGACGUACGACUACAUCAACCGCGUUGUCAUAAUGCUUUCGCUUUUGGUCUACGAGGGUACGUAGACAACACUCUCCCCUCUCAUUGCUAUGCAUCACCUAGAGAUAGAUCUUGCGUGAUCGUAGGUUUUUUUUUGAAAAUACCGCAUUCCCUAACAGGUAUGAGGGCUACGGCUAGGUCAAGACUUUUUAACUAGGUCAUCUGCCUGGGCUUAUGGGGCAUUUGAGGAGCCCGAUUGUAGAUGCUCUAUAACUAUCCCAUGGAGUACGGGCAAAAAAAUCGAGCAAAGUCGUCAUCCAUCCUCUAGUUGUUGGGAAACAUUGCAUGAAAAAUAAAAAUUUCUACGUUAUAUGUCUCUAACGUAUCUAUAACUUAUGUAGGAUUCAUGCCAUGUUUACAAUAAUUUUAUAUGAUUUUGGUAUGAUUUGAUUAGAACUAACCCGGACUCACACUAUUUUCAGCAGAACUAUUGUGGUGUUGUUUUUGUGCAGAAAUAAAAGUUCUUGGAAUGCGCUGAAAAUCAACGGAGAUUUUUUUGGGAAAAUAUAAAAAAUACUGGAACAAAAAUCUAUCGGAGGGGAGUCCCAUGGGCUCCACGAGGGUGGGGGCACGCCCACCCCCCUGGGACAUGCCCCUGUGCCUUGUGGACUCCCUGUGGGGCCCCUUGACUUGUCCUCCAUGCCAACCUCUUCUAUAAAUACCCAAACCUCCAUAAAAUAACCUAGAUCGGAAGUUUCGCCGCCGCAAGCCUCUGUAGCCACGAGAAAUCAAUCUAGGCCCUCUCUGGCACCCUGCCGGAGGGGGCCAUCAUCAUCGGAGGCCAUGGGGAAGGAUCUCGGAGGGGCCAUCAUCGCCAUGAAGGCCAAGGACUAGAGGAGGAACCUCUCUCCAUCCAGGGGGAGGCCAUGGAGGAGGAAGCACAAGGGAGAGAACUUCUCCUCCUCUCUCUCGGUGGUGCCGGAGUGCCAUUGGGUGGGGAAUCACCACCACGGUGAUCGUCUUCAUCAACGUCACCAUCAUCAUCACCAUCCUCAUCUCUUUUACGCGGUCCACUCUCCCGCACCCCGCUGUAAUCCCUACUUGAACAUGGUGCUUUAUGCCACAUAUUAUGAUCCAAUGAUGUGUUGCCAUCUUAUGAUGUUUUGAGUAGAUAUCCUUUGUCUUUGGGUUGAUUGAUGAUCUAGAUUGGUAUGAGUUGUAUGAUUUAUUUUGGUGUUGUCCUAUUGUGCCCUCCCUGUCGCGCAAGCGUGAGGGAUUCCUGUUGUAUGGUGUUGCAAUAUAUCCAUGGUUUACUAAUUGUCUGCCUUGCUUGAGUGACAGAAGCAUAAACACAGAUAAGUGGGUCACGGCGUAUGGGAAUAAAGGGGACUUGAUAUGUUAAUGCUAUGGUUGGGUUUUACCUUAAUGACUGAUACGUCUCCAACGUAUCUAUAAUUUUUGAUUAUUCAAUGCUAUUAUAUUACCCGUUUUGGAUGUUUAUGGGCUUUACAUUACACUUUUAUAUCAUUUUUGGGACUAACCUACAAACCGGAGGCCCAGCCCAAAUUGCUAUUUUUUUUGCCUAUUUCGGUGUUUCGAAGAAAAGGAAUAUCAAACGGAGUCCAAACGGAAUGAAACCUUCGGGAACGAUCUUUUUGGAACAAACGUGAUCCAGAGGACUUGGAGUGGAAGUCAAUAAACAAGCGAGGCGGCCACGAGGGUGCCCGGCACGCCCCCACCCUCGUGGGCCCCUCGAGCGUCCACCGACCUACUUCUUCCUCCUACAUGUACCCAUGUACCCCAAAAAUAUCAGAAGUGACCACGAAAAAUAUUUCCACCGAUGUAACCUUCUGUAUCCUCGAGAUCCCAUCUUGGAGCCUUCGCCGGCGCUCCACCGAAGGGGGAAUCGAUCAUGGAGGGCCUCUACAUCAUCUCCAAGGCCUCUCCGAUGAGUUGUGAGUAGUUUACCAUAGACCUUCGGGUCCAUAAUUAUUAGCUAGAUGGCUUCUUCUCUCUCUUUGAAUCUCAAUACAAAGCUCUCCUUGAUCUUCUUGGAGAUCUAUUCGAUGUAACUCUUUUUGCGGUGUGUUUGUCGAGAUCUGAUGAAUUGUGGGUUUAUGAUCAAAUUUAUCUAUGAUAAAUAUUUGAAUCUCCUCUGAAUUCUUUUAUGUGUGAUUAAGUUAUCUCUGCAAGUCUCUUCGAAUUAUCAGUUUGGUUUGGCAUACUAGAUUGAUCUUACUUGCAAUGGGAGAAGUGCUUAGCUUUGGGUUCAAUCUUGCGGUGUCCUUUCCCAGUGACAGCAGGGGCAGCAAGACACGUAUUGUAUUGUUGCCAUCGAGGAUAAAAAGAUGGGGUUUAUAUCAUAUUGCAUGAGUUUAUCCUACAUCGUGUCAUCUUUCUUAAUGUGUUACUAUGUUCUUUAUGAACUUAAUACUCUAGAUGCAUGCUGGAUAGCGGUCGAUGUGUGGAGUGAAAGUAGUAGAUGCAGGCAGGAGUCAGUCUACUUGUCACGGACGUGAUGCCUAUAUACAUGAUCAUGCCUAGAUAAUCUCAUAAUUAUUCGCUUUUCUAUCAAUUGCUCGACAGUAAUUUGUUCACCCACCGUAAUACUUAUGCUAUCUUGAGAGAAGCCACUAGUGAAACCUAUGCCCCCGGGUCUAUCUCUUAUCAUAUAAGCUUUCAAUCUACUUUUAUUUGCAUCUUUACUUUUCCAAUCUAUAUUAUAAAAUACCAAAAAUAUAUUUAUCUUAUCAUAUUAUCUCUAUCAGAUCUCACUUUCGCAAGUGGCCGCGAAGGGAUUGACAACCCGUUUAUUGCAUCGGUUGCGAGUUCUUGUUUGUUUGUGUAGGUGCGUGGGACUUUUGAGGAGCCUCCUACUGGAUUGAUACCUUGGUUCUCAAAAACUGAGGGAAAUACUUACGCUACUUUGUUGCAUCACCCUUUCCUCUUCAAGGAAAACCAAUGCAAGCUCAAGACGUAGCAAUGAUCUUUAGUAGUUGCGGAUGCUUGUUAGAGUUCCAAUCAUAAGUGCAUAUGAUCCAAGAAGAGAAAGUAUGUUAGCUUAUGCCUCUCCCUCAUAUGAUAUUGCAAUAGUGAUUACCGGUCUUGUUAACAAUUGCCUAGGAUAAUUCCACACACCGACCCAUCAUCAUUCCACACUUGCUAUUUAUAAUAUUUAGUAAUAUAUUCUAAAUUUAUGAUAACAACACCUACUUUUAUAUUUUACCUCUUUGAUAUCAUACAAAGUUAUCCUCUUCAUACCCACAACGUAGUUUUAUUUCUCGUUUCUAGUUGGAAGAAAACGUACGGUGUACGUAGAGUCGUAUCAGUGGCAGAUAGGACUUGAGAGAAUAUUGAUCUUGCCUUUAUCUCCUUGUGGGUUCGACACUCCAUGCUUAUCACUUCCACCUUUGGAAAUUGCUACGAUGAUUCCCUACACUUGGGGAUUAUCAAGCUCUUUUCUGGCGCCGUUGCCGGGGAGCAAUAGCGUGCGGUUGAUAUUCUCAUGUGUGCUUGUUUGCUUUCUUCCCUAAGUAGUUUUUUUCCUUUUUGAUUUGCUUAGUUCUGGGUUAAACAUACAAAAAAAUCAAAAAAUGAAAAUACAAAAAGAUGCACUUGCCUCAUAUGCCUAAAAAGUUUUUCAAGAAGAGAAGUGAUUGGAAAGUUAUGCAUUCGAGAAGUGAGGGUCGACCUUGAGCACUUGUGUUCAUGCUCAUGGAAACAAUGUAGAAUUUUUCAUGGAAGUUUCUCUGUAAAUAAUUAUCCCCUUGUAUAUAUCCUUUCUAUUAUAAAAAUAAUGUGCCAAGCUUUGGUUUUAGGAUGAUUAGAUUGCUUGUUUACUAUGUGCAGUACAAAAACAGAAACUUUGGCUGUAGCGCGUGAAUUUACAUUUUUUACUGGAAACUCAAAUGGGUCUGAAACUUUUUGCACAUUACUUCUGUAUAAAUUUUUUAAAUUUUCAUAUUUUAGUUAGAAUUGUUUUAGUUACAGAAGUUUACUAAAUUUCCAGAUUACUACAGACUGUCCUGUUUUCGACAGAUUCUGUUUUCUAUGUGUUGUUCGCUUAUUUUGAUGAAUCCAUGGGUAGUAUCGGGGGGUAUGAACUAUGGUGAAGUUGGAAUAUAGUAGAUAAAGUGCUAAUAUUAAAUUGAAAUGAUUUUGCAACAGUACCUAAAGGUAGUGAUUUGCUUUAUUAUACUAACGGAUCUCACAAAGUUUUUGUUAAGUUUUGUGUGGAUGAAGUGUUCGAAGAACGAGGAGUUACCGAUGUGAGAAGAAUAAAGAGAGGCAAGAGUUAAAGCUUGGGGAUUCCCAAGGAACCCCAAGUAAAUACUUCAAGUAUACUCAAGCCUCUAAGCUUGGGGAUGCCCCGGUUGGCAUCGCAUCUUUCUUCUUCAACAAUUAUCGGUAUACCUCGGUUUUUGUUUUGUUCACAUGAUUUGUGUCCCUUGUGUUUUUAUUUUUCUUUAGGAACCAUGCUAGUAUGAGAUAGCCAUUCAUUUAUUUAUAGAAUUCUUCAUGUGCUUCACUUAUAUCUUUUGAGUAUGGUUUUACAGAAUGCUUCGUGUGCUUCACUUAUAUAUUUUGAGCUUGGAUAUUGGUUAGUCUAUAUUAAUUGUAGAAUGCUCCAUGAUCUUCACUUAUAUCUUUUGGAGUAUGAAUAAUACUAUCAUCUAAAGUGGGUUUGGAAGAGUGUCAACUUUAGGAAUUAGUGAUCCCACUAUUUUGGAGGGUGUUGAAUCUUAGUGUGAUAUUUAUGAAAGUGGAUUUGGAAGAGUGUCAACUUUAGUUAGUAAUGAUUCCACUAUUUCGGAAGACAUUCCAAUUGAUUAUGAGAACAAAGUUGCUAUCUAUGAUGAUUAAUAUGAUGACAUGUAUGCUAUAAAGAAUAAUGUUAACCAUGAAACUUGUCAUCAUGAUUUUAAUUUUCAAUUGGAUUAUGCCUCACAUGACAGUUAUUUUGUUGAGUUUGCUCCCACUAUUCCGAAUGAGAAGAAUUUUGCUUAUGUGUAGAGUAGAAAAAUUUCUAUGCUUGUAGAUCACGAAAAGAAUGAUUUAUGUGAUGGUUAUAUUGUUGAACUCAUUAAUGAUGCUACUGAAAAUUAUUAUGAGGGAGUAAUAUAUGCUUGUAGGAGUUGCAAUAAUAUCAAGUUUCUUCUCUAUAUGCUUAAAGUCUCGAAGUUAUACUUGUUUUGCCUUCCUAUGCUAGUUGAUUAUUGUUCCCUUAAAUUGUGUGCUCACAAAAUCCCUAGGCAUAGGAAGUGGGUUAGGUUUAAAUUUGCUAGUCAUAUUCUUCAUGAUGCUCUCUUUAUGUUUCAAUUCUUAUCUUUUAUGUGAGCAUCAUUGAAAUCAUCAUGCCUAGCAAAAAGGCAUUAAAGAAAAGCGCUUGUUGGGAGAUAACCCAAUAUUUACCUUUAAUGUUUUGUGUGUACACAUGAUUAAGCUACUGUAGUAAUCAUGUUUUAUAGCUUUUGUUUCAAUAAAGUGCCAAGUAAGACCUUUGGGAAGAUUUGGGUGAAAGUUUAAUGUGAUCUUGCUGUAAAAAACAGAAACUUUGUGCUCACGAGAUUAGUUGUCAUAUUUUACAGAAGAGUGAUUUUGAGUUGAUUAUUUUUUUAGAAGAUUAAUAUACAAAUUCCUCACGUCCACCAAUUUAUUUCAGAAUUUUCGGAGUAGCAUAAGUAUGGUUGUUGUUCAGAUCAUUACAGACUGUUCUGUUUCUGGCAGAUUCUGUUUUUAAUGCAUAGUUUGCUUGUUUUCUAGUUUCUAUGGCUUAUAUUGCUCAAUAUAAAUUUUAGAAAUGAUAUGGUACAGUAGGCAUUGUGUGAGAAAAAUUAUUAAUCUUGUCUUUGACAAUACCAAAGUGAAUGAUUUACUCUUUAUCAUACUAACCCAUCUCACGAAGUUCCGUUAAGUUUUGUGUGAUUGAAGUUUUCAAGUUUUGAGUGAGAUAUCGAUAUGAGGAGAAUAAGGAGUGGAAAUACUCUAAGAUUGACGAUUCCCAAGGCACCCCAAGGUAAUAUUCAAGAAAGACUCAAGCGCCUAAGCUUGGGGAUGCCCUGGAAGGCAUCCCCUCUUUCGUCUUCAAAACCAUCGGUAUACCUUACCCGGAGCUAUAUUUUUAUUCGUCACAUGAUAUGUGUUUUGCUUGGAGUGUAUUUUCAUUUUACUUGUUGUUUGAAUAAAAUCAUUGGAUCUUAAAUCUUGAAAGAAAAAGAAUCCUCCCAUGGCUAGUUAAUUAUUUGACUACUCAGUGUUCUUCACUUAUAUCUUUUUGGAGUAGUUUGCCAUUUACUCACGUGCUUCACGUAUAUCCUAUGAGUAAAUGGCUGAAUGAAUUGAAUAUCAUAAAUCUAAAUUUAUAUAUGUUUCAUAUGCUUAUAACAUGGGGAGUAAUGACUUCACACAUAAUAAGUAUAGGUAGUAAACUUAUUGAAAGUCAGCAAACGCAAAAUUGGUCACUUGAACAAUUCAUGAAAGAAUAUUAAAGGAAGAGAGAUUUCACAUAUAAAUAUACUAUCUUGGACAUCUUUUUUCAAUUGUGAGCACUCAUGAAAAUAUGACAUGCUAAAAAGUUGAUGUUGGACAAGGAAGACAACUUAAUGGGUUAUGUUUUCCUAUAUCCGAAACACUAUAUUGUCUUGGAUCAUCCAACAUGUCGAGCUUGCCUUUCCCUCUCAUGCUAGCAAAAUUAUUUGCACCAAGUAGAGAUACUACUUGUGCUUCCAAACAUCCCUUAAACCAAGUUUUGCCAUGAGAGUUCACCAUACCUACCUAUGGAUUGAGUAAGAUCCUUCAAAUAAGUUGUCAUCGUGCAUGCAAUAAAAAAUGCUCCUUAAAUAUGUAUGAUCUAUUAGUGUGAAGAAAAUAAGCUUUAUACGAACUUGUCAUAGGGAAGAAAUAAAAGUGACAGACUACAUAAUAAAGGUCUUUAUCACAAGCAGGAAUAUAAAGUGACAUUCUUUUGCAUUAAGAUUUUGUGCAUCCAACCAUAAAAGCGCAUGACAACCUAUGCUUCCCUCUGCGAAGAGCACUUUGUGUUGGAGCGAUCCAGAUACAUAUAUCCACUUGGAUGUGGGUUUUUCACAAAUUAUUAUUGUUGACAUUACCCUUGAGGUAAAAGGUUGGGAGGCGAAACUAUAAGCCCCUAUCUUUCUCUGUGUCCGACUGAAACCUUGAACCCAUAAAUAUCACAUGAGUGUUAGCAAUUGUGAAAGAUUAAAUGAUAGUUGAGUAUGUGGAGUUUCCUGAGCCAAAGCUCUUACAUAGACCCUUCCCAAAAAUAAGAUGAAUUGCAAUUGUUUGAUGACUAAGAGCAUGGUUUGUUAGUUUUCAAGAAAGUUUAUGAUCUAUACUUUAACUUGUGAAUAGCUAGUUACUUGAUCAUGAAAAGUUUUAUGAGUUGAGCUACUGUUAUGAUAUGUAACGAUGCUAGAAAAAGUGAUUGAAACUAUCAUUGAUCAAACUUAAGCACUUGCUAGCAUUCACACUUCAUAAAUUAUUAUUUUUAUCAUUUACCUACUCGAGGACGAGCAUGAAUUAAGCUUGGGGAUGCUGAUACGUCUCCAACGUAUCUAUAAUUUAUGAAGUAUUCAUGCCAUGUUUACAAUAGUUUUAUAUGAUUUUGGUAUGAUUUGAUUAGAACUAACCCGGACUGACGCUGUUUUCAGCAGAACUACCGUGGUGUUGUUUUUGUCCAAAAAUAAAAGUUCUCGGAAUGCGCUGAAAAUCAAUGGAGAUUUUUUGGGAAAAUAUACAAAAUACUGGAACAAAAAUCUACUCGAGGGGAGUCCCAUGGGCUCCACGAGGGAGGGGGGCGCGCCCCUGUGUCUCGUGGACUCCCUGUGGGGCCCCUUGACUUGUCCUCAAUGCCAACCUCUUUUAUAAAUACCCAAACCUCUAGAAAAUAACCUAGAUCAGAAGUUCCGCCGCCGCAAGCCUCUGUAGCCAUGAGAAAUCAAUCUAGGCCCUCUCUGGCACCCUGUAGAAGGGGGCCAUCAUCACUGGAGGCCAUGGGGAAGGAUCUCGGAGGGUCCAUCAUCGCCAUGAAGGCCAAGGACCAGAGGGGGAACCUCUCCCCAUCCAGGGGGGAGGCCAUGGAGGAGGAAGCACAAGGGAGAGAACUUCUCCUUCUCUCUCUCGGUGGAGCCGGAGUGCCAUCGAGAGGGUAAUCAUCGCCACGGUGAUCGUCUUCAUCAACAUCACCAUCAUCAUCACCAUCCUCAUCUCUUUUACGCGGUCCACUCUCCCGCACCCCGCUGUAAUCCCUACUUGAACAUGGUGCUUUAUGCCACAUAUUAUGAUUCAAUGAUGUGUGGCCAUCUUAUGAUGUUUUGAGUAGAUAUCCUUUGUCUUUGGGUUGAUUGAUGAUCUAGAUUGGUAUGAGUUGUAUGAUUUAUUUUGGUGUUGUCCUAUUGUGCCCUCUGUGUCAUGCAAGUGUGAAGGAUUCCCGCUGUAGGGUGUUGCAAUAUGUCCAUGGUUUACUUAUUGUUUGUGUUGCUUGAGUGACAGAAGCAUAAACACAGAUAAGUGGGUCACGGCGUAUGGGAAUAAAGGAAACUUGAUAUGUUCAUGCUAUGGUUGGUUUUUACCUUAAUGAUCUUUAGUAGUUGCGGAUGCUUGCUAGAGUUCCAAUCAUAAGUGCAUAUGAUCCAAGAAGAGAAAGUAUGUUAGCUUAUGCCUCUCCCUCAUAUGAAAUUGCAAUAGUGAUUACCGGUCUUGUUAACAAUUGCCUAGGAUAAUUCCGCACACCGGCCCAUCAUUAUUCCACACUCGCUAUUUAUAAUAUUUAGUAAUAUAUUCUAAAUUUAUGAUAACAGCACCUACUUUUAUAUUUUAGCUCUUCGAUAUCAUACAAAGUCAUACUCUUCAUAGCCACAACAUAGUUUUAUUUCUCGUUUCAAGUUGGAAGCAAACGUUCGGUGUACGUAGAGUCGUAUUAGUGGCAGAUAGGACAUGAGAGAAUAUUGAUCUUGCCUUUAGCUCCUUGUGGGUUCGACACUCCAUGCUUAUCACUUCCACCUUUGGAAAUUGCUACGAUGAUUCCCUGCACUUGGGGAUUAUCACUACGCACACGCAAGAUCUAUCCAUGGAGAUGCAUAGAUACGAGAGGGGGAGAGCAUCUUCAUACCCUUGAAGAUCGCUAAGCAGAAGUUUUUAUCAACGCGGUUGAUGUAGUCAUACACCUUCAUGAUCCGUCCCGAUCAAGUGCCGAACAUACGACACCUCCGCGUUCAGCGCACGUUCAGUUCAAUGACGUCUUCGCCUUCUUGAUCCAGCAAGAGGCGCAAAGUAGUAGAUGAGCUCCGGUAGCACGAUGGCAUGGUGACGAUGGUCGUGAAGAACAAUUUCCGCAGGGCUUCGCCAAGCACAACGGAAACUAUGACGGAGGAUAAACUAGAGGGGGCGGGGUUGCCGGCACAAGGCUUGGUCAAUCUUGAUGUGCUCCGGGUGCUAGCCAUGCCCCUCUAUUUAUAUGUUGAGCCUUGGGGCCGUUUCUUGGAGAAAGAGCCUCCUCAAAGUGGGUUUUGCCCGCAAGGCAAGAGUCCUUCUCGGACUCCAGGACCAAAUGCCGCGGCUCUUGGCGUCUGGCCCAGAUGCCAAUGGGCCUCGGCGUAUGGCCCAGGGCCAGACGCCAGGGUCCCUGGCGUCUUGUCCCUGACCUCCGCAAAACUUCCUUUUGCACCGACCUAAAGCCCCAUGGGCCUUACCCCUUGGCCUAAUCAUAUCAUCCUCUAAUUCUAUCUUUACCUCCGGACCAUUGCGAAGCUCCUCGUCAUGUCCGUGAUCUCAUCCAGGACUCCGAACAAAAUUCGGUCACCAACAUACAUAACUCAUACAAUACUAUACAGUCAGCAAACAUUAAGCAUGCGGACCCUAUGGGUUCAAGAAUGAUGUAGAAAUGACCGAGAUGUUCCUCCGGUUAAUAACCAAUAGCGGGACCUGGAUGCCCAUAUUGGUUUCUACAUAUUCUAUGAAGAUCUUUAUCGGUCGAACCUUUAUGACAACAUACGUAGUUCCUUUUGUCCGUCGGUAUGUUACUUGCCCGAGAUUCGACCGUCGGUAUCUCCAUACCUAGUUCAGUCUCGUUACCGGCAAGUCUCUUUACUCAUUAUGUAAUACAUCAUCCUGUAACUAACUCCUUAGUCACUUUGCUUGCAAGCUUCUUGUGAUGUUGUAUUAUCGAGAGGGCCCAAAGAUACAUGUCCGUCACAUGGAGUGACAAAUCCCAGUCUCAAUCCAUGCCAACCCAACAAACACCUUCGGAGAUACCUGUAGAGCACCUUUAUGAUCACUCGGUUAUGUUGUGACGUUUGAUGGCAUACAAGGCCUUCCUCCAGAGUCUGGGAGUUGCAUGAUCUCAUGGUAAGCAGUAGCAAUAAACUGAACAAUCAUAUGCUAUGCUAACGGUUGGGUCUUGUCCAUCACAUCAUUCUCCUAAUGAUGUGAUCCCGUUAUCAAAUGACAACUCGUGUCUAUGGUUAGGAAACCUUAACCAUUUCUGAUCAACGAGCUAGUCUAGUAGAGGCUCACUAGGGACACGAUAUUUUUUUUAUGUAUCCACACAUGUAUUUAAGUUUCCGGUCAAUACAAUUCUAGCAUGAAUAAUAAACCUCUAUCAUGAAUAAGGAAAUAUAAUAAUAACAACUUUAUUAUUGCCUUUAGGGCAUAUUUCCAUCAUUAGUCACCAUAUUUUUAGCUCCUUCCAUACAUGGCCUCUUUGACUCUAUGUUUGAAGGACGGUAUGAAGGCCUCGUUUGGGGCUUACUCCAAUCCCAACUGUGUAUGAGGAAAAUUUUAUGUUCUUCCUACUCGCUCCACAGGCAAAAUUUGAAGCGGUGCGGCCUCCCAUGCACCAUGUGUGAGGGGACAGAGGUGACUGUCAACCACCCGACUAUUAAAUGGCACGAACCCUUCCUCGGAUUCCCGGGGAGGAGGAGAAGAAGCCGGAUCACCUGGCCCUCUUUUGGGAGUUGUAUGUCAUGGCCAUGGAGGAGGGUCGGAAGCAGGAUGAGGAAAAUGGGGCGAUAGAUUUGGAACCGUGUGCCCGCCCCUCCCUCAACCGCACCGUUGUGGACGACACAUGGUUGGCCUAGGACGAGCACGUCAAGGCCAUUUUCCAUGGCAUCGGUGCCUACAAUGUCGCUGCCAGCGUCAAUGCAUGGUCGGAGCCCGAUGAGGACAUAGAAGUGAGUUCUUGAAGGAAAUAUGCGCUAGAGGCAAUAAUAAAGUUAUUAUUCAUUUCCUUAUAUCAUGAUAAAUGUUUAUUAUUCAUGCUAGAAUUGUAUUAACUGGAAACAUAAUACAUGUGUGAAUACAUAGACAAACAUAGUGUCACUAGUAUGCCUCUACUUGACUAGCUCGUUGAUCAAAGAUGGUUGUGUUUCCUAACCAUAUACAUGAGUUGUCAUUUGAUUAACAGGAUCACAUCAUUAGGAGAAUGAUGUGAUUGACUUCACCCAUUCCGUUAGCUUAGCACUUGAUCGUUUAGUAUGUUGCUAUUGCUUUCUUCAUGACUUAUACAUGUUCCUAUGACUAUGAGAUUAUGCAACUCCCAUUACCGGAGGAACACUUUGUGUGCUACCAAGCGUCACAAUGUAACUGGGUGAUUAUAAAGGAGCUCUACAGGUGUCUCCGAAGGUACAUGUUGAGUUGGCAUAUUUAGAGAUUAGAAUUUGUCACUCCGAUUGUCGGAGAGGUAUCUCUGGGCCCUCUCGGUAAAGCACGUCACUAUAAGCCUUGCAAGCAAUGUAGCUAAUGAGUUAGUUACGGGAUGAUGCAUUACGUAACGAGUAAAGAGACUUCCGGUAACGAGAUUGAACUAGGUAUUGAGAUACCGACGAUUGAAUCUCAGGCAAGUAACAUACCGAUGACAAAGGGAACAACGUAUAUUGUUAUGCGGUUUGACUGAUAAAGAUCUUCGUAGAAUAUGUAGGAGCCAAUGUGAGCAUCCAGGUUCCGCUGUUGGUUAUUGACCGGAGACGUGUCUCUGUCAUGUAUACAUAGUUCUCGAACCCGUAGGGUCCGCAUGCUUAAAGUUUCAAUGACGUUCAUAUUAUUAGUUUAUGAGUUUUGAUGUACCGAAGGUUGUUUGGAGUCCCGGAUGUGAUCACGGACAUGACGUGGAGUCUCGAAAUGGUCGAGACAUGAAGAUUGAUAUAUUGGAAGCCUGUAUUUGGAUAUCGGAAGUGUUCCGGGUGAAAUCGGGAUUUUACCGGAGUACCGAGGGGUUACCGGAAUCCCCCGGGGGCUUAAUGGGCCAUAGUGGGCCUUAGUGGAGAAGAGGAGAGGCGGCCAGGGCAGGGCCGCGUACCCCUUCCCCCUAGUCCAAAUAGGACAAGGAGAGGGGGCCGGCGCCCCCCUUCCUUCCUCUCUCUCCCUCUUCUUUCCCCCCUUCUCCUAGUCCAACAAGGAAAGGAGGGAGUCCUACUCCCGGUGGGAGUAGGACUCCCCAUGGCACGCCUCCUCCCUGGCUGGCCGCCCCCUCCCCCCUUGCUCCUUUAUAUACGGGGGCAGGGGGGCACCCUAGACACAACAACUACAAAUCAUUGACCUCUUAGCCGUGUGCGGUGCCCCCCUCCACCAUAGUCCUCCUCGAUAAUAUUGUAGCGGUGCUUAGGCGAAGCCCUACAACGGUAUAACAUUAUCAUCGUCACCAUGCCGUUGUGCUGACGGAACUCUCCCUCGACACUCGGCUGGAUCGGAGUUCGAGGGACGUCAUCGAGCUAAACGUGAAGACGUACGACUACAUCAACCGCGUUGUUCUAAUGCUUCCGCUUUCGGUCUACGAGGGUACGUGGACAACACUCUCCCCUCUCAUUGCUAUGCAUCACCAUGAUCUUGCGUGUGCGUAGGAAUUUUUUUGAAAUUAUUACGUUCCCCAACAGUGGCAUCCGAGCCUGGUUUUAUGCGUUGAUGUUAUAUGCACGAGUAGAACACAAGUGAGUUGUGGGCGACACAAGUCAUACUGCUUACCAGCAUGUCAUACUUUGGUUCGGCGGUAUUGUUGGAUGAAGCGGCCUGGACUGACAUUACGCAUACGCUUACGCGAGACUUGUUCUACCGACGUGCUUUGCACAUAGGUGGCUGGCUGGCGGGUGUCAGUUUCUCCAACUUUAGUUGAACCGAGUGUGGCUAUGCCCGGUCCUUGAGAAGGUUAAAACAUCACUAACUUGACGAACUAUCGUUGUGGUUUUGAUGCGUAGGUAGGAACGGUUCUUUCUCACCAUGUAGCAGCCAAGUAAAACUUGUAACAACAAAGUAGAGGACAUCUAACUUGUUUUCGCAGGGCAUGUUGUGAUGUGAUAUGGUCAAGACAUGAUGAGAUAUAAGUUGUUGUAUGAGAUGAUCAUGUUUUGUUGAAGUUAUCGGCAACUGGCAGAAACCUUAUGGUUAUCUCUUUAUUGCAUAAGAUGCAAGCGCCAAAUAAUUGCUUUACUUUAUCGCUAUGCGAUAGCAAUAAUUGGUGAGACGACCAUGUGACGACACAUUGAUAUAGAUCAAGAUGAUGGAGAUCAUGGUGUCAUGCCGGUGACGAUGGAGAUCAUGAUAGUACUUUGGAGAAGGAGAUCAAAGGCGCAAGAUGAUCAUGGCCAUAUCAUGUCACAUAUUUUGAUUGCAUAUGAUGUUUAUCUUUUAUACAUCUUAUUUUGCUUAGUUCGACGGUAGCUUUAUAAGGUGAUCUCUCACUAAAUUUCAAGGUGUAAGUGUUCUCCCUAAGUAUGCACCAUUGCGAAAGUUCUUCGUGCUAAGACACCACGUGAUGAUCUGGUGUGAUAGGCUCUACGUUCAAAUACAGCGGGUGCAAAACAGUUGCACACGCGGAAUACUCAGGUUAAACUUGACGAGCCUAGCAUAUACAGAUAUGGCCUUGGAACACAUAGACCGAAAGGUCAAGCAUGAAUCAUAUAGUACAUAUGAUCAACAUUGUGAUGUUCACCAUUGAAAACUACUCCAUCUCACGUGAUGAUCGGACAUGGUUUAGUUGAUUUGGAUCACGUUAUCACUUAGAUGAUUAGAGGGAUGUCUGUCUAAGUGGGAGUUCUUAAGUAAUAUGAUUAAUUGAACUUUAAUUUAUCAUGAACUUAGUCCAGGUAGUAUUUUGCAAAUUAUGUUGUCGAUCAAUAGCUCGGGUUGUUGCUUCCCUAUGUUUGUUUUGAUAUGUUCCUAGAGAAUAACUAUGUUGAAAGAUGUUAGUAGCAAUGAUGCGGACUUGGUCCGUGAUCUGAGGUUUAUCCUCAUUGCUGCACAGAAGAAUUAUGUCCUUGAUGCACCGCUAGGUGACAGACCUAUUGCAGGAGCAGAUGCAGACGUUAUGAAUGUUUGGCUAGCUCAAUAUGAUGACUACUUGAUAGUUUUGUGCACCAUGCUUUAUGGCUUAGAACCGGGACUACAAAAACGUUUUUGAAACGUCACGGAACAUAUGAGAUGUUCCAUGAGAUGAAAUUGAUAUUUCAGACUCAUGCCCGUGUCAAGAGGUGUAAAACCUCUGACAAAUACUUCGCCUAGAGGAGAAUUGCUCAACUAGUGAGCAAGUGCUUAGAUUGUCUGAGUACUACAAUCACUUGAAUCAAGUGGGAGUUAAUCUUCCAGAUAAGAUAGUGAUUGACAGAGUUCUCUAGUCACCAUCACUAAGUUACUAGAACUUCGUGAUGAACUAUAAUAUACAAGGGAUGACGAAAACGAUUCCCGAGCUCUUCGUGAUGCUGAAAUCAAUGAAGGUAGAAAUCAAGAAAAAGCAUCAAGUGUUGAUGAUUAAACAAGAUCACUAGUUUCAAGAAAAGGGCAAAGGAAAAGAAAGGGAACUUCAAGUAGAAUGGCAAGCAAGUUGUCACUCCCGCGAAGAAGCCCAAAGCUGGACCAAAGCCUGAAACUGAGUGCUUACACCGCAAAGGAAAUGGUCACUGGAAGUGGAAAUGCCCUGAAUAUUUGGUGGAUAAAGAAGGAUGGCAAAGUGAACAAGGGUAUAUUUGAUAUACAGGUUAUUGAUGCGUGCCUUACUAGUGUUUAUAGUUGCCCCUGAGUAUUUGAUACUUGUUCGGUUGCUAAGAUUAGUAACUCGAAAUAGGAGUUACGAAAUAAACAGAGACUAGUUGAAGGGGAAGUGACGAUGAGUGUUGGAAGUAGUUCCAAGAUUGAUAUGAUUAUCAUCACACACUCCCUAUACUUUCGGGAUUAGUGUUAAACCUAAAUAAAUGUUAUUUGGCGUUUGUGUUGAGCAUGAAUAUGAUUUGAUCAUGUUUAUUGCAAUAUGGUUAUUCAUUUAAAGUCAGAGCAUAAUUGUUGUUUUGUUUACAUGAAUAAAACCUUCAAUGGUCAUACACCCAAUGAAAAUAGUUUGUUGGAUCUCGAUCGUAGUGAUACACAUAUUCAUAAUAUUGAUGCCAAAAGAUGCAAAGUUAAUAAUGAUAGUGCAAACUUAUAUGUGGCACUGCCAUUUGGGUCAUAUCGGUGUAAAGCGCAUGAAGAAACUCCAUAAAGAUGGAAUUUUGGAAUCACUUGGUUAUGAAUCAUUUGAUGCUUGCGAACCGUGCCUUUUGGGCAAGAUGACUAAAACUCCGUUCUCCGAAACAAAGGAACGAGCUACUGACUUGUUGGAAAUAAUACGUACUGAUGUAUGAAGGCCAAUGAGUAUUAAGGCUCGUGGCGGGUAUCGUUAUUUUCUGACCUUCAUAGAUGAUUUGAGCAGAUAUGGGUAUAUCUACUUAAUGAAGCACAAGUCUGAAACAUUUGAAAAGUUCAAAGAAUUUCAGAGUGAAGUGGAGAAUCAUCGUAACAAGAAAAUAAAGUUUCUACGAUUUGAUCGCGGAGACAAAUAUUUGAGUUACGAGUUUGGUCUUCAAUUAAAACAAUGUGGAAUAGUUUCACAAACUCAUGCCACCUGGAACACCACAGCAUAAUGGUGUGUCCGAACGUCAUAACCGCACUUUAUUAGAUAUAGUGCGAUCUAUGAUGUCUCUUACCGAUUACCACUAUCGUUUUGGGGUUAUGCACUAGAGACAGCUGCAUUCACGUUAAAAAGGGCACCAUGUAAAUCCGUUGAGACGACAUCGUAUGAACUGUGGUUUAGCAUGAAACCUAAGCUGCCGUUUCUUAAAAUUUGGGGUUGCAAUGCUUAUAUGAAAAAGUUUCAUCCUGAUAAGCUCAAACCCAAAUCGAAGAAAUGCGUCUUCAUAGGAUACCCAAAAGAGACUGUUGGGUACACCUUCUAUCACAGAUCCGAAGGCAAGAUAUUCAUUGCUAAAAGUGGAUCCUUUCUAGAGAAGGAGUUUCUCUCGAAAGAAGUGAGUGGGAGGAAAGUGGAACUUGAUGAGGUAAUUGUACCUUCUCCCGAAUUGGAAAAUAAUUCAUCAUAGAAAUCAGUUCCAGUGAUUCCUACACCAAUUAGUGAGGAAGCUAAUGAUGAUGAUCAUGAAACUUCAGAUCAAGUUACUACCGAACCUCGUAAGUCAACCAGAGUAAGAUCCGCACCAGAGUGGUACGGUAAAUCCUAUUUUGGAAGUCAUGUUACUAGACCAUGACGAACCUACGAACUAUGAGGAAGCGAUGAUGAGCCCAGAUUCCGCGAAAUGGCUUGAGGCCAUGAAACCUGAGAUGGGAUCCAUGUAUGAGAACAAAGUGUGGACUUUGGUGGAGUUGCCCGAUGAUCGGCAACCAUAUUGUAUAAAUGGAUCUUCAAGAGGAAGACAGAUGCUGAUAGUAGUGUCACUAUCUACAAAGCUCGACUUGUCGCAAAAAGGUUUUUCGACAACUUCAAGGUGUUGAAUACGAUGAGAUUUUCUCACUCGUAUCGAUGCUUAAGUCUGUCCGAAUGAUGUUAGCAAUUGCCACAUUUUAUGAAAUCUGGCAAAUGGAUGUCGAAACUGCAUUCCUUAAUGGAUUUAUUAAAGAAGAGUUGCAUAUGAUGCAACAAGAAGGUUUUGUCAAUCCUAAAGGUGCUAACAAAAUGUGCAAGCUCCAGCGAUCCAUCUAUGGACUGGUGCAAGCAUCUCGGAGUUGGAAUAUAUGCUUGAUGAGUUGAUCAAAGCAUAUGGUUUUAUACAGACUUUUGGAGAAGCAUGUAUUUACAAGAAGGUGAGUGGGAGCUCUGUAGCAUUUUUGAUAUUAUAUGUGGACGACAUAUUGUUGAUUGGAAAUGAUAUAGAAUUUCUGGAUAGCAUAAAAGGAUACUUGAAUAAAAGUUUUUCAAAGAAAGACCUCGGUAAAGGUGCUUACACAUUGAGCAUCAAGAUCUAUAGAGAUAGAUCAAGACGCUUGAUAAGAUUUUUCAAUGACUACAUACCUUGAUAAAAUUUUGAAGUAAUUCAAAAUGGAACAGUCAAAGAAGGAGUUCUUGCCUGUGUUGCAAGGUGUGAAAUUGAGUAAGACUCAAAACCCGACCAUGGCAGAAAAUAGAAAGAAAAUGAAAAGUCAUUCCCUAUGCCUCAGUCAUAGGUUCUAUAAAGUAUGCUAUCUGUGUACCAGACCUAUUGUAUACCUUGCUCUGAGUUUGGCAAGGGAGUACAAUUUUGAUCUAAGAGUAGAUCACUGGACAGCGGUCAAGAAAAUCCUUAGUGAGGACUAAGGAAAUAUUUCUCGAUUAUGGAGGUGAUAAAAGAGGUUCAUCGUGAAAGGUUACGUCGAUACAAGUUUUAACACAAAUCCAGAUGACUCUAAGUCUCAAUCUGGAUACAUAUUGAAAGUGGGAGCAAUUAGCUAAAGUAGCUCCGUGCAUAGCAUUGUAGACAUAGAAUAUUUGCAAAAUACACACGGCUCUGAAUGUGACAGACCCGUUGACUAAACUUCUCUCACGAGCAAAACAUGAUCACACCAUUAGUACUCUUUGUGUGUUAAUCACAUAUCGAUGUGAACUAGAUUAUUGACUCUAGUAAACCCUUUGGAUGUUGAUCACAUGACGAUGUGAACUAUGGGUGUUAAUCACAUGCGGAUGUGAAUAUUAGUAUUAAAUCACAUGGUGAUGUGAACUAGAUUAUUGACUCUAGUGCAAGUGGGAGACUGAAGGAAAUAUGCCCUAGAGGCAAUAAUAAAGUUAUUAUUUAUUUCCUUAUAUCAUGAUAAAUGUUUAUUAUUCAUGCUAGAAUUGUAUUAACCGGAAACAUAAUACAUGUGUGAAUACAUAGACAAACAUAGUGCCACUAGUAUGCCUCUACUUGACUAGCUCGCUGAUCAAAGAUGGUUGUGUUUCCUAACCAUAGACACGAGUUGUCAUUUGAUUAACGGGAUCACAUCAUUAGGAGAAUGAUGUGAUCGACUUGACCCAUUCUGUUAGCUUAGCACUUGAUCAUUUAGUAUGUUGUUAUUGCUUUCUUCAUGACUUAUACAUGUUCCUAUGACUAUGAGAUUAUGCAACUCUCAUUUACCGGAGGAACACUUUGUGUGCUACCAAACGUCACAACGUAACUGGGUGAUUAUAAAGGAGCUCUACAUGUGUCUCCGAAGGUACAUGUUGAGUUGGCGUAUUUCAAGAUUAGAAUUUGUCACUCCGGUUGUCGGAGAGAUAUCUCUGGGCCCUCUCGGUAAUGCACGUCACUAUAAGCCUUGCAAGCAAUGUAGCUAAUGAGUUAGUUACGGGAUGAUGCAUUACGUAAUGAGUAAAGAGACUUGCCGGUAACGAGAUUGAACUAGGUAUUGAGAUACCCCGACGAUCGAAUCUCGGGCAAGUAACAUACUGAUGACAAAGGGAACAACGUAUAUUGUUAUGCGGUUUGACCGAUAAAGAUCUUCAUAGAAUAUGUAGGAGCCAAUAUGAGCAUCCAGGUUCCGCUAUUGGUUAUUGACCGGAGACGUGUAUCGGUCAUGUCAACAUAGUUCUCGAACCCGUAGGGUCCGCACGCUUAAAGUUUCAAUGACGGAUAUAUUAUGAGUUUAUGAUUUUUGAUGUACCGAAGGUUGUUCGGAGUCCCGUAUGUGAUCACGGACAUGACGAAGAGUCUCGAAAUGGUCGAGACAUGAAGAUUGAUAUAUUGGAAGUCUAUAUUUGGAUAUCGGAAGUAUUCCGGGUGAAAUCGGGAUUUUACCGAAGUACCGAGGGGUUACCGAAACCCCCCGGGGGCUUAAUGGGCCAUAGUGGGCCUUAGUGGAGAAGAGGAGAGGCGGCCAGGGCAGGACCGGGCGCCCCUCCCCCCUAGUCCGAAUAGGAGAAGGAGAGGGGGGCGGCGCCCCCCCCCCCUCCUCCUAGUCCAGCAAGGAAAGGAGGGAGUCCUACUCCCAGUGGGAGUAGGACUCCCGAUGGCGCGCCUCCUCCCUGGCCGGCCGCCCCCUCCCCCCUUGCUCCUUUAUAUACGGGGGCAGGGGGGCACCCUAGACACAACAACUACAGAUCAUUGAUCUCUUAGCCAUGUGCGGUGCCCCCCCUCCACCAUAGUCCUCCUCGAUAAUAUUGUAGCGGUGCUUAGGCGAAGCCCUGCAACGGUAGAACAUCAUCAUCGUCACCACGCCGUCGUGCUGACGGAACUCUCCCUCGACACUCGGUUGGAUCGGAGUUCGAGGGACGUCAUCGAGCUGAACCUGUGCUAGAACUCAGAGGUGUUGUGCUUUCGGUACUUGAUCGGUUGGGCCGUGAAGACGUACGACUACAUCAACCGCAUUGUUCUAACACUUCCGCUUUCGGUCUACGAGGGUACGUGGAUAACACUCUCUCCUCUCGUUGCUAUGCAUCACCAUGAUCUUGCGUGUGCAUAGGAAUUUUUUUGAAAUUACUACGUUCCCCAACAGUUUUGGGGCCAUCGAGGUCCGCAUUGUUGCAUUCUACGCUAACCCCGAUCCUGUGAAGGAAUUCAUCUGCCACCAUCAUGGUGGCCAUGGCCCUGGUCGCAACUAGUUAGCUACUAGUUUAACUAAUUAUUAGUUGUUCUAACAAUGUAAGUCACGGUGUGACUAUUGAGGAAGAACCUAUGACCCAAUGACAGGCGGGUCCUACUUGCAUGGAAAAUAUAGAGACAACACUAUGACGAUUAUGUGUUUGCGCCACCACAUCCUUCAAAUGCAUAUGAAGCACACUUCACAUGAGUUAUGGAGGCUGCCAAGACAUUUUUGGUUCCGUCGUGGUUGAUCAAAGGUAUACCACGGCGGUUGGGUUCCGGUCAAGGUGUUAGGGGAACAGUUAGAGGUGAUGUAUAUUUACAUCACUUGUGGCAAAAUUUUGAGCAUGACGUAAAAAGAUCUGGACAUGCACCAUCCAUUGGAGCAAUUUUUUUUAUAUGACUGUUGUUUUACAUCAUCUGUUGGUUCUUUUAGGGGACCGGAAGAACAAUGGUAUCGCUUAAAUCGACCACAUACUAGAUUCGACCACUUGAUGAAACAGUUUUGAAGAUCAAUUCUAAGAUUCUCCCUUUUUUGUGGUUCUGCACAGUCACAAGCAUCUUUGUCAAGAUAGAAUAUUACUCUCACUGUAAAUAAAUAUAAGAAAAGCUCUUAUAUUUAUUUACAAAGGGAGUUACUUACAUAAGAAUCAAUUUCUUUCAUGACCCAAUUGGAAGGAAACGGCAAAAGCUUUGCAGAAAACCGGAAAAGUUGAAAAUAAUAACAACUUGAUGUCGUGAAUCCGAAGUCCCCACUCCCAUGAUAAAUAUUAUUCCCUCAAUCCCAAAUUACUUGUAACGUGUCUAGAUACAUAUAUAUCUAGACAAAUCUAAGACAAGUAAUUCAGGACGGAAGAAGUAUUACUCAGACUUCUUGAUAGAUUUAUGAAGCUCCGACAAAACGAUCUCCACCAAAAAAUGCACAAAACUAUCUCCACCAAAAAACUGAUACUUACUCCCUCUGUGAAAUAUAAAAGUGUUUAGCUCACUACUUUAGAUCUAGACACUCUUUAUCUUUGUUGAUAUUUUCGCAAAAAAAAAUAAUCUUUGUUGAUAGUGAGUUCACAUGUGAAAUCAACAACAUUCAUCAAUAAAAAAUACAUCCUUACCCAUAUGUGGGACUAGCAGCCUUCCAAGAUACAUAAAUAAACAAAUAUAUUUUUACUUACAUGUGGGACCUAAAACAAAUAAACAAAUACACUACUAUUUUCAUGUGAGACCAACACUUACAGAAUGCACAAAUAACAAAUGCAAACAUUUCACUCAAACUCAAAAUUAUACUCUUAAGCAGUGACAUAACUUUUUAUAGCUUCGUAGCAACACACUAGCAUUGUGCACUUUUAGUUACAUGUGGAACCUAAAACAAAUAAACAAGUAUACUACUACUCACAUGUGAGACCAACACUUGCAUAAUGCAUAAAUAACAAAUGCAAACAUAUACUCCCUCCGUCCGGAUUUAUUAGGCCUCUUAGCAUCACAAGCAUGUUCCUUUUUAUAAGGCCUCGCUUUGGAAAGAUGCAUGCAUGCAACCAUUUCAUUGGUUGCACUGUAAGUCAUUGUUGUUGGUGCCAUGGCUGAGAAAUUAAUACACUUCAUGCGUGCUUUUUCAUUGGUUGCAUGCAUAUGAGAGAGUGCAUUGGGAAUGGAAUGGAAGAAUUAAUGCGAGCAAAUUACUAUGUGUCUUGGUCUAAGAGAAGUUGUUUUUAGCCUAAUAAACCCGGACGGAGGUAGUAGACUCUAACUAAAAAUUAUGCUCUUAAGCCGUUUAUAGCUUCUUAGCAACGAGCACGGGCAUCAUGCUAAUUACAAAGUACUCCCUCCGUUCCUAAAUAUAAAUCUUUGAAGAGAUUCCACUAUAAACCACGUACGGAGCAAAAUGAGUGAAUCUAUACUCUAAAAUGCAUCUAUAUACAUCUGUAUGUGGUCCAUAAUAGAAUCUUUACAAAGACUUAUAUUUAGGAACAGAGGGAUACAUGAUUUCCCUGCCAAUGAUCAGGCAAUCAUUACGACUUCUAGUGUACAGCUGAUUUCCAUUUUCACUAAUGCAGUUAUAGUGUUCACUUUGUAGCUGGAACUCGAACUGCAACUAGGGUACUGGAAGAGCAAUGGUAUCACCAAUCACAUGCAUGAUUGAACCACUUUCUAAACUAAAAAAUACUGUACUGUUGUAAUCUUGGGCCAAUAACGAAACCAGGACCAACAGUUCUGAAGAUCAACAGUAAAAUCCCCUCCUUUUGUGGCUCUACGUUGUCACAAGCAGCUCGCAGAGAUAAAAGAUUAACUUGCACUAAAAAAACACAUUCAUGACAUGCCUGGAAGAAGAUGGCAAAACAAGUUGCAGAAAAAAGGAAAUGUGGAAAAUAGUAACUUGAUGUUAUAAAGGAGUGAAUAUGUAGUCCUCACUCCCAUGAUACAAACCAGACAACUAUUACUCAAGACUUCUUGGUAGAUUUAUGACAGACAACAGAAGCUACAAAAAUAGAGCAAACGACAACUCAAGUUCUGAACGGUGCGGAAACAAUGCUUCAAGGCAACCUUGCUCGGAAUUUAUCUCAAAUCUAUCAGACUUCUAAUUUCUACCAGGCCUGUUUAGGUUCACCAUGCGUCCAUUGCCAUCCCCUCUAGACGAGGAACCAGACUGGUUGCGAGCCCUUCCAUCCUGGAACCGAGAACCACCACCAUAGCCCCCACGGGAACCCUGGCCACCCCUGUCAUUUUGGUACCCACCGCCCUGCCCAGAGCCUCCUCUACCAGCAUAACCAGACCUCCCACCGCCGCGGCGGCCGCCUUGUGACGACACAAAGUUCUCCUGCCACUUUCCCAUAUUGGACGAGUCUUGAUCACCCCUGCGCCUGGGUGGUGCACCCUCAAGGGCACCACCAGUCCUGGCUUCAUACGCCCUCUCGUUGCUCUCCACAAGGACAGAGAGCCUAUCAGUCAUCUGGAAGAUUAGUCCCUGCAGCCUGGUUUGAUCCACGUUCUGGAAUACAAUGCACUUGGUUGGCUGGUCCCAGCUUGCAUGAAGCUCAUCGUGCAUCAUCAUCUUGCUAACAACGCUGUGAGCGUGUGCCUCGCUGAGGUCAAACAUAGUGGUGAGCUGGUCAAGGCUCAGGGACUCGUAGCAAGACGAGUAAGAGAAGAGAUAGGUUCUAAGAGCCUCUUCCUUGAUUUUAAGCUUCAGCAUCUCAAGGAUAUGCUCCUUAUUCCUCAAAAGUUUCCAGGUAUCCAGAGAACUGAUGACACUGAAAGCCUUUUCAUGGUCACCCUUAUUGAGGGCCCUCGUGGCAGCCAUUACAUGAUCCCUCACCGUUUCUGGAGGUCCAACAAAAGUCUGUCUCUCACUCAUUUCAAGAAGCCUGCGGAAUGUUUUGCUCAUAGGCCUCCGCUUGUCAUAAGUACUGGAAGCCAUAUACGGGACCUCAAUUAGCAUUGCACAGAUCAAAUGUGUGGCUUCCAAAAGUUCAAGGUUUAUAUGCAUAUGGUAAGGCAUCAUCCUUCUCCUCUCAAGUCGUUCCUGCAGUAGAAAGUAAAUACAUCAUGAGCAGAAAAUAUGUAUGUUGUAUUUCCAUUGUCAACAGUGAUCAUAUCAAUUAGAUCGUAUUGCUAAAACGACGAGUUCAAGCCUGCAAGUCAAUUCUGGGAAAACCAAGAGAAAAGGAGCAGAUACUCUUGAAGGACCUUAUCUAGAUAAAUAAAAUACCAAAGGAGCUCAAGAAAGGAGAAGAUGUCAUUGUAAAGAGGUACUUUCUAGAAACUAUGCGUUAAGCAUUUGAAAUUUCACACCUAAAAAAUAAAACUAAAUGAAAGAAUAUGGUCAGAAUGACAGGUUCUUCUAUUAGACUAGCUAAGAUAUCCAUUAGCAAAAAAAAAGGCUAAGAUACAAUUAUGACUAACAGUGACAUUUUGCAACUACAAUGAUGACACCAGACAGUGUAGUCGUAUCUGAUGCCGAUGCAUCAUCUAAACACCACCAAUGUGUACCAGUAAGGCUCAGGUAAAUAGCAAAACUCAUUUAAAUCAACUGGACUCGUGGUUCCAUUUCAACAGGGCAGCAAUAUACGUAACAAUACAGCCUACCCCUCAAUAACACAAUAUAAACAAGUUAACGUAUCCUACAACUGGGCAGCACCAUCCCCUGAGCAUGUGUCAAAAACAUAAGUGAAAAUUAUUGCUGAUUAUAUAAAUAUAUAUGUAUCUCUUGGGAAAAUGGUGGAUCCCUGUUUAUGUGUCGUGUCAUUGUUGCAUAGGAAACUAAAUAGGAAACUAGCUGCCAUGUGUGCAGGCAUUCACAUGAUAGACAAGAGGGAGCCUCACCUGUUCAGGAGUUCUCUCGUGGUAUCGACUAUACUGGACACCUUGUGCAAGCAACUCUUUCACCCUUCCAGUUGCAUAUAGCUCAGACAGGCAACCAUGAGCAUCAGCUAUCAAACCAGCUCGGAAGGCGCAUAACCCCAGUUGGGCCAUGACCCGGUUGUAUAAAAUCUGAGAUGAGAUGUCCAUAAGUUGAAUCCCAUCUUGUAAACGACUCAUUAAGAGUAAGUCGCGAGCAACUGAAAAUUCUUCAGAGAUUGCAUAGUGAUAUAUGUGACACAGCAUUGCCCGGGCUUUGGUCCUUUCAUCUCCAUACUUGUAAAUUAGAGACAUCAAUCCAUCCAUCAAAGCUCUGCCACUCUCGGGGAAAGUAGGCUUCCUAGGUACAACCUCCGGAAUCACAAUAAACGGUGGUGGUCCUCUAUUGUCAUCAGCUGCUUGAUGCUCAUCGCCGGCCUCAAUAUCUCCAUCCUCCAUGACAACCUCAGUUUGCUCAGCCAGCUUUCUCAUUGCAUCAUAUACUUCUUGAGGUUUGUAGUAGACUAGUUCAACACGACGCAAUGCAACCUUCGCAGCAGCCUUAUGAUUCUCAACCCUUUCCUGGUACUCUUGCACAUUUUGCGCAAGUACCAAAAACAAGGGUUCAUCUCUAAGCCUCUGAACAUAAUCUUUGGUAUAUGGAUCACUACACUGCAAACUCUUAAAGAACUCCGAGUCAAUUCUCUCCAGGAAUGCAACUAGGUCACCAGUAACAUGGAUUGUUCCAUCAUAGUCGGCACCCUUCUGAGUUUCCUUCUCAUCAGCCUCCACUGAGGUGUCCACUACAAUAUUAGGAUACUGUUGCAGAAUAUCAAGCACAAGAAGCAUAUUAUUAACACACUUCUUCCACACAUUGACUGGCAUAUGACCAAGUAAGCUAGGGUUGACAUCAAACUGGGCAGAAAUCACAUGAAAAAGAAUUUCAAGCUUCUGGGCAGGCGUUUUUGCCACCCGUGUCAAAAAUGUUAACUGCUCCACACGUUCAACUCUCCCAGUGCCCUUCUUACCCCUCGACGCCACAAUCUCCUUGAGCUUUUUAUCAACAAUAUCCCAUGUAAUCUCACUCGGGUCCUUCAAGAACUGCUUGUCCAUAAUCUUAUCUUUCUUGCUCAACUUCUUUUCCCAGGCUCCACCAUCUUGACUGACAUCGUCUUCAUUCCCUGAAUCUUCUGAGUCAGAGGCCAUCUUAUCCGGAUCCACAACAUCAUCCCCACUCUCAUCAUCAUCAUCAUCCACAUCCUUAUCAUCUGCAACAUCAUCUUCAAAGCUCUCUGGAUUCUCUCUGCACUUCUGGAUCAAGUCUUCAUACUGCUUGUUGUUCUUCUUAAGCUUUUGCUUGACAGCAUUUAGCGCCUUCGCGUUGCUGCUGCUCAUCUUCUUCUUGGCUUCCUUGUUUGCAAGAGCCUCGGCAAGGAAGUCCUCCAGUAGCACAAGAGUUGUGAUAUACCCAUUUGGAAUUUUCGCAGAUUCAUUGACACGAACAACUUUGUCAAGCUGCUUGUUUAGCUUGUCAAAACACUCCUGCAAGCUAAUCCAGUCAUUGAUCUUCAUUGCAUUGCGCAUCUGGUCGGCAGUAGCUUUCAUCUCAUCAUUGCGCUUGUCCUUCAAGGAGCGAAUCACGCGGUGGCUCUCAGUGUCAGAGUCGUCACUGUCUUGUGUAUAUUUGUUCAGAUAGCGGUUCUUGGACCCAUCGCGUCCCCCAUCACCGGCUUCUGAUUUCUCGCUAUCACUCCCUUGUUCUGACUCGAUCUCGUCCACCUCCUCCUCAGAGUCACUGUCUCCCUGAUGUUGGGUAGAUAGAGAUAAAGGUACUAAGUAAUUGCAUUUGACAAGGACAACAUAUAUGCAUACUACUACACUUAUGCAACAUAGAGUCUGAUUCAGCAGCUCAGUGCAGGAGAGAAAGCAAGUACCUGUCCCCAAAAACGAGAUGCCAUGGCUGCUGCUUGCAAAUUACCUUCAACUGUCUUCGAGCUAUGCAAAGUACACAAGUAAGAAAGAUAUCAUCAAUACACACAGAAGGAAGCACGCGAAAUUGCAUCACAGGCAAUUAAACAAGGGGGGGAAACUAUCCUCGGAACACAUAAAUGGACACACUAACAAUAAGGUAAACAAUGCUUACGGAAUGACUCAUAUGAACGAAUCAAACCCCAUAAAGAAAAAAUAGCUCAUCGAAGGCAGUUAAACAAUACCGGCAGAAGAUGCAAGCUCGCGUGUAUGAGCAGAGAGCUAGACCUAUACCCUAAACAUAACAAACCAACUGAACUGGGAAAAAUUGUGAGAUGCGACGAGCAAGGGCGCAACCCAAGCAAGAGACCUCGACCUGACGUUGGGUCAGUGAGAUCCCCGGGACUCGGCGCGGCAGUAGCCUGCUCGUCGGCGGCUAGAGCUGGAACCUAGGCCUGGUACGCGGCGAGAUUGCUGGUAGGGCGCGCGCGGCGGCCUGCAACGACAAGUCUGAUAGAGAAUCAAUCAGGUCGGUUAACUUGCCUUGAGUCGCGGCCGUGGAGCGGAUGAGGCUCAGAUCCAGCGGGGAACGGAGGCUUGGAGCGGCGGAGUAGACGGGUGCGGCCGCGCGCUCAGCGGCUGACGGCGGACGAGGAUGGAGGGUGUUGAGGGACCGGCGGCGUGCAGAGCGGGGGCGCGGAGGAUGGAGGUGGAGAUGGAGAGGCUAGGGUUUGCUUGGAUUCUUUGGGUGGCACGCUAGACUUUUGGCAGGCUGGGUUGCUGUUGUGCUUGGGGUAAUGUGGGCUAGGCUUAGGUUCUCUGGGACAUGGGCCCAGACUAUAAACCCGCUGCUACCCCUAAAAAAACAUAACCCCUGCUUUUUCUCCUGGCCCAUUAGGGGCUGUGUACCCCUCGAUAAAAUAGAGGCUGUGUAAUCAAGCUCUAAAAAAAAAGAGGCUGCGUACAGAUCUCGCGGUUUUAUAUAUUUUAUUUACUAGCAAAAGAGCCCGUGCGUUGCAACGGGAGAAAAAAAAAGCCAAAAUUAGUGACGUUGCAAUAAUUUAUAUACCAGAAAAGGUGUAAUCAAAAGGAUAAUUUAUAAAUUACUAUUGAUCUCACAAAAAAGAAUAAUUUAUAAGUUGGAUGUGAAACAUAUUUUUUAAGUUCGCCGUGUGUGCCAUAACCCCCUGUUAAAAUAUUACGCAUAGCAUCCAUCCAUGGUUUUGUAGGUUUUGUUUGUCAUUUUGAAAUAUUACCACCCUUGAAUGAAAUGAGCAAAUUUUGGAACUUUUCCCAAAGAUCUCAGGCGAAAUGAACAAUCCAAAAUUUGAAUUUUUGGACAAAAAUGGGAUGAAAUAUGAACGAAAAACUAUCAAAAUUAUACAAAUAUUUUGUCUUGCAGCAAUGGAAUAAAGCAGAAUCAAACUGAAUAACACUAUCCCUUUAUUGAUAUACACCCACGGAUAGCUCACAGCAAUACAAUUAGCAGAAAUACCACAUUACUUACUAUUCAUCUUGGUGUGAUUAGUACUACAUCCUAGGUCCCGUUUUAGCAAGAUGUGGCUGGAAUUAGCAGAAAUACCACAUUACUUACUAUUCAUCUUGGUGUGAUUAGUACUACAUCCUAGGUCCCGUUUUAGCAAGAUGUGGCUGGAAUUGUUCCUUGGUGAUGUCGCUCGGAUGACCAUGUCUGCAUCCAGCAGCUUCUAGUCCACAGUUGAUUAAAAAAAGCAAGAGGCACCACCAAAUCCCCACCGAUGUCACCACCCACUGCGUGCCCCUUCUUAUCCACAACACGUCGCCAUUCCUCAUCACCCAAGCGCCGCUCCGCCUCCAUCUUCCUCCUGCUGCCUGACCACCCAUCGUUGCUCCUCCUCCUCUUCUCCUCUUCUCCAUCCGCCUCACACCCAAGUGUUGCUUUCCUGUUCUUGGCCGCGGUGGCUGGCCUGAGCCACAUCCCAGCUGACAGCGUCGGCGUGCUUUCUAGCUACGGCUGGGGCGUUGGUGGCCUGCUCAUCGGCGCACUCGGGCCGGGGCGGAGCCCCCUUCCUUGCAGUGGUGAUGGAGCCCCUCCUCCCGGAGGGUGGCUGGGGGCAACCGAGGUUGCGGGGCAGGUGUGCAGUGGCUCGGUUGCGCCAGAUCUGGCGGCUGGCCAGCACGCGCGGGGGGCGGUCUGGUGGUGGUGUUCGUCUGCCGGUGGCCACGGAUGUGGGAGUGCCGAAGCUGCCUCCGAUGAAAGCCCCUGGGCCCCGGUUUUCUCUUCCAUGAGCUGGUCUCUGUAUCAGCAAUGGGCAUCAAUUUUCUCUGUAUCUUUAGUUCGGCUCUCUCUCCUUCUUUAGGAUUAUUAGCUCAAAUGGCAAUUAAGACAUUUCUUUCUAUUAGGCUCGGUGCUUUUCUUUGGAUUCAUGUGCAUCUCCUCUUUGCUCAUUUUCAAUUGGUGACGCAUAUAGUAGAUGCGGCAGGCAGCUUUCUUGAUUUUUCUCUAGGGUAAACAUGAACAUCUCAUCCGCUUUUUGUUGGCUUGUUGAUCUUGUAAUGCAUGAAAUAAGUUGGUUGGAUUUUAUGUAAUAGAGCAGGUAGGACUAUUAAUUGGAAUCUGAAAUUUUAGCACAGGCACAAGACUUGGUUCCUAAGGCAGGAAGAGGAGGAGCUUGGGCGCGCUGGUGAGAGGAGCCGAAGUGGAACGGUGGUGCCGGGUGAUGCGGUCGCCGGCGUCGGCCGGCAGCGGAUUGAGCAUCACGUGGGCCGCGAGCUUCUUUGUAAACCACAGGGGCUUCUUUGUAAAAAAGCGUGACGGACGACAGAAAUCCAACCAUCCGGAGCUGUCGCCGCCGCGAAGAGCGCCGCCCCACCGCGCCGGAAAGGAAGCAUGUGGAUAAGAUAGAACAAAGGGUCGCGGACCGAAUUCUUACAAACGUAGGGUUCUUUUUUGUAAAAAUGAAUCGUUAUCUCAGAUCCACUUAAACAGGGACUGCGGGUUGAAUUCUCACAAGCAGAGGGGCUUUUUCGUAAAAACGCCGACGACGUACGGGCAGAAGCACUCCGUGCUUUAUUAGUAGGGAAAGAUAAAAAUAAAACAAAGUAUUAGUCUAUAGUCCAUGACUGUCCUUAAAAAAAGUUGAUUGAGGGCAUGUUUGAUAGCAAAGUAUCUUUAAAGUAUCAUAAUACUGCAGUUUUUAGAUUAGUAGUUUUAUUUACAACGGGUUGUUUGGCUGCGUCUAAAAACUGUGGUUUUAAUACUAGAGUAUUUGUCAAACCACAGUAUUUCCUGUGUAUAAUAAAAAGAACACCAGACCUCUUCUCUAAAAACUGAGCAUAGUGAGAAAACUGGCACAUCUGCUUCCUUGUUCCCAAGCAGCACAACUCGAUCACCUCAAUUCAGCUUCACUCCGUGGUGCACCGUCGGCACCGCCAUUGAAUUUCUUGUAAUUACCCUCGACGGCCGCUGAAGAAGGCUGAGUUUUCCAACCCACGCAUAGUCGGCAACUUCGCUCAUGGUAGUUCAACUGCCUCCGCUUUUGGUAACCUAUAUUUGUGCAUGGUCGUCCAAGUUUAUGUAUGCGGCUGUUUGUUGGUUGUCCAAGUGUGCAACGACUAGGGAGCUUGGCACAUGCGUGUUUCCGAUUGUGAAUAGUUGCUAAUUUAUGUUGUAUGUAAGCAAUACCCAAACAUGUUUGCAGUAUUCUUAAUACUCUAGAAUACUUCGAUAUGUCAAAACUGUGAUAUCAUGUGCCUAUGGGUUAAAAUAGUGUAGUUUUCGAAUACUUUGAGUUUUUCAAUACUUUGCUAGCCUGAAUUUGAAAGGUAAAAGUCGAUAGUCCAUAGAUGAGCUUGGGUUCAUCUACUAUCCCAUGAAAAAUAAUUUCAAAAAACAUAGCAUAUUGAUCCAGUGCACUUUUAUAUUAUUUUUGGGACUAACAUAUUGAUCCAGUGUCCAGUGUCAGUUCAUGUUUGUUGCAUGUUUUUUGUUUCGCAGAAUAUCCAUAUCAAAUGAAGUCCAAACGUGAUAAAAAUUUACGAAGAUUUAUUUUGCAAUAUAUAUGAUUUUUGGGAAAAAGAAUAAACACGAGACGAUGCCCGAGGGGCCGACAAGCUCGAGGGGCGCCCCCUAUGAGGCACACCGGGCAGGCUUGUUGGGCCCCUGUAAGGUGGUUGGUGCCCUUCUUCGGCCACAAGAAAGCUAAUAUCCGGAUAAAAAUCGUAUUAAAAUUUCAGCCCAAUCGGAGUUACGGAUUCCCGGGAAUUUAAGAAACGGUGAAAGGCUAUAAAUCAGGAACAUGAAACAGAAGAGAACAGAGAGAGAGAGAGAGAGAAAGAAAGAGAGAGAUCCAAUCUCGGAGGGGCUCCCGCCCCUUCGGGCACCAUGGAGGCUAAGGACCAGAGGGAGAACCUCUCCCCAUCUAGUGACGAGGCCAUGGAGGAGCAAGCCGGAGGGGGAACCUCUCUUCCCUACCUCUCGGUGGCGCUGGAGUGCCGUCGGGGGAACCAUCGUCGCGGUGAUCGUCUUCAUCAACAUCACCUCCCUCAUCUCUUUUCAACGGUCCAUUCUCCUGCACCCUGUUGUAAUCCCUACUUGAACAUGGUGCUUUAUGCCACAUAUUAUUAUUCAAUGAUGUGUUGCCAUCCUAUGAUGUUCUGAGUGCAUUUAUUUUGUCUUUUCGGUUGAUUGAUGACCUUGAUUGCUUUGAGUUGUAUGUUUUAUUUUGCUGCUAUCCUAUGGUGCCUUCCGUGCCACGCACACGUGAAGGAUUCCCGUUGUAGGGUGUUGCAAUACGUUCAUGAUUCGCUUAUAGUGGGUGGCUAGAGUGACAGAAGCUUACAUCCGAGUAAAGGGGUUGUUGCGUAUGCGAGUAAAGGGGACUUGAUACGUAAUGCUAUGGUUGAGCUUACCUUAAUUACUUCUAGUAGUUGUGGAUGCUUGCUAGGGGUCCAAUCAUAAGUUCAUAUGAUCCAAGUACGGAAAGUAUGUUAGCUCAUGCCUCUCCCUCAUAUAAAAUUACAAUAAUGAUUACCGAUCUUGUUAUCAAUUGCCUAGGAUAAUUCCGCACACUGAUCCAUCAUUAUUCCACACUCGCUAUUUAUAAUAUAUUAUGAUAUAUUCUAACUUUAUGUUAACAACACCUAUUUUAUAUUUUAGUCCUCUAAUAUUAUGCAAAGCUAUCCUCUUCAUACCCGUAACGUAGUUUUAUUUCUCGUUUCUAGAUGAAAGCAAACGCUCGGUGUACAUAGAGUCGUAUCCGUGGCAGAUAGGACUUGAGAGAAUAUUAAUCUUACCUUUAGCUCCCCGUGGGUUUGACACUCCAUACUUAUCACUUCCAUCUUUGGAAAUUGCUACGAUGAUUCCUUGCACUUGGGGAUUAUCACUUGUCUACAUCAUGUCAUCUUGUCUAAUGCGUUACUCCAUUUUUUCAUGAACUUAUCACUUCCAUUUUAUGAAGAUUACUUUGGGUGAAGCUACUAUAUUACUUGAUAAUAUCAUGGUAAAUUAUUCACAAUGGCAUACCGAAAGAGCACCUACUAGUAAAAAGGUUAAUUCUGUUGAAGAAAUUAGUACUUUGAGUGAAAAAGUUGAUUCACUUAUGAAAUUGGUUGGUAGUAAAAAUGCUCCUAUUUAUCUUAAUGAUGUGCCUUUGUCUACUUUAAUUGAGCAAAAUAAUGAUCUCGUAGAUGUGAAUUUUGUUUCACGAAACAACUUUAAUAAUAAUGCUUAUAGAGGUAAUUUUAAUCCUAAGCCGUUCCUUGGAGGAUCCUCUAAUAAUUAUGGCAAUNNNNNNNNNNNNNNNNNNNNNNNNNNNNNNNNNNNNNNNNNNNNNNNNNNNNNNNNNNNNNNNNNNNNNNNNNNNNNNNNNNNNNNNNNNNNNNNNNNNNNNNNNNNNNNNNNNNNNNNNNNNNNNNNNNNNNNNNNNNNNNNNNNNNNNNNNNNNNNNNNNNNNNNNNNNNNNNNNNNNNNNNNNNNNNNNNNNNNNNNNNNNNNNNNNNNNNNNNNNNNNNNNNNNNNNNNNNNNNNNNNNNNNNNNNNNNNNNNNNNNNNNNNNNNNNNNNNNNNNNNNNNNNNNNNNNNNNNNNNNNNNNNNNNNNNNNNNNNNNNNNNNNNNNNNNNNNNNNNNNNNNNNNNNNNNNNNNNNNNNNNNNNNNNNNNNNNNNNNNNNNNNNNNNNNAUGAGUAAGAUUGAUGAUAUGUCUAGGAGUAUUGAUAGAAUUACACAUGAUGUGAAAAAUCUCAAGAUUAAAAUUUUUCCACCCAAGGUUGAUAUCAAUGAAUCAAUUAAAGCUUCAUAUGUCUCCAUGGAUGAGAGCAAGAAAAGAACCCCUAUGCUAAGAGCUAAAAGAGAAUUUUUAGAAAAGACGAUUCCGCCUGAUUUUUUUCGUAGUAAUGAUGAAGAUGUUAAAAUGAUUGGUGUUUCUUCUAUUGAUUCAUUUUGUAGUAAUAUUAAACUUGACAAUAAGGGGAUUGAAGAAGAGUCAAAUUUAGCUAGAAGGCGUUUCCAUAACUCGGAGGGUAAAACUCUUGUUGAAAAUUUUGAUAAAAGUGGGUUUGGAGAGGUAAAAACUUUAACUAGUGAUGUGCCCACUCUCUUGGAUUACAAAGUGUCACAUCCCUAGCUCCUGGCAAUGCACUAGGCUAGCUUCAUGUGUGCAUCAUGUUUAAAUUUUGCCUAAACUUGAAAUGGGGAUGUUCAAACCCUAGAACCAAAUGAAAUCCAACUAGGAUCACAGUGAAAUAUUUUCAAUGAAACCAAAAUGCCCUUUGGAAAUGUUCAUCAUUUUUGAUAAAGGUAGAAACCUCUGCCAAAAAUGAUGAACAUAUUUCUAGGUCAUUUCUGGAUUUUUGAAUUAACUCAUUUUGUAUUUGUAUUGGGGCAUUUAAAUCCUAUAAAUAUUUUAAAUGCUCUAAUAAUUCUGAAACUAGUUGAGGGUUGUUGGGAAUAAUUUCAACAGUGCCCAUAAAUAUUUUCAGGAUUUUUGAAAAUGCUCUGGCAUUUUUAAUAAAGCCAAAACAAUUGCAAAAAAAUAGAAAAAUAGAAAGAAAAGGAAAACUUACCUGGCCUCACCUUUGCGGCCCAGCUGGCAGCCCAGCUUGCUGGCCCAGCCCACCACCGCCUCCUUCCCUGUCGUCUUCCUCGCCAAGCCAGUAGGCAGAGCGCGUGGCCGCAAUGUGCCGGCACGCGUCCCGGCCACCUCCACCCUUCCUGCCUGCGUCUCCGUCGCCUUGGAUCUCUCCCGCGUCGCCAUGCACCCCCAGGCCCUCUCAAUCUCUCCCAUGCCUUCCCCCCUCCUCUGGCUCCCUCUCUCUUCCAUCGAGCGGAGCUCCUCGUCGCCGCUCGCUGAUGCCGCGGCCACUAUGCUCCCCUCGUCUCCCCGUGCUGCCCACGGGCUCUGCCUUCAUCUCCCGCGCCUCUCCGUCAACUCGCACGGCGCCGGAUGCCCUGCAUCACCCUCUACACCAACAUUCUUGACGCCGGCCGCCGGAGAUCCCUCUCGCCGCUCCGCUUGCUCCGGUGCUUCCCCGAGCUCGCUGAGACCCUCGUCCGACUCGCCGUGAGCUCCUCUACCGACCCCCUGCUCCCAUGUCCAUUAGCUCAUCGUAGCCCUUGUUUCCGUCGAGACCGAGACCUCAUCGGCGCCGGACUUGUCAUCGUCGUUGUUUUGGUUCGCCUCCGUCCAAACCAAGCACGUCACUGCACUCAAUGCACUCCCAGGAGCCGAGCACACCCACCAGAACCUCACGCCGUGCACCGUAGCCUUGUUUUCGUGCAGGCCCGAACUCUGGCCGCCACCUUGGAGCUCGCCGUCGUCGGCUCUAGCCACCAUAGGCUCGGCCGCCACCACCACUCGACGCACGCGAGCAAGAGCUCUCCAACGAGCCCAAGAACGGACUCGUCUGUGCCCUAUGGGCGUUUUUCGAGCCGCGCCACAGUCUUGGGCUUCGCCGGUGAUGAGUCACUUGUGGGUUUUACCUCGUUUGACCUGGGGUUUGACCCCCCCCAGGGUCACUGACGCGUGGGCCAUGCCCUUGUUUAGUUUAAGUGUUACUUUAGUUAGCGCUAAUUAACUUAAUUAAUUAGUUGACUCACUCACAAGUGGGCCUAGGCCCUAAUUAACCUAGGUUAGUGCUAACCUAACACUAACUAACUAUGUUAGUUAAUUGUUACACUGACAUGUGGGUCCCAGCCGUCAGGUUUGACCUGGGAUGGCGCCUUUGACCUGCUAACAUCAUGCUGACACAGUUAACCUUUUUCUGGAUUUAAUCUUAUUCAGGAAAUUCUAGAAAAUGCCCUAAACUUCUAAAAUUCAUAGAAAAUUACCUGUAACUCCAGAUGAAAUAAGUUAUAUAUGAAAAAUGAUCAGAAAAAUCCAAUCUAUCCAUCCGAACUAGUUUCAUGCAUGUUAAAGCAACUUAAACCUGUUGUUUAUAUCAAAACAUGAUAAUGCACUUUAUAAAGUCAUAGUUUGAGUUUGAACUUGAACCUUGGGUUCAAAAUAACUCAAACCACCCUAUUUGUAGUUGCAUUAGCCCAACACACUCAUUUUGCCAUGUAGUGAUCAUGCAUCAUAUUAUGCAUUGCAUUGAUUGUGUUUCCUUCUGUGUUGCCGGUAUUUGUCCCCUCUCGAUAGACGUGAUACCGAUGAUGAGAUCGAUGACACCGAUGAAGAGCUAUACUAUCUUCAGAAGUGCCAGGCAAGCAAAACCCCCUUUUUCAUUCUGAUACAAUCCCGCUCUCUCGCUCCUGCCCUCUUUUACUGCAUUAGGACAACAACGAUUCAUAUGUUACUUGCUGCGGUAGUUGAACCCCUUUCCUCUGCAUGAUCUGUCAUUGUCAUAGUAAAUAGAUGAAACUCACUAGCAUGAGUAGGAGUUGUUUGAGCCUUGAUGUGCCUACUCGUUCAUGCUUGUUUGUCAUGCCUGCUACUGCUUAGAGUUGAGUCAGGUUUGAUUCAUCGGGGAUGAAUUGGAAUGUUGUGAACAUGUCCUACUAUGUGUGAGCUAAGUGUGGGAACACGAUUUGGUAAAGGUAGCGGUGAGAGGCCAUGUAGGAGUACAUGGUGGGUUGUCUCAUUGAAGCCGUCCUCAGGAACUGAGUUCUGUGUUUGUGAUCCAUGAAAUAGUUACUACCACGCAUUGGGCCCAAAACCAAUGGACCCUCUCUACUUCUUACUCACCCUUGUCCUCUGUCCAGGAGUUGCACGUAGUUCCUGGUGUUUGUAGUAUGCUGGAGGCCGUGGGCAGCGCUGACCCGAGGGGUGGGCUAUGUUGCGGUAGGCACGUGGCCGGGUAUGCUGGGCGCCUGUUUGGUGUCGCGGAACCUUGUACACAUCAUUCGGGGCCGUGUGUGGAAACCUCGGUCGGACUCCCUGCGGAUGGAACCUGAAUAGGCGAUAAACCUGGACUAGAGACUUGAGUGUUUAGGUAGGCCAUGGCCGACACCCUCGUGGGGCUUCCGCUUGAAGGUUGCCGAGUACAUGUCGUGUAAACGGCGGUAAGUGGUGAGAGCAUGUGUGAAGAAGUACACCCCUGCAAGGUUAACAUCAUCUAUUCGAAUAGCCGCGUCCGCGGUAAAGGACCUCUGGGUUGCCUAUAUAGUUCAUAGACAAGUGAAAGUGGAUACUCUGAAAUACGCAAGAUAAGCGUGAGUGCUAUGGAUGGCGUUCUCGUAGGGAGAUGGGAGCACAUCCAUAGUGGUGUAUUGAUAUGGUGAAUAUGUGGACUCGUGUGCGCCACCUCAAAAGAGUUACAUUGCAGUCAUAGUUCAGGAUAGCCACUGAGUCAAAGCUGGCUUGCUGCAGUUAAACCCCACCAUCCCCUUUGUUGAUAAUGAUGCAUAUGUAGUUAGUUCUGAUGUAAGUCUUGUUGGGUACAUUUGUACUCACGUUUGCUUAAUUUAUGUCUUUGCAGAGAGUUUCGGUCUCGCUAGUAGUACCGCUUGGACUUCGACGUUUAGCUUGCUACCUCAGCUACGAUCUUGUGCCCUCGGCAGGAUCUGGUAGAUAGUCAGGCUUCUCAGCCUUUUUCAUUUGUAGAUGUCUGUACUCAGACAUGUUAAGCUUCCACAUGUGCUUUGACUUGUAUGCUCUGAAUGUUGGGUCAUGAGACCCAUGUUUGUAAUAUCUCGCUCCUCGGAGCUGAUACGUCUCCAACGUAUCUACUUUUCCAAACACUUUUGCCCUUGUUUUGGACUCUAACUUGCAUGAUUUGAAUGAAACUAACCCAGACUGACACUGUUUUCAGCAGAACUGCCAUGAUGUUGUUUUAUGUGUAGAAAACAAAAGUUCUCGGAAUGACCUGAAAAUCCACGGAGGCAAGUUUUAGAAAAUAUAAAAAAUACUGGCAAAAGAUGAAGGCUAGGGGCCCCACACCCUGUCCACGAGGGUGGGGGGCGUGCCCACCCCCCUGGGCGCGCCCCCCUGUCUCGUGGGCCCCCUGAAGCUCCACCGACCUCAACUCCAACUCCAUAUAUUCCAUUUUGCGGAGAAAAAAAUCAAAGAGAAAGUUUCAUCGCGUUUUACGAUACGGAGCCGCCGCCAAGCCCUAAUCUCUCUUGGGAGGGCUGAUCUGGAGUCCGUUCGGGUCUCCGGAGAGGGGGAUUCGUCACCGUCGUCAUCAUCAACCAUCCUCCAUCACCAAUUUCAUGAUGCUCACCGCCGUGCGUGAGUAAUUCCAUCGUAGGCUUGCUGGACGGUGAUGGGUUGGAUGAGAUUUACCAUGUAAUUAAGUUAGUUUUGUUAGGGUUUGAUCCCUAGUAUCCACUAUGUUCUGAGAUUGAUGUUGCUAUGACUUUGCUAUGCUUACUGAUUGUCACUAGGGCCCGAGUGCCAUGAUUUCAGAUCUGAACCUAUUAUGUUUUCAUGAAUAUAUAUGUGUUCUUGAUCCUAUCUUGCAAGUCUAUAGUCACCUAUUAUGUGUUAUGAUCCGACAACCCCGAAGUGACAAUAAUCGGGAUACUUCUCGGUGAUGACCGUAGUUUGAGGAGUUCAUGUAUUCACUAUGUGUUAAUGCUUUGGUUUGGUACUCUAUUAAAAGGAGGCCUUAAUAUCCCUUAGUUUCCACUAUGACCCCGCUGCCACGGGAGGGUAGGACAAAAGAUGUCAUGCAAGUUCUUUUCCAUAAGCACGUAUGUCUAUAUUCAGAAUACAUGCCUACAUUACAUUGAUGAACUGGAGCUAGUUCUGUGUCACCCUAUGUUAUAGCUAUUACAUGAGGAAUCGCAUCCGACAUAAUUAUCCAUCAUUGAUUCGAUGCCUAUGAGCUUUUCACAUCUUGUGCUUCACUUAUUUACUUUUCCGUUGCUACUGUUACAAUCACUACAAUACCGCUAUCUUUACCUUUACCACUAUUACCAUUACUAUCAUAUUACUUUGCUACUAAAUACCUUGCUGCAGAUACUAAGUUAUCCAGGUGUGAUUGAAUUGACAACUCAACUACUAAUACUUAAGAAUAUUCUUUGGCUUCCCUUGUGUCGAAUCAAUAAAUUUGGGUUGAAUACUUUACCCUCAAAAGCUGUUGCGAUCCCCUACACUUGUGGGUUAUCAAGACUAAUUUCUGGCGCCGUUGCCGGGGAGCAUAGCUCUAUACUUUGAGUCACUUGGGAUUUAUAUCUGCUAAUUACUAUGAAGAACUUGAAAGAUCAAAGAACUAAAAUUUAUCCCUCAACUACGAGGGGAGGUAAGGAACUGCCAUCUAGCUCUGCACUAGAUUCUCCUUCUGUUAUGAAUAAGCUUGCGACACCUAAACCUGCUAUUGCUAUGAAUUCUGAUAUGUCGCAAGUUAUUGAUGACGCCACUUCUGCUAUGCAUGAUACUUAUGAUGAAACUACUUCUAUGCUUGAUACUACUGUGCCAUUAGGUGAAUUUCUUGAUGAACAACUUACUAAGGCUAGGAAGAAUGAAAUUAUUGAAAAUGAAAUCAUUGAUGAAAGUGAUGAUGAAGGUUCUCUUCCUAAUUAUGAAUUGCAUGUUGUUCCUGAGGGUUAUGUUAUGGAUGAAGAAACUGCUAGAGAUUUUCUUGCUUGCAAUGAUAGAUCAGAUCUUAAGAAAUUGUUAGCUAAGCUGAAACAAAAGACUCUAAAUGCUAGAAUGAAACAUGACCCUGCUUUUGCCACUUCACCUAUCUUUGUUACUGAUAAGGAUUAUGAAUUCUCUGUUGAUCUUGAGAUUAUUACUUUAGUUGAAUCCGAUCCUUUCUAUGGCACUGAAUCUGAAACUGUUGUGGCAUAUCUCACCAAGUUAAAUGAUAUAGCCACCCUGUUUACUAAUGAUGAGAAGUCUCGCUAUUAUUAUAUCCUUAAGAUAUUUUCGUUCUCAUUAAAGGGUGAUGCUAAGACUUGGUUUAAUUCUCUUGAUCCUGGUUGUGUGCGUAGUCCCCAGGAUAUGAUUUAUUACUUCUCUACUAAAUAUUUCCCUGCUCAUAAGAAACAAGUUGCCUUGCGGGAAAUAUAUAACUUUGUGCAAAUCGAAGAAGAGAGUCUCCCACAAGCUUGGGGGAGGCUUCUUCGAUUACUUAAUGUUUUGCCUGAUCAUCCUCUUAAGAAAAAUGAAAUACUUGAUACCAUUUAUAAUGGACUAACUGAUGCUUCCAAGGACCACUUGGAUAGUUGUGCUGGUUGUGUUUUCAGGAAAAAAGCAGUCGACCAAGCUGAAUUAUUAUUGAAUAAUAUGUUGACUAAUGAAAAUAAUUGGACUCUUCCUGAGCCAAUUCCUGAGCCAACUCCUGAACCAAUUGAGCCAACUCCUGAGCCUAUUCCUAAACCUACUCCGAAGAAGAGAGGUGUUCUGUUUCUCAGUCUUGAAGAUAUGCAAGAGGCAAAGAAAUCAAUGAAAGAAAAAGGUAUUAAAGCUGAAGACAUUAAGAAUUUACCUCCUAUGGAAUAAAUACAUGGUCUUAAUAUACCGCCUAUUGAAGAAACACAUUGUCUUGAUAACCCGACACAGGUAGUAAAGGUAAAUUCUCUCUAUAGAUAUGAUAAAGUUGAAAUCCCCUCUACUAAAUUUCAUAGCCUAUUCUUAGAUGAAUUUGAUGACUUUAUGGCUAGACAAGAAAGUUUUAAUGCUUAUGUUGGUAGAGAAUUAAAGAAUAAUGCUUCCGAGAUAGGACGCUUGAGUGAUUAUAUGACUAGAGUUAAAGGUGAACUUAAACUCAUUAGCAAAUAUGCUUCUAUGGUUGCCACUCAAGCUGAACAAGUACUUAAGGCUCAGAAUGAAUUGCUAGAUGAAUUAAAUAACAAACAUGACUUUGCUGUUAGAGUGGUUACUAGAGCUGGUAAAAUGACUCAGGAACCUUUGUAUCCUGAAGGCCACCCUAAGAGGAUUGAACAAGAUUCUCAGAAUAGUAACCUAGAUGCUCCUAGUUCUUCUAAGAAGAAGAAAAAGAAAAAUGAUAGGACUUUGCAUGCUUCUAGUGAACCUAAUGUAGAAACACCUAAGAAUCCUAAUGAUACUUCUAUCUCUGAUGUUGAAACACAAUCCGGAGAUGAACAUGAACCUAAUGAUAAUGCUAAUAAUGAUGUUCAUGUAGAUGCUCAACCUAGUAAUAACAAUGAUAUAGAAAUUGAACCUGCUGUUGGUCUUGAUAACCCACAAUCAAGAAACCAAUGUUAUGAUAAGAGAGAUUUUGUUGCUAGGAAACAUAAUAGGGAAAGAGAACCAUGGGUUCAGAAACCCAUGCCCUUUCCUCCUAAACCAUCCAAGACAAAGGAUGAUGAGGACUUUGAGCAUUUUGCUGAAAUGAUUAGACCUAUUUUCUUAUGCAUGCGCUUAACUGAUAUGCUCAAAACAAAUCCUUAUGCUAAAUACAUGAAAGAUAUCAUCACUAAUAAGAGGAAAAUACCUGAAGCUGAAAUUUCCACCAUGCUUGCUAACUAUACCUUUAAGGGUGGAAUACCUAAGAAACUUGGUGAUCCCGGAGUACCCACUAUACCUUGCUCUAUUAAAAGAAAUUAUGUUAAAACUGCCUUAUGUGAUUUAGGAGCCGGUGUUAGUGUUAUGCCUCUUUCCUUGUACCGUAGACUUGAAUUAAGUAAGUUGACACCCACUGAGAUAUCCUUGCAAAUGGUUGAUAAAUCAACUGCUAUACCUGUCGGCAUUUGUGAGGACGUGCCUGUUGUUGUUGCGAAUGUUACUAUCUUAACAGACUUCGUCAUUCUUGAUAUUCCUGAGGACGACAGUAUGUCGAUUAUCCUCGGUAGACCCUUUUUAAAUACUACAGGUGCUGUUAUUGAUUGCAACAAAGGUAAUGUCACCUUUCAUGUUAAUGGAAAUGAGCAUACGGUACAUUUUCCGAGGAAACAACCUCAAGUUCACAACACAGAUUCUAUUGGAAAAGUUCCAACUAUCAUUAUUGGAGGUUUUGAAUUUCCUCUCCCUACUGUCAAGAAAAAGUAUGAUAUUCUUAUUGUUGGGGAUGUUCAUGUCCCCGUUGAGGUAACUUAGUGUUAUUCGAAAUUUCUCCGGUUUCGUGUUAUUCGGAAUGAGUUUGUUAACAAGACUUGAUCAACCUUGUUAGUGGAUUCAUUUUGAUGAUCAUGAGAUGGAUGAAACUAGAAGGCACAACCUUCUGUACCCUCUUUUUACUUUCUGUUAUUUAGGAUAAAUAAAGAAAAAAUAGUAUUAUUAGUCCGUUUUCUGAAUUAUCCAUGCAAUAAAAAAAUCCCGAAAAUAAAAGUGCUCCAAAUGCCCUGCAAAUUUAGUACGAUUUUUUACAGAAUAUUUGAGGAUUUUAGGCACUCAAAUCACUGCAGGAGGGGCAAGCACCAGGCCACGAUGGUGGAGGGCGCCCCCACACCCCCUGGGCGCCCCCUGUCUCGUGGGCCCCUGGUGGACCCCCUCCACUUAUGCCAGUACCCACACACUUCAUCUUCUUCCUAAAAAAAUCCCCAUCCAGCUCAAGCACGAAUUCUAGCUUAUUUUGUUGCGAUUUUCGAUCUCCUUGCUCAAAGCUCCAUUCACAAAACUGCUUUGGGAGAUUGUUGCUUGGUAUGUGACUCCUCCAUUGGUCCAAUUAGUUUUUGUUCUAGUGCUUUAUUCAUUGCAAAUUUUUGCUGCAUAGGUGACCAUGUUCUUGAGCUUGCAUGUUAAAUUUAUGAGGUCCCAAGUAAUUCUAAUGCAUGAUAUAUGCACUAGGCACUUGUAGGAGUAGUUGCUAUCAAUCUUGUUUAGUUUUAUUCACUUUUAUUUUGAAGUUACUAAAUUUCAAAAAAAUUCAGAAAAUGUUAAGGAGAUUUUUGAGGGGCUCUUCUAGCCAAGGCUCCCAGGAAAAACAAGCUAAAGAAAAGGAAAAGGCCAAGUAUAAUCUUCCUCGCAUAGUGGAAGUACGGCCAUGUGAAUGGCCAUGCGAUAAUUUCUUGAGAGAAGCUGGAAUUUAUGAAGAUUUUUAUUCUUUGACCGAGAAUGCAUGCCUCACCGAUUUCCUCCACGACUGGAUCGAUCAAUAUCUCUUACUUACCAAUACUUUCAUGCAAAACUUUUAUUAUUAUCCUAAGAAGUCACUGCCUUCAGUAUCAUUUCAUUUAUAUGAUGAAUUCAGGGAAAUGUCUUUACGUAAUUUUUGCGCGGUAUCUAGGAUACCCUUGAGGGAAAAUUAGAGGAACCACAUCAUAGGGCUGUGGAUGGCUUUGUUAACACUAUCACUGUAGGGGAUCCAAAGAAGGGUUCCGAUGCGAGAAUCUCUAGCAUACACUUUCCUGUUUUAUGCUACUUUGCCAUAUCUGCUAGUAGAUGCUUGAUUGGUCAUGGAAAUAGUGGAAACUUCAAUGUUCCAGAUAUUAUUAUUCUAUUCCAUGCCUUGUUUGGUGAUAAUAGUUUUAGUAUGGGUGCCGUUAUUGUAAACGUCUAAACCUGAAUCGUACAAAGGGGCCCAUCUUUGGAGGUAUCUAUGCUGCACGUCUUGCUAAAUAUUUUGAGAUACCUAUUAGGCACCAUGAGAAAGAGGAGACAAUAUUGCCUCCUUACAUUUUAGAUUAUAGGAGCAUGGCAGCACAUGAGUUUAUUGUUGACAACGAAGAUAAGAUGCUCUUGUAUAACUGAGAUUUAAUAAGAAACACAAUGAGACUAUUAUUUUGCCUGCACCUCUGUUGUUUGAUUUGAUUGCAGAUAAUUUUCUUGUCACGCCGGAAGCAGUGUACACUCAUCGAGGCCAAGCAUCCGCUCCAGAACCUGAGCCUGAGCCGGAACCUGCACUAGACCCUUAUCGAGCAUCAUCUUACCAAUGGGAUCUGGGGGAGAUGGCCAGUCAGUAGUAUCCUGAUUACACCCCUCAGUACACCGGGGAGAGUAGCCGCGGUCCGCGGCAUUAGACCAACUUAGGCCAAAAGCCUAAGCUUGGGGGAGUACGUAUUUCUCACCAACUUUACAUUCAUGUUCACACACUAUUCUAGUCAUCGGUCCUCAUACUCUUUCACUGUAUUAUCCAUGCUAGUUUAAUUUUCUUUUUCUAGUUUUCUUCUUGUGUGUUUGAUAAACCUUAAGAAAAACCAAAAAAUUAGUUAGUUUAAUUUCCAUGCUUAUAGUAGAAAUUAAAAUGAAAACCCAAAAAGAUUUCUCGUUCUUCUUUUACUUGUUGGGAGCUUUCCCGUGUAAAUAGUUUUAUUUCUUUUCUUUCUUUUGGGGGUCGAGAGUAGAAGACCAUAUUGAAAAUGUUUAGUGGCUCUCAUAUGCAUGAUUAUUUAUUUAACUUAGAGCCCAUAUUACUUUGUCUUCUCUCUCGAGUUGAAUGCUUGCAGGUUCCAGCUUAGUCCAAUGCAUGUGCACUAUUAUUAUUAUACACAUCGUUCGGUCGUGCAAGUGAAAGGCAAUAAUGACGAUAUAUGACGGACUGAUUGAGAUGAGAAAAGAUGGUAUGAACUCAACCUCUCUUGUUUUUGUAAAUAUGAUGAGUUCAUUGUUCCUGAUUCAGCUUAUUAUGAAGUAAACAUAUUUGCAAUGAAAUUUAGAGAUUAUAGUUGCUUGUGCCAUGCUUGAUUAGCUAUGAGUUAUAAUGGUUUACCUUGCAUGCCAACAUGCUAUUAGAAUUAUUAUGAUGUGGUAUGAUGGGAUGGUAUCCUCCUUUGAAUGAAUUGAGUGACUCGACUUGGCACAUGUUCAUGCAUGUAGUUGAAACAAAAUCAACAUAGCCUUCACGAUAUUUAUGUUCAUGGUGGAUUAUAUCCUACUCAUGCUUGUACUCGGUGUGAAUUAAUAUUAAUGCAUGUUCAUGACUAUUGUCGCUCUCUCAGUUGGUCGCUUCCCAGUCUUUUGCUAGCCUUUGCCUGUACUAAGCGGGAAUACUGCUUGUGCAUCCAAACUCCUUAAACCCCAAAGUUAUUCCAAUGAGUCCACCAUACCUUCCUAUAUGCGGUAUCUACCUGCCGUUCCAAGUAAAUUUGUAUGUGCCAAACUCCAAACCUUCAAAUGAAAUUCUAUUUUGUAUGCUCGAGCAACUCAUAUUUCAACUAGGGUUGCCUAUAUCUUCCAUGCUAGGUGGGUUAUUCUCAAGAGGAGUGGACUCCGCUCCUCAUUCAUGAGAAAGGGCCGGUAACCGGGAUGCCCAGUCCCAUGAUCCAAAAAGAUCAAAGGAAUCAAUAUAAUUAAACAAAACUCCCCCAGGAUUGUUGUUAGUUGGAGGCACUCGUUGUUUCGAGCAAGCCAUGGAUUGAUGCUUGUUGGUGGUGGGGGAGUAUAAACUUUUACCAUUCUAUUUGGGAACUGCCUAUAAUGCAUGUAGUAUGGAAGAUACAACCAUCUCAUAGUUGUUGCGUUGACAGUGAAAGUAUGCCGCUCAAAAUGUUAUUCAAUCUCUAUUUUAAAAUCAAGCUCUGGUACCUCUACAAAUCCCUUCUCCCCUCUGCGAAGGGCCUAUCUAUUUACUUUCAUGUUGAGUCAUCAUCCUUCUUAUUAAAAAGCACCUGCUGGAGAGCACACUGUCAUUUGCAUGUAUUACUAUUGGUUUAUAUUGGGUAUGACUUGACUAGAUAUCUUUUACCAUGAAUUAGAAUGUUUAGUCAGUCCUUGUUCUUUAAAGGUGCUCUGCAUUUAUGUUUUGCGGUCUCAGAAAGGGCUAGCAAGAUACCAUUUUGUUAUAUCAUGUUAUGAUUGUUUUGAGAAAGUGUUGUCAUCCGAGUUUUAUUAUUAUGGCUCGCUAGCUGAUUAUGCCAUUGAUAUGAGUAAUUGUGAGACCGAGGUGUUAUUGUGAGUAUGGUUAGUUCAUAAUAUUUGCUGAAACCUGAAUGCUGGCUUUGCAUGUUUACAACAACAAGAGCAAACAGAGUUUGUAAAAGUUUUUCUUUAUCACUUUCAGUUUAUCAACUGAAUUGCUUGAGGACAAGCAAAGGUUUAAGCUUGGGGGAGUUGAUACGUCUCCAAUGCAUGUACUUUUCCAAACACUUUUGCCCUUGUUUUGGACUCUAACUUGCAUGAUUUGAAUGAAACUAACCCGGACUGACGCUGUUUUCAGCAGAACUGCCAUGAUGUUGUUUUAUGUGUAGAAAACAAAAGUUCUCGGAAUGACCUGAAAAUCCACGGAGGCAAGUUUUGGAAAAUAUAAAAAGUGUUGGCAAAAGAUGAAGGCCAGGGCCCCCACACCCUGUCCACGAGGGUGGGGGCGCGCCCACCCCCCUGGGCGCGCCCCCUGUCUCGUGGGCCCCCUGAAGCUCCGCCGACCUCAACUCCAACUCCAUAUAUUCUGUUUCACGGAGAGAAAAAUUAGAGAGAAAGUUUCAUCACGUUUUACGAUACGGAGCCGCCGCCAAGCCCUAAUCUCUCUUGGGAGGGCUGAUCUAGAGUCCGUUCGGGGCUCUGGAGAGGGGGAUUCGUCGUUGUCGUCGUCAUCAACCUUCCUCCAUCACCAAUUUCAUGAUGCUCAUCGCCGUGCGUGAGUAAUUCCAUCGUAGUCUUGCUGGACGGUGAUGGGUUGGAUGAGAUUUACCAUGUAAUUAAGUUAGUUUCGUUAGGGUUUGAUCCCUAGUAUCCACUAUGUUCUGAGAUUGAUGUUGAUAUGACUUUGCUAUGCUUAAUGCUUGUCACUAGGGCCCGAGUGCCAUGAUUUCAGAUCUGAACCUAUUAUGUUUUCAUGAAUAUAUGUGUGUUCUUGAUCCUAUCUUGCAAGUCUAUAGUCACCUAUCAUGUGUUAUGAUCCGACAACCCCGAAGUGACAAUAAUCGGGAUACUUCUGGGUGAUGACCGUAGUUUGAGGAGUUCAUAUAUUCACUAUGUGUUAAAGCUUUGGUCCGGUACUCUAUUAAAAGGAGGCCUUAAUAUCCCUUAGUUUCCACUAGGACCCCGCUGUCACGGGAGGGUAUGACAAAAGAUGUCAUGCAAGUUCUUUUCCAUAAGCACGUAUGACUAUAUUCGGAAUACAUGCCUACAUUACAUUGAUGAACUGGAGCUAGUUUUGUGUCACCCUAUGUUAUAGCUAUUACAUGAGGAAUCGCAUCCGACAUAAUUAUCCAUCACUGAUCCGAUGCCUACGAGCUUUUCACAUCUUGUGCUUCGCUUAUUUACUUUUUCGUUGCUACUGUUACAAUCACUACAAUACCGCUAUCUUUACCUUUACCACUGUUACCAUUACUAUCAUAUUACUUUGCUACUAAAUACCUUGUUGCGGAUACUAAGUUAUCCAGUUGUGGUUGAAUUGACAACUCAACUACUAAUACUUAAGAAUAUUCUUUGGCUCCCCUUGUGUCGAAUCAAUAAAUUUAGGUUGAAUAUUUUACCCUCGAAAGUUGUUGCGAUCCCCUACACUUGUGGGUUAUCAGGAGCCUAUUGAAUAAAUACUUUGAGUCGUAGAGUUAUGUUGUGAUGCCAUGUUGUAUUUGCACAUAUCGAGCAUAUUGCGUGUAUGAUUUGAAAUGCUUGGUAUGUGUGGGAUCUGACUAUCUAGUUGUUUAUCCUUGGUAGCCUCUCUUACCGGGAAAUGUCUCCUAGUGCUUCCACUGAGCCCUGGUAGCUUGCUACUGCUCCGGAACACUUAGGCUGGCUGACAUGUGUCCUUCUUCAUUCCUGUGUCUAUCCCUUCGGGGAAAUGUCACACAGUGUAUACUGGAGUCCUGCUAGCCUGCUACAGCCCGGAUUCUCCGGAGUCCUGUUAGCCCAGUUGCUACAGCCCGGAUUCACUCGCUCAUGACCGACACGUUCGUUGCUGGGUCAUGUAUGCCUGUCCCUAUAAGUUAGGGCCACUUUGGGUUUACGACUAGCCAUGUCAGCCUAGGUUCUUUGUCAUAUGGAUGCUAACGACACUAUCAUAUACCUGAGCCAAAAGGCGCAAACGGUCCCGGGCCUGGUAAGGCGACACCCAUGGGAAUACUGUGUGUGAGGCCGCAAAGUGAUAUGAGGUGUUACAUGCUAGAUCGGUGUGGCAUAUGAUCGGGGUCCUGACACAAAGACUUUAAUUAUCAUAGUUGUUCUUUGAUUUAGUGUAUUAUUUGUUACAAUCCAUGCUAAAUUCAUCCAACGCAUAUGAACAAAAUAAGGCUUUUACUAAACAUAUUGUAGAAGCUAUGAUGAAAGCCUUAGAAGAAAAGUUAGAAUUAGAGAUUUCAAUUCCUAGAAAAUUAUAUGAUGAAUGGGAACCCACCAUUAAAUUCAAGAUCAAAGUUUAUGAGUGCAAUGCUUUAUGUGAUUUGGACGCUAGUGUUUCCACAAUUCCGAAAUAUCUAUGUAAUGUGCUAGGUUUUACUAAUUUGGAAGAAUGCUCUCUUAAUUUGCACUUGGCGGAUUCUACUAUUAAAAAGUCUUUGGGAAGAAUUACUGAUUUUAUUAUUCUUGCAAAUAGUAAUUAUGUGCCCAUAGAUUUUAUUGUACUUGAUAUUGAUUGCAAUCUAUCUUGUCCCACGAUACUUGGUAGGUUGUUCUUAUGAACUAUAGGUGUCGUGAUUGAUAUGGAGAAGGAAAUAUUAAAUUUCAGUUUAUGUUAAAUAAGGGUAUGGGACACUUCCUUAGAACUAGAAUUAAGCCACCAUAUAAGUCAACCACGAGGGACAACUACAGAGCAAAAACGAAAGACGACAAUACUUGGAACUAUGCAUUAUGCCAUUUCGCCUAGCUAGGGGUAUAAAACAAUAACGCUUGUUGGGAGGCAACCCAAUAGUUAUCCUUUAAAUUUUAGUUUCUUUUCUGUUAUUUAAUAAAUACACAAUUAUGCUACUAUUAUGAUUGUUCUUCUCAUGUUUUAAUUAGUGUUUGUGCCAAGUAAAGCCUUUAUGAUGGUUUGAGUGAUAGUUGACUUGAUUCUGUUGAAAAACAGAAACUUUUGCGCCCAGUUAUGGAAUUUUGUAAAUUCACAAAAACUUUUGCGCCCAGUUAUGGAAUUUUGUAAAUUCACGUAAACGUGAUUUUGCUCUGAAAUUUCUAAACAUAAUUGAUAUACAAUUUUCCAAUGUUGUCCUAAUUUUUCAGAAUUUUUAGAGUUACAAAACUAUAGUCAAUGUUCAGAUUGCUACAGACUAUUCUGUUUUUGACAGAUGCUAUUUUCGUUGCAUCGUGUGCUUAUUUUGAUGAAUCUAUGGAUUGUAUCAAAUGGUAAAGCCAUGGUAAAGUUAGAAUAGAGUAGGUAUAAUGCAAUAACAAAAUAUGAAUGGGUUUGCAACAUUACUUAAAGUGGUGAUUUGUUUUAUUAUACUAACGGAUCUCAUGAAGGUUUUGUUAAGUUUUGUGUGAUUGAAGUUUUCAAGUUUUGGGUGAGAUCAGGAUGGAUGAGGGAAUAAGUGUUGGAAAUAUGCCCUGAGGCAAUAAUAAAGUGGUUAUUAUUAUAUUACCUUGUUCAUGAUAGUCGUUUAUUAUCCAUGCUAUAAUUGUAUUGACCGGAAACUGAAAUACAUGUGUGGAUGCAUAGACAACAACAUGUCCCCAGUAAGCCUCUAUUGGACUAGCUCGUUGAUCAAAGAUGGCUAUGGUUUCCUAGCCAUGAACAUGAGUUGUCAUUUGAUAACGGGAUCACAUCAUUAGGAGAAUGAUGUGAUGGACAAGACCCAAACUAUGAACGUAGCAUAUGAUCAUAUCAAGUUUAUUGCUAUCGUUUUUCUGCAUGUCAAGUAUAUGUCCCUACGACCAUGAGAUCAUGCAACUCACUGACAUUGGAGGAGUGCCUUGUGUGUACCAAACAUUGCAACGUAACUGGGUGACUAUAAAGGUGCUCUACAUGUAUCUCCAAGGGUGUCUGUUGAGUUGGCAUGGAUCAAGACUAGGAUUUAUCACUCCGUAUGACGGAGAGGUAUCUCAGGGCCCACUCUGUAAUACAACAUCACAAUAAGCUUGCAAGCAAUGUGACCAAUUAGUUAGUCACGGGAUCUUGUAUUACGAAACGAGUAAAGAGAUUUGCCGGUAACGAGAUUGAACUAGGUAUGGAUAUAUCGACGAUCGAAUCUCGGGCAAGUAACAUACAACAAAGGGAACUACAUACGGGAUUAGCUGAAUUCUUGACAUCGAGGUUCGACCAAUAAGAUCUUCGUAUAAUAUGUGAGAACCAAUAUGGGCAUCCAGCGUCACCGAAAGGGGUUUCGGGGGGGGGGACAAGUGUUGGGGGCCCAUGGGCCAAGGGACGGGGCAAACCAGCCCACUAAGGGGCUGAGCACCCCCCUCACCCCAUCUCACGUAAGCAGGAGGGUUGGGGGCUCCCCCUAGGGCUUCCCACCUCCCGGCUUGGGGGACAAGUCACCCUAGGGGAGAUCCCAUCUGCCCUGGCCGCCACCCCCCUAGGGGAAACCCUAGGGGAGCCACCCCCUCCUCCCUUCCCCUAUAUAUAGAGAGGUAGAGAGAGGGCAACCGCACCCUAGAGCACAUCUCCAUGCCAUGGCGCUGCCUCUCCUCUCCCUCGCAUCCCUCUUCCUCUCCGUAGUGCUUAGCAAAGCUCUGCUGAAAUUUUGCCACCACCACCACCACCACGCCGUUGUGCUACCGGAGGACUCGAGCUACUACUUCACCAUCGCUCGCUGGAUCAAGGAGGUGAAGGCGUCAUCAAGCUGUACAUGUGUUGAACGCGGAGGUGCCGUCCGUUCAGCAAUUGGAUCGGGAGUUCGCAGGACGGAUCGUGACUAGAUCGCGAAGACGUUCAACUACAUCAACCGUGUUUUUUAACGCUUCCGCUUAGCGAUCUACAAGGGUAUGUAGAUGCAAUCUCUCCUCUCGUAGAUGUUCAUCUCCUAGAUUGAUCUUGGUGAGCGUAGGAUUUUUUUUGUUUCCCAUGCAACGUUCCCCAACAGUGGCAUCAUGAGCUAGGCCUAUGCGUAGAUGACAUCACACUACAAAAAAAAGACACAUGCGUGACAUUUUGGGCUGAACGAUUUUUUUCUGUCAUACUUAUGACACUUCUAUGACGAUAAUUGUGAAAAAACCCGGUAUCAUUAUAGAUGUGAUGGGCUCCUACUGCUAUGACAAAAAAUCAUGACAGAAAAUGGGUUUUUCGUCCUGGGCGGGCGGGAGACGCAGCUGCAUGACAUUCUUUGGGCCGUCCAUGACGGAAAGAACCGUGGUAGAAGUGAGGGCGAGGAAAAUAUCGGGGAGUUCCCAGUUACGAUGGGUGGUCGGGGCCGAGCGAUGCACGUUUCUCUCAUACCGUACGCGCGUGGGUGUGAGGCGUUGGGCUCUAACUGAACCCGAGCGAUUGCACUAGCUACGUUACUGAACCCGAGUGAUUCUUUCGCUACUACUGCUAACUGAAGCCGAUUGAACCCUGCUGCCUCCUUCCUUUGAUGAACAGUGAGUGUUGCUGGGGGGGGGGUUGGAUGAACAGUUCCCGGUGGGGGUGGAUGAACAGGACCCCGUGGUGUUGCCUCUGGAUGAACAGGACCCCGAUCGAGCUGGUUGGGGCUGGAUGAACAGGACCCCGUGGAGGGCUGGAUGAACAGGACGACCCCGUGGAGGGCUGGUUGAACAGUAGCCAGUGGAGGGCUGGAUGAACAGUAGCCCAUGGAGGGGUGAUUGAACAGGACCCCAUGGAGAGGGCUGUUUGAACAGUAGCCGAUGGAGUAGCGCGCGGUGGAGGCUGGAUGAACAGGAGCCCGUGGAUGAACAGUCGCAUGUGGAGCUGGAGGAGGUCGACGGUGGAUGAACAGUAGCCCGUGGAGGCUGGAGGAGGUCGACGGUGGAGAUGAACAAUAUCCCGUGGAGUCCUGUUUUGCAGUACGCCAUACCCUUCCGAUGAAUAGGACCCCCGUAUCGACCGUAGUGCUCCAACACAAGUCCGUUUCCUUUGUUUUAGGGUACGCCACAUCCCUCCCGAUCAAUAGGACCACAUUUUGACCGUGGGAGGUCGAACAAAAGUCUGUUUCCUCUGUUUUGCGGUACGCCAGACCCCUCCUGAUGAACAUGAUCCCGUUUUGACCGUGGCCGGUCGAACACAAGGCCGUUUCCUCCGUUGUGCGGUACGCCAGGCCUUGUUUCCAUCGGCUGUUCCGUCCAAGCCCUCCCGAUGAACACGACGACGCAUUACAUUCCGACCCAGCCGGUUGGCUCCCCAUGAACACGACGACGACGCAGUUUCUCUGUUCCGACCCAGCCAUGUACUCGAGCCCUGGCCGUCCGUAUGUGCGAGUAGGCGUUUGAGACCCCGUCCGUAUGUACGUAUGUGGCCAUAUUUUCUUUCUGCACACUGGCCGCUGUACGUAUGUGUACAUGCUACGUGCGCGCCUCUACUACGACACGUGCGCGCCUCUACAUCGACUAGUAUGUACAUACAUGAGGGAGUCCUGGAUUAGGGGGUGUCCGGAUAGCCGGACUACCAUCAUCAGCCAGACUAUCAUCAUCGACCGGACUCCAAGACUAUGAAGAUACAAGAUUGAAGACUUCGUCCCGUGUCCGGAUGGGACUUUCCUUAGCGUGGAAGGCAAGCUUGGCGAUACGGAUACGUAGAUCUCCUACCAUUGUAACCAACUCUAUGUAACCCUAGGCCUCUCCGGUGUCUAUAUAAACCGGAUGGCUCUAGUCCGUAGGACACAACAACAACAACAACCAUUACAAUCAUACCAUAGGCUAGCUUCUAGGGUUUAGCCUCCUUGAUCUCGUGGUAGAUCCACUCUUGUAAACAUCCACAAUAUCAAUAUCAAUCAAGCAGGACGUAGGGUUUUACCUCCAUCAAGAGGGCCCGAACCUGGGUAAAACAUCGUGUCCCUUGUCUCCUGUUACCAUCCGCCUAGACGCACAGUUCAGGACCCCCUACCCGAGAUCCGCCGGUUUUGACACCGACAUUGGUGCUUUCAUUGAGAGUUCCUCUGUGUCGUCACCGAUAGGCUUGAUGGCCUCUUCAAUCGACAACGACGCAGUCCUGGGUGAGACUUUUCUCCCCGGACAGAUCUUCGUAUUCGGCGGCUUCGUACUGCGGGCCAACUCACUUGGCCAUCCGGAGCAGAUUGAAAGCUACGCCCCUGGCCGUCAGGUCAGGUUUGGAAGCCUAAACUUCACGGUCGAUAUCCGCGGGGACUUGAUCUUCGAUGGAUCUGAGCCACAGCCGAGCGUGCCGCGCUGUCACGAUGGGCACGACCUAACUCUGCCGCCGGACAACACCUUGGAGGCCGCACACGAAUCCGCUCCGACCCAUAGUCCGGAGCUGAUCGCUCAGAUUGAGGACGGAUGGCUGGACACCGCCUCGGGAGCUGCAACUUCUACGGCGAUGGAGCCGAACACUUACCUUGUCCCGCAUAAAGCUCAUGACUCCGAGGUGCCGGACUCUCUGCCGGACUCCGAACCUCCUGCGCCCCUGCCAGUCGAAUCCGACUGGGCGCCGAUCAUGGAAUUCACCGCUGCGGACAUCUUUCAGCACUCACCCUUCGGCGAUAUCUUAAAUUUGCUGAAGCAUCUCUCGCUAUCCGGAGAGCCCUGGCCGAACUACAGCCAGGAUGGUUGGGACGCGGACGACGAAGAAAUUCAGAGCCUACCCACCACCCACUUCGUAGCCACCGUCGACGAUCUAACCGACGUACUCGACUACGACUCCGAAGACAUCGACGGUAUGGACGACGAUGCUGGAGACUAUCAAGAACCAGUGCCUACAGGACACUGGAAGACCACCUCGUCAUACGACAUAUAUAUGGUGGACACCCCAAAAGAUGGGGACGACGAAGAAGCAACGGAGGCUGAUUCCUUAAAGAAACAGCCCAAGCGCCGACAUCAGCGGCGCCACUCUAAAUCCCGCCACAGCAAGAAUAGAGAUUCCGGCACAGGAGAUAAUAACACCCCAGAAAGUGCCGAAGACAACCUCCUCCAGCACGAUCCAGCGCAGGAGGAGGCAGAAGCAAGCCCUCACGAGAGGGCGGCAGACGAAGAGGUCGAGGAUGAUAAUUACUUACCUCCCUCCGGAGACGAGGCAAGCCUCGACGACGACGAAUUCAUCGUGCCUGAGGAUCCCGUCAACAAGAGCGUUUCAAACGCAAGCUAAUGGCCACGGCAAACAGCCUAAAGUAAAAGCAGCAACAGCUUCAAGCUGAUCAAGACCUACUGGCCGACAGAUGGACCGAGGUCCUCGUGGCCGAAGAGUAUGAACUCGAACGCCCCUCCAAAAGUUACCCAAAACGCAAGUUGCUCCCCCGACUAGAGGAGGAAGCGUACAAACCUGCAUCACCAACGCACAAUACGGCAGAUCGACCACCUCGUGGCCGCGACAGAGAGGCGUACAAGCCCUCCACCAAAACUGUACCCCGGCAUCGCUCAAAAAGCAUGAAGCCACGGGGGAACGCGUCGGAUUUGCGGGAUAUAUUGGAGGACAAGGCAAGACAAUCCAGAUCUAUCUAUGGAUCAUGUGGGCGCCCCAAGACCCACGACGAAUACCGUCGCGCUGGAUACAACUACUCCGGCCGGGCCGAACACAGCAGACAACGCUCUCUCGAGCUACGUCGCGAUAUUGCUCAAUACAGAGGCGCCGUGCACCCACUAUGCUUCACUGACGAAGUAAUGGAUCAUCAAAUCCCUGAAGGUUUUAAACCCGUUAAUAUCGAAUCCUACGAUGGCACAACAGACCCCGCGGUUUGGAUUGAGGAUUAUCUCCUCCAUAUACAUAUGGCCCGCGGCGACGAUCUUCACGCCAUCAAAUAUCUCCCGCUCAAGCUUAAAGGACCAGCUCGGCAUUGGCUUAACAGCCUGCCCACAGAAUCAAUUGGAUGCUGGGAAGACCUGGAAGCCGCAUUCCUUGACAACUUCCAGGGCACGUAUGUGCGACCACCGGACGCAGAUGACCUAAGCCACAUAAUCCAGCAGCCAGACGAAUCGGCCAGGCAAUUCUGGACACGGUUCUUAACAAAGAAAAAUCAAAUCAUCGACUGUCCGGAUGCAGAGGCCCUCGCUGCCUUCAAACAUAACAUCCGCGACGAGUGGCUGGCCCGGCACCUAGGACAGGAAAAGCCGAAAUCCAUGGCAGCCCUCACAUCACUCAUGACCCGCUUCUGUGCGGGAGAGGAUAGCUGGCUAGCUCGCAGCAACAACCUCAGCAAAAACGCUGGAAGUCCGGAUACCAAGGACCGCAAUGGUAGGUCGCGUCGAAACAAAAACAAACGCCGCAUUAACGGCGACAGCAAUGAGGAUACGACAGUCAACGCCGGAUUCCGAGGCUCCAAGCCCGGUCAAUGGAAGAAGCCAUUCAAAAGAACCACUCCGGGCCCGUCCAAUUUGGACCGAAUACUCGACCGCUCCUGUCAAAUACAUGGAACCCCCGAAAAGCCAGCUAACCACACCAACAGAGAUUGUUGGGUAUUCAAGCAGGCAUGCAAAUUAAUCGCCGAAAACAAUGACAAGGGGCUACACAGCGAUGACGAGGAAGAGACCCGGCCGCCGAACAACAGAGGACAAAAGGGAUUCCCCCCUCAAGUUCGGACGGUAACAUGAUAUACGCAACGCAUAUACCCAAGAGGGAGCGGAAGCAUGCACUAAGGGACGUAUACGCGAUGGAGCCAGUCGCCCCAAAAUUCAACCCAUGGUCCUCUUGCCCGAUCACUUUCGAUCGAAGAGACCAUCCGACCAGUAUCCGCCAUGGCGGAUUCGCCACAUUGGUUUUAGACCCAAUCAUUGAUGGAUUUCACCUCACGAGAGUCCUGAUGGACGGCAGCAGUAGCCUGAACCUGCUUUAUCAGGAUACAGUGCGCAAGAUGGGCAUAGACCCUUCAAGGAUUAAACCUACAAAGACACCCUUCAAAGGCGUCAUACCAGGUGUCGAAGCCAGUUGUACAGGCUCAGUUACACUGGAAGUGGUCUUCGGAUCCCCGGAUAAUUUCUGAAGCGAGGAGUUAAUCUUCGACAUAGUCCCAUUCCGCAGUGGCUAUCACGCUCUGCUCGGACGAACCGCGUUUGCAAAAUUCAACGCGGUGCCGCAUUAUGCAUACCUUAAGCUCAAGAGGCCAGGCCCUCGUGGAGUCAUCACGGUCAAUGGAAACACGGAACGCUCCCUCCGAACGGAGGAACAUACAGCGACUCCCGCGGCAGAAGUAUAGAGCAGCCUUUUAAGGCAAUUUUCGAGUCCGGCCGUUAAACGACCGGACACGGCCAAACACGCCCGGAGCAACAUCAACCAAGACCACCUGGCACGUUCCGAGCACGCGUAGCAAUGCGGCCUCAACCCCAGCCCUCGCACAAUUGUAAGACAAACUCUCCGCGUACAUAAUUACGCCCUGGAGAUACCAUGGGCAUAGGGGGAGAGGCACAACCACAACAGACCCAGAGUGCGGUUCGACCACACCAGGGGCUCCCAAGUGUGUCGCUCUUUUUAUCUUUUAUUUCUCUCUUUUUUAUACAGAACUCUGUCCGGCGGCGAACCUGCCGAACUCAUGAUGCAACAGCCAGGGAGGGACAAAGGCCGCGACGAACACUCAGGUGGUCUCCAUUACGAGCAUUAAAUUUGUUAAAUACACCAUUCCGCGGCCUACCCCUGGAGGGAGACGCCUUUAAUUCGUCCAAUCCCUUGCUUUCCGCACUAUUUUAUCAUUCCGCACUCAUAGCAUAUCUUCUCGAAUAAAAUGCAGCACUUUUUGCCCAUAAUUGCAUUACCUUAUAUAUAUGUUCAUUUACGACAUGUUGCAUCCGUACAUUUUGGUACGGCCAAAUACACCAGGGGCUUAAGUUCCCCGCAUUAUGGUGUGAUAAAGUCCGAACACUUUCACAAGUGCGGCACCCCGAACUUAUAGCAUUAUAUGAAUCGACUCCGAAUCAUGUCUUGGGUCAAUAGUUGGGUUUGCCCGGCUCCCAAGUUUGGCACCUUACGUUCCGUUCUAUCGGCUAAGGUAGCACUGGGAGAACCACUGCGAUUGCGCCCCGGUUGAGCCAGGUUAACGCCUCAGUGGAGAAAGCUAAAACUGACUGUCAUGAUAAGGCGAGAGACUGGUCGCUGUUCGAGAGGUCUUUUCGGGUCCUUAAAGACCUACGCCGCUUCGAGCGAAGUACCGGAUAAUGUCCGACGAAGGCGUGGAUAGCGCCCCGAAUUCGGUCUUCCGAAUACUAGGGGCUUCACCGAAAUUUAAAAUUAUAGAAUUCUAUGGCUAAGUGAGAGUGUUCAAGCACUAUAAGUCCGGUUGCCUUGUUCGUUGUGUUGAGCGCCUCCCUAGAUGGACCCAAAAAUGGGAACAAGAGUGCUCAAGUUUAUCCCGAACACCCCAGCACUCGUGGCAUGGGGGCUGAAGUCGACGACUUGCCAUCUCUCAGAUUUAAUAAACGGCCGCACAGAAGGUAAUAUUUUAAAUUAACAAGCGUUGCUUAGCGCAUAUGAACAAAGUUUUCAGCGCACAGGAUAACACAUUGCGAAUUUACUCAAUAAUUACAUCCCUGAGGCACUCAUCCGCAAUCUUGCGGGCACUCUUCAGGACAGUCUUAUAGUACAUCUCGGGCGUACGAUAUUCCUUGCCCGCUGGUGGCGCGUUAGUGAUUAGCUUCUCCGCAUCCAGCUUGCCCCAAUGCACCUUUGCGCGGGCAAGGGCCCGACGAGCACCUUCAAUACAGGCGGAGCAUUUGGUAACCUCCACCCAGGGGCACGCAUCCACCAACCGUCGCACGAGGCCGAAAUAGCUCCCAGGCAUGGCCUCUCCAGGCCACAGCCGGACUAUGAGGCCCUUCAUGGCCUGCUCGGCCACCUUGUGGAGCUCGACCAGCUGCUUCAGCUGGUCGCUAGGGGGCACCGGAUGGCCGGCCUCAGCAUACUGAGACAAGAAGACCUUCUCCGUUGAGCUCCCCUCCUCGGCUCGGUAGAAUGCGGCGGCAUCAUACACGUUGCGAGGCAGAUCUCCAAAUGCCCUUGGAGAGCUCCGAAUUCGGGUAAGUAACACGUAAUUUACAUUCACAUGCUUGCUUUGCAUGAAAAAUGCCUUACCCGCCGCUAUCUUCCUCACCAACUCAAUCUCCUAAAGGGACUUAUGGGCAUCGGCCUUGGCAGUUUUGGCACUUUCGAGAGCCGAGGCAAGCUCAGACUCUCGAGUCUUUGAGUCACGCUCCAAACUCUCAUGCUUUUCCAUGAGAGCCUGGAGCUCUUGCCGAACCACCGCCACCCGCGCCUCCUGCUUUUCUCGCUCUGCCCGUUCCGCGGCCGCAUUGCGUUCGGCCGCGGACACGCCCUCCUUCAGGGUCGCCACCUUGUUCGUGGCCCCUGCAGUACCCAUGUUAUCCUUGUUAUUUUUUGUUGCAACCUAAAUCCUUUUCUGUAAGGUACAAGUUCAAAGUGGUGUUACUCACCUUCUUUGUCGUGGAGCUGCUUCUUGGCGCGGCCGAGCUCUUGCUCGGACCGCUCGAGCUCCUGCUUCAAAGCACCGACCUCCGCAGUCAGUGCGGAAGAGGUCAGCAGCGCAGCCUGCAACCCAUAUUGACAUAAUUUUUUAGCAACCCUGCGUGUAUCUUCUUUUUUUUUCAGAUCCUCAGUCCGGCUUUUCUUUCCGAACACCGAACCGAGCAUCAGGGGCUACUAUCUAUGCGGUAUUACAUUGCAUAUUUUUAACUUCUUACCUCAAAGCCUGAUAGAAGGCUACUGCAGGCUUCGGUCAGCCCGCUCUUGGCAAGCUGUACCUUCUAAAUCACCGCACUCAUAAUAGUGCGGUGUUCUUCCUCGAUGGAAGCGCUCUGCAGCGCCUCCAACAAAUUGUCCGGCGCCUCCGGUUGGACGGAAGCUGCCGGCGUCACGGUCUUGCCCUUCGUGCGAAGGGGCCGCCGGCCGGACUUCGGAACCACUGCGGGUUCUGAUGUGGAGUCCGGCGCAAAGUCCGGGAGGCCGCCUUGUGGCGCCUCUGGAGCCUCCCCCUGAUGGGUCCCUUCUUGGGAUCCCACCUCGGCACCCUCGGUGUCGCGAGGGGUGGAGGCGGUCGGGAUGGAGUCUACAUGCGAUGGAGCCAACGACCCGCUCGAUGAAGCGGGGAGAUCAUCAUUGGCCGGACUACAGGCAGCAUGCGGCAUCAGAAUGACACUAUGUGACGCAGAAAAAGAAAUUAUAAAUCAUUCAGGAAUCCGGAUACUUACGAUCUCGCCGGAGGCCUGGCCCUUGAAGGCCAUUCUUCCUCGCCAACAUUGAUGUUGGCGGAGCUGUCCGGGGGAAUAGUCCUUCCCCUCUUGGACCCUUCGGCCUCCCCUGUUGGGGAAGCCUUCCUCUUCCUCUCUCCCUCCUCUGGGAGAGAGUCCUCUUUCUCCUCCUCGUUUUCGGGGGAGGAAUCCGCCCCGGAGUCGUCGGACACCUGAAAACAGGAACUCUUUCGAGCACCCGUGGCCUCUUUCUUGGCCUUCUUCUCCGGCACCACGUGCGGUGCCGGAACCAGCAGCCUCGCUAGAUGGGCGUCUACUGGGUUUUCUGGCAUAGGAGCCAGGCAGAUAAUCUGCUCUGCCUUCCUCAUCCAGUCCUGUCAAAGGAAAAGGGGAAAUUAAAACCCGCAUAGAGUCAAACUAUGAAAGCAAGUGUCCCGUAAAGGGGUAGAAUCACUUACCUCGUCGGCUUGGCGCUGCGAGCGAAAUCCGCGAUCUUCAGUCGCGGAUGCAGGGGCUUCGGCGCCCUUAAACAGCACCCUCCAGGCGCCUUCGUACAUCGUGUCGAAGAGCCCGCUCAGCGCCUGGUGCUGUUCCGGAUUGAACUCCCACAGAUUGAAUGCCCGCUCUUGGCAUGGGAGAAUCCGGCGGACGAGCAUGACUUGGACCAUGUUAACCAGCCUGAGCUUCUUCACCAGCUUCUGGAUACAGGCUUGGAGUCCCGUCAGCUCCUCUGAACUACCCCACAGCAAGCCCUUCUCUUUCCAGGAGGUGAGCUGCAUGGGGAUACCAGAUCUGAACUCGGGGGCCGCCGCCCACGUAGGGUCGCGCGGCUCGGUGAUAUAGAACCACCCCGAUUGCGACCCCUUGACGGAUUCCACGAAGGCCCCUUCGAACCAAAGGAUGUUGGGCAUCUUGCCCAACAUGGCGCCUCCGCACUCCGCUUGAGUGCCCUUCACUACCUUCGGCUUGACAUUGAAGGUCUUGAUCCACAAGCCGAAGUGGGGCUGGAUGCAGAGGAAGGCCUCACACACGACGAUAAACACUGAGAUGUUGAGGAUGAAGUUCGGCGCCAGAUCAUGGAAAUCCAGGCCGUAGUAGAACAUGAGCCGCCGGACAAAGGGGUGAAGUGGAAAACCCAGUCCGCGGAGGAAGUGGGGAAGAAAAACGACCCUCUCAUGGGGCCUGGGGGUGGGGAUGAGCUGCCCCUCGUCGGGCAGCCGGUGCGCGAUGUCACCGGAUAGGUAGCCGGUGCUGCGCAGUCUUUCGAUGUGCUCCUCCGUAACGGAGGAGGUCAUCCACUUGCCUCCCGCUCCAGACAUGACUGGGGAAGGUUGAGACGAGAUGUGCGGGCUUGGGCACUGGAGCUCAAGUGCGCGGAGAUGGAUAAGCAAAGGAGGAAGAAGGCGUAGGUGAAAAGGUGAAUCCUUAUCCCUUAUAUGGGCGGGCGAAGUCUACGCGUCCCCCACCGGCCUGGUAAUACUCGCUUAUCCCCCAAGCAUCACCAUCAAUGGCGCGGUUGGGUUACCCACGUCCGUAUUGAUGAGAAUCCCGGAUUAAGGGGGAACGCGAUCUCUGCUUCGACAAGACGUGCCAAGGAAACCGCUUUGCUAAAUGCGCUGAGGUGGUAGAGUAAAAAACGAUUCAAGUAAUGGCUUGGUAGUGGCGUGACGUCAUGCCGCAAAAAACGUCAGCAGAUUGAACUUGUGUAUAUAUUAUUCUCUCUACGGUGGAAUGUGGAAUUUAUUUUGCAGAGCCGGACACUAUCCUGGUGUUCACAAUCUUCUAUCAUUCGGAGGAGGAACCCGCCUUGUAAUGCCAAGCAAUAUACGCGCCGGACUUAUCAUCAUUGAAGCCUGGUUCAGGGGCUACUGAGGGAGUCCUGGAUUAGGGGGUGUCCAGAUAGCCAGACUACCAUCAUCAGCCGGACUAUCAUCAUCGACCGGACUCCAAGACUAUGAAGAUACAAGAUUGAAGACUUCGUCCCGUGUCCGGAUGGGACUUUCCUUGGCGUGGAAGGCAAGCUUGGCGAUACGGAUACGUAGAUCUCCUACCAUUGUAACCGACUCUAUGUAACCCUAGCCCUCUCCGGUGUCUAUAUAAACCGGAUGGCUCUAGUCCGUAGGACACAACAACAACAACAACCAUUACAAUCAUACCAUAGGCUAGCUUCUAGGGUUUAGCCUCCUUGAUCUCGUGGUAGAUCCACUCUUGUAAACAUCCACAAUAUCAAUAUCAAUCAAGCAGGACGUAGGGUUUUACCUCCAUCAAGAGGGCCCGAACCUGGGUAAAACAUCGUGUCCCUUGUCUCCUGUUACCAUCCGCCUAGACGCACAGUUCGGGACCCCCUACCCGAGAUCCGCCGGUUUUGACACCGAUAGUACAUGUUCGUGACCAGAAUGACGCUGCUACGUACGCUUCGACCAGGUGGGUCCCGACUGUCAGGCACUUCCUUGUGUGCGAAGAUGUAGCUGGUGGGUCCCAGCAGUCAGGGGGGCGAAUCGUUUUUUUUGCUCGAAUGCACUUCCUUGUGUGCGAAGAUGUAGUUGGUGGGUCCCAGCAGUUAGGGGGGAAAUAUUUUUUUGUGAAAUACGGUUGCCCGUCCGGUGGGUCCCUCCUGUCCGGUGGAGGAAUCAUUAUUUUCUGCGUAAUAAAGAGGCACUUCCUUGCUACGACUGUGGAUCCAGCUGUCAGCCUCUCCAUGUACAGUACUCUUCCGAUGGAAGUCGGUCGUUGACCACAUUUACCAUGCCGCGCCGAGAGCACCAAGACGGUGGACGCCAGCGAGGCCUAGGAAGGGGACGACGCAGAGCUGGGGAAGACGCGGCAGUUGAUGCCCACGCGGAGAGGAGUACGAGGGUUCACUGGUUCGGCUGUGGUGUGAGGCUGCCAUCGCCACAAUAACAGGGGGUUUGGGUGAGUAGAGGGAUGGCCUGGCUAGCGGUGGGAGUAGUAGGGGGCAGUGAGGCCUCCGCGGCAUCACAGCCGGCCACGGGAGGCAGGAGCACGCAGCACGGCCGGUGCUGGUUUGGGCGGCUGGAGCAAGAAGACCAGAGGUUGAAGAAGCACUACGACCGUUGGAUGAACAUUGUACGGUAACUGGAUCUAGAAUCGUUCAUAUUGAGUAAGUUGACAAAGCCCUCCGUCCCCGUCAACUUGGUAGGCCCACAAGUCAGCCUCCCACUAUGCUGGGUUCCAACUAGCAGGGGGGGUAUUCAGUUUUUUUGUGCAUAAUAAGGAGGCACUUCCUUGCGUGCGAAGAUAGCUGGUGGGUCCGACCUGUCAGUGGGGGCAUGUUUUUUUCACGAAAUAUAGAGGCCCUUCUGGUGGGUCCCAGAUGUCAGGUGGAGGAAUCAUUAUUUUGCGCGUAAUAAGGAGACAUUUACUUGUAUGCGGCCGUGGACCCAGCUGUCAGCCUCUCCACGUACAAUCCACGUCCGAUGGAUGUCAUUCGUUGACCACGUUGACUAGGCCGCGCCGAGAGCACCAUGGUGGUGGACGACAGUGAGGCCUGGGAAGGGAAUGACACGAAGCCGGGGAAGACACAACAAUGGUUGCCCACGCGGUGGGGAGUACGAGGGUUUAUUGGUUCGGCUGCCAUCGCCGGAAAAUAACAGGAGGUGUGGGUGAGUAGAUGAAUGGCCUAGCCAGCAAUGGAGUAGGGUGGGGCGGUGCGGCCUGUGCGGCAGCACAGCCGGCCAUGGGAGGCGGGAGCAGGCAGUCCUACUGGCACUGGUUUGGGCGGCUGGAGCAAGAAGAUCAGAUAUUGAAGAAGCAGCAUGGCCGUUGGAUUAACAUCCAACGGUCACUGCUGCUAGAAUCGUUUGUGGACUAAGUUGACAAAUCCUUUCUUACACGUCAACCUAGUAGACCCACAAGUCAUCCUCCAAAUCUGUCCCAAACAGCAUACAACCCGAAAUUUCUUGCCAGAUUCAAAAUUAAUUUUAAAACUAAAUAUGCCUUAUUUUAAAUUCAAUGAAAUUUUACCCGCACAAAAACAAUGAAAUUUAAAAUAUCAAAAUCCGAAAGAAAAAAUUAUUUUGGAACUAAUUGCCUGUUUGCUGUAUUUUUUCAUUUUACAGCCCAUUUAAUAUUACUUAUAGCCCAUUUCUUAUUACUUAUAGCCCAUUUUCUGGGCAAAAUGCAUCCCUCCUCGUCUUGAAAGAUUUCCGGCCCAGCAGGGCAUAGAAAAGCAAGUAGGCCUACCUUGGUUAUUCCGCAAAACACAAAAUAGCUGGCUAGCCAUUUUUAGAAAGGAAAAAAACAAAAUGGGCUGGUCAUGUGCUAAACAUAUGAAAUAAAAGCCUAGGCUAGACGGGCCACAACUCCCGCACAAUCCAGUUGAUACCCUUCUCCGUCCCUAAAAAACAAAAUUACUACACACGCUGCUGGGUCCCUACUGCCAUCCUCACCAUGUACAGUCAUCUCCUUAUUCCUCUCGGUUGUUGACCAUGUUGACAACAUCGGAGGGCGGCGCAGCAGCGAGCGAACCAAGGCGGAGGACGAUGGUGAGGCCUCGAACGGGAACAAACAGGAGCCAAGGAAGAUGCACAGAGUUUUAGGAUGUGAUAUGGCCAUGAUGCGUGCGCGGCAGCACCGCCAGCCGUGGGAGGCGGGAGCAGGCGGUCCCGCCGGCGCUGGUUUGGCUUUGGCGGCUCGAGGAAGAAGAGACUGAAGAAACACGACAGACAUUGAAUGUCAAUCCAAUGGUCAAGGUUGGCACAAUCUUUUUUGACUAAGCUGACACCAAGUAGCAUACUAUUUUAUAUAUAGUAAGAAAAGAAAAAUUGGGCUCGUUCGCCUGAUCACAUUCCCGAAACUGCGGCCGCUCGAUCUUGUGUCGCAACUAAAACUGCGAGUAAAAUGCGUUUGUCUACCGUCCUCCUCCCAAGGAACGUUCGCCAAGUUACUAGCACCCUUGGUUUUCAACCGAGAGGUCUUGGGUUCGAGUCCCAGGAACUCUUAAUUUUGUCCUCCUUCCUUCCUCGCAAAAAAAGGGAAAGAAAAUCAAAGACUUGAGAAGGCGUACAAGACAAGCUAGUGUACCAGUAAAGAGACGUUGCUGAGUUUUAGAAAAAAGAGAGAUGUACUCCUGUAGCGGGUUCGAAUCCAAACCUAGACUAUGACUAUAUAUGAUGCUAUGCUACUCUGCAAGUAAUGAAACUGACAUAUCCAACGUUCAUUUCUCUCUUCUCUACUUACUCUGCCUAGGAUUAGAAGCUCAGGCUGCAGCAACCAUGUCCGCUGGCUGCUCGUCCACCUGCUCUUCAGCAGGCAACAACCAGAUAUGCGCCAAGUCGCCACUCGUACCAUCGCCUAUGGGUCUCAUCACACCCCCACCGGCACACGCACCGCAGCCGGUUGCUCAUCGCAACCCACUGCCAUUGGUGUGGUGCCACUGCUGCAAAUCACGCAGAGUCAUCCUUCGCGUCUCAACUACAAUCCUCAACCCUGGCCGAGUCUUCUACAAAUGCCCGAAUCAUGGGGUAAUAAUAUGUUUAAGUGUUGUUCUGCUGCUUUCAGUUGCUGAUUUUUUUAAUAGUUUGGUUGAUGAUCUUCCAAUUUGAUUCGUGCAGAAAAGGGAAGAUUCGUGUGAUUUGUAUUUCUAGGAAGUUGUUGAUGUGGGGGAAUGCAACUACGUUGAUUAUUUGGUUAGCCGAGGAAUCCCAAUACCAGCAGGUUGGGGUGUUGGACAAGUAACUGAAGGAACGGUAGAAGAGGAAGAUGCAGAGCAGAAGGUUAAAGAUACAGUUCCUCUGAUCAUGGCCAAGCAAUAGCUGCUGAACGGCCUUGACAGCAAUGAGGAGAUGAAAGAGCUUGUGAAGAUAAUGGGCAAAAUCAUGUGCUAUGUAGGAUGAUUGUCUCUUUAUUUGCAGUGUAUGUAGCACUCGUGAUGUAUUCAGUGGCUAUGACAUGAGCACUUUGCUGAAACAAGUAAUGAAUGAAACCUGUGUAGCAAGCUGGACGUAGUGUUGUGAACAUCUAAUGAUUUCUAUUAACGGAAAUCAGGGGGUAUCCCCUUUUGCUCAUAAAUAAAUAAAUAGCAGAUGCCCUUUUGGUAAUAAAUAAAUAAAUUAGCAGAGGCCCUGUCGAGUCAGCUUUGUUCUCAUUCGAAGACGUCGAGCAAUUGCAGUCCAACAACAAACUAUGUCAUCAAAUUCAAGUUUUACAGCCAAAUAUGAGUACAACUAAACAACAAUGUCAUCAUGUUUUAGUCGUCAUACAAUCACCAAACACAAAUCGGCAUACAUAACAAGUGAUGUUCUCACAACAAAAUACUAAAUAACGCGUUCAUCAGGUUUCAGUUGUCAUAGCAAACACAAUUUCACAUAGUAGAUAAAAACGUCUUCUAACAGGCAAAUACGACAAAAGCAAUCUAAUCAUCAUCCACAGUAGCAGCGUUAACAUCUUCGCCAUGUGUAUCAGUCUAAAUCAUAAUUCCCCACGGUGUCAUCUUCUUCUUCAUCCUCAACGUCCUCGAACGUUGGCUUCUUCUUGAUCAACUCUUGUAUGUCCACAACACGGCAUGCAAUCUUUUCGUCGGCGUCAUUGACGUGAUGGUUCUCAAAGAUAUUAGGAACAUAUGUGUUAUCUUGUACAUCAGGAGCAGUGUAAACAUCAUCUUGUUGUGCAACUUCAUUAAACGAAUUCCUCUGCUCAAACCUUUGCAAUACUCUCCAAUCAUCGCUAUGUGCAAAUGUGUCUUCCAAGAAAAAUAUCUGUGUUGCUUGAUUUGCCAAAAUAAAAGGCUCAUUGGUCUGGUACACCGCCUUGACAUUGAUGGAUUUGAAAUAAUCAUCAGCUCUGGGUUUUGUGAUCCUGGAAAACAUGUUAUACCAACGACAACGCAACAGAACCACACACCGAUGAUCCUCGAAACUGGAGAUAUACUGCAAUUGAACAAUGUCUGUUAUGUUAGCAUACAUUUCAGUUGUCUCUUUGUCAUAUGUAUCCGUGCUCAUGAUGGCACUGUUUUGUGUCUUCCUACCUUCAUCGCGUGCAAGGGUGUUACAACGCACAUCUGCAACAACGCAAGAUUCAUAAUGCCUUACCCGAGUAUCAGGACCCAUUGCUAGUGAGUAAAGGGUAUCAUCAACUGCCUGCCCAUCCUCCCACAUCUUCUUAACCUAUGGUUAGAAAAUAGACAAGCUGAUCAUCUUAUGUACUCAAUAUAUUAAAAAAACUGACAGUGCAAUUCAAAAGCUUACAUGGCUCUUGAACCAUUUCGCAAAUCCUGCCAUAAGCAGUUUGUCAAUGUUUCUUGGAUUUUGCGGCAGUAACUCCUUUUUGUAGAUGCUGCACAACAUAGUGAUCGCGUCAAACAUCUAAAUAUAUAAGAAUGUGCUGCAAGUUUAGUAUAUUACUAUGUAUAAGCUGCAGUACUUAGCACUUACUUGAUAUAAGGUAGUAUCUCAGGACAGUCAUUCAACACAUACCAAACCAUUUUGUCCAAAUCUUUAGAUUUGUCCUCUUAUCGACUCUUCCCUGUAACUCAAACAGAAUAAUCGAAAACACUGAUCCCAGGAUUGUCUUCACCCACCUCUUUGCUAAGUUGAUCAGUUGUUUCAAUGUAUUUUGAGCAGAAUGUCAACGCUUCUGUAGCAAUGUAGGCCUCUACAAUGGAACCCUCGGGUCUAGAUCUGUUCCUAACAUAGCCCUUGAAAGUGCCUAGCCGCCUUUCAAUAGGGAUUGCUUUCUCACAGGGAGUCGAGAAAGGAUCUCUGGCCGAGGUUGAUAACAUUACUACUAUUUUACUUUAUGCUACUUUACUCCCUCCUGUUUGCUGCAAGAUGGUGGUUUCCAGAAGAUACUAGUCUUCGAUAGGACUAGGCCUUCUCUCUAUUCUGGCAUUUCUGUAGCCCAAUCCACAUAUACAGCCUUCCUUUGAUAAUGUUGCAUAUGUAGUGUAGAUCCUUGCUCGCGAGUACUUUGGAUGAGUACUCACGGUUACUUUGCUCCCCUUUUCCCCCUUUCUUUUCUUUCCGGUUGAUGCAACCAGAUGUCGAAGCCAGAUGCCACCGCCGAUGCCUACUACUACAUGGAGACCGUUGACGACCAUGAGUAGUUAGGAGGCUCCCAGGCAGGAGGCCUUGCCUUUUCAAUCGUAGAUGCUUUUGUGCUGGCCUUCUUAAGGCAAACUUGUUUAACUUAUGUCCGUACUUAGAUAUUGUUGCUUCCGUUGACUCGUUUGUAUUCAAGCUGAUGUAUUCGAGCCCUCGAGGCCCCUGGCUUGUAAUAUAAAGCUUGUAUUAUUUUAAUUUGUGUCUAGAGUUGUGUUGUGAUAUCUUCCCGUGAGUCCUUGAUUUUGAUCGUACACAUUUGCGUGUAUGAUUAGUGUACGAUUGAAUCGAGGGCGUCACAAGUUGGUAUGAGAGCCGACUGCCUGUAGUUAGCCCCCUUUCCAACUCCUUGGCCAAAGUUGAGUCUAGUCACUACAAAACUUUUACUAACAUGGCUGUGUGUCUUAUGGGCCCACGUCGCCAUUGGGUGGUAUUAGGAUCUUUUACUCCUCAUCUAUACUCUGGGACUCUGAUCUCUCUUCUAUUCGGGUUAAAUGAUUUUACUAAUUCUAACUCUAGGCUCUCGUACCCACUUCCUGCCGGAGAGCCCCUUCAUUUCAGAUGAUUGUCUGCUUCACCAGAAGAUUCUGAAGAUACUUGUCGAUGUUUUUACGAGACCCUUGUGCCCAUCAGUUUUGUAAUUCCCUUCCAUCAGUAAACCCCUAUGGAUGACCACGUACACUUGUCAUUCUUACAAUCAUUCCCCCGUUGGUCAUAUUAUUACAAGAUACCCCGAAAUCCUCUCUAUUGUUCCGAGAAUAUUUUGUGCCUACUGACUUGCAGUUCUUUGCCACAUGAAUACCUCAAUGGAUAAUUCCUCGCAGUUACCGAGCAUUCGCUCAUCUCCAGGUGUUUAUGUGUUUCACAACAUUCCUCGAAAUACUAUUCAAUCUUUCAAAAUCCUCGGUAGCCUUUUGCUCUUGAUCCUACUUACCUGCUUGCAUUGUGGUUGAUUCCAUAUGUUUAACAAUAUUCUUUAAAGUCCUUUGCGGUUGACAUCAUUACCCUAUUGAUUCAACAUGUAUGUGGAUGCAUGCAAUUGUCAAUUGUUUCCUGGGAUUGUCCUUCCGGCUCAGACGCCACUCUGGACAUGAGCUGGUUCUCGGCAAGUUAAACCUUGAUUGCUUGUCCAUCUAGUUCGAUUCAACUUACUCAUAUAUUGAUCAGAGAUUUUGCUUCCGAUUCCCUGAUAUAUAACUCGCAAUUCCUUUGUAUUUUAUAUACUUCAAAUUAUCCAGAUGUUUGUAUAAUCCGAUGCCUUGCAUUCUUUCUUCUUCUGGUUGAGUAGCGAUACUCACCUCAGAUCCUUGUGGACAGCCAUAUCCUUGGUUGGAUUAUUAUCCGACAAUGUCCUUCAUAUUCAUUAAACUUUUGAGUUUUGUCCUGACACAUAAUGCCUUUGGUAAAUUCUAUCAUCUGCUUUUGUCAACCAUGCUCUGCUUUCGUGCUGGUAUAGUUUAAUCCUGAAGUUAGUGGUAUAGAUUCAUAAAAAUGCCCCGAUGGGUUGAACUUAUGCCUUCCAUAAUCCGUGUGAACCCGUGAGUUCUCACGAGUCAUACUCUUCUGGUGUUUCGCCAGAUAAAUUCCAACACUAAAACUCCAUCGAAAUCGAGAAGUGAAUGAAAAGUUGUGUAUUGGAGAAGUGGGAGUCGACCUUGAACCUUGCGUUCAUGCCCAUGGACACGAUACCGAUCUUAUCAUGGAAGCUUCUCGUAAAAAUAAUUACCCCCUUGGUAUAAGUUCAUCUUAUAUCUGGGAUUUGGUUUUCUGUAAUCGUGGUUCCGGCCAUAUUGAUAUUCUUUGAUUCCUUUUCUCGGACAAGUUAAAGCACUUGUCUUCUGCAGACCAAUGCAUCUCCGCAACCUCUAUUUAGAUCUUCCUUCAAGUAUUACCCUCUGGUAUCUCGAGAAUAACAAAGAACUGUGCUGCUUCCUAUGAGUCUUCAUCUAGUAUUGCUUCUAACCGAUUUCAGAUUUCCCCGGGUUCCCAGUUAUUAGUCACUCGAGAACACCGAUAAGUGAAUCGAUUCCGCACUCUGAUUCUAUAACUAAGUAAUUGUCAUUGCUUACGAGUUUAAUAAUCCUUCAAGUCAUUCCUAGCCUGGCCGGCUAUGUCAAUAUCGUGCCAAAUUUUAACUGUGCUACCUGGUUCUUCCCGGAGCACAUUUUUUGAUGAUGAGCUAACCUUACGUCGAUUUUCCUCGUCAUAUCAUUUUUUUCCUUGAACAACAAGCUUGAUUUCAAGUUUGUGUCGUACCCGUGGAUCAAAUAACCUUUCGCUUCAUCAUUCGUUUGACUAGAUGUCAUCGCCAAUCGGUUACAUCUUCAUGAAAUCUCUCGACAAAUGUGUCGUGAUCAUCAUCAACAUUCUGAUGCUCUUCCUAGUUAUCAGUUGAAUUCAUGAUGAGAAAUACCAUCCUUGCCCCUCAAUGAUUUGUGUGAUCAUCGACAACAUUCUUUCCUCCCCCAACACGAAUUUGUUCAUUUAUAUUUUGGAAAUACACCUUUUUUUGACAUGUCGAUGGAUUGCUACUGAACCCAUCGAUUACCUCCUCAUCUUUUCCCUGAUAAAAUAGCAUGAUAUGUUCAAGAAAAUUCUAAUGGAUCCUUUGUGUUCCCAAGGUCUGACCUUUACCUGAUGACUAUAUCAAUGCUAUCCCAAAGCAUGAUUGUGGUACUCCGAACCUCUUUACAAACAUUUGGAGGCGCAAUGCUAAAUGUUUCUUGAUCACUUAUCCAAACACUGUUGUAUGGGUAACGUCAUGAAUUUCCUCUCCCCUUUACCCAAAAGGUAAUCUACUACCUUAUCGUGGAUGUCAUCCUCUACUUGUCCUUGGGAAUAAUAUACUCCUGAUAUUUGUGUUUAAACACAUUUUCCCUUCUAUUGAUCUGAUUAAAUUAAUAAUCACUUUUUCCUUUCCCUUGUUUUGUUUAAACCUUUCUUGUGAUCUAUAUGAUCUAAGUAGUAAUAUUUUUCUGCUUAAACAAACAUCUUGGUGUACCACUCUUACAGUAAAACCCUGUUACUAUUGUUGUUGGCAUUCUGGUAACCACCGAUGGACGAGAACUUUGCCUAAUGGUCCGCCUCGUUUCAACGAGCAGGAGAAUGGUUCUCUUUAUCCCCCGCCCUUGGUACCAACGUCCUUGCCAACAUAAUUGACAAGCUACCCUCUGACAUGCCUUGCUAUCAUAUCCGUGCAAGAUGUCACCGCUCUUCCUACUCUUAACACACAUGGUGGGCCCAUAACCCACAGUUCCACAGGAUCGAAACCUGACUCUCCUGUACAACCUUGAUUUUAAAAUAUUCUUGCAGCUGGCUUAGUAUGUAAUUCACAAGCUAACUUACUCGCCAUGAUUCAUUCCGGUAUCAGAGGCAACAUUAUUCCUCAUUGUUCUGAACCCCUUCAUCACAUGUUAUAGGCAUCAGCUUGAUGCCUACCUGGUUGAAACUUGUUGAACCUCCUUAUAGCACUCUUGAUUUGUUUCUUGGUGCUUCAAAAAUCUCCUUCCUUGAGAUAAUUACUGAAUGUCAAUCCUUUCAGACACCCGUCCUUAUAGUUUUCCCCUUAUACCCUAUUCGUAAGAUUUCUGAAGAAAGUACGAGGACUUCAUCAUGAUGCCCUAAUGCAGCAAAUUGAAGACAUCAACGUUAUGGAUCAACCUCUUCGAUGACAGCAACAUGAAAAAGAAGAUUCGAUAGAACUUCGUAACCAGAACUUUCCCCCCUUACUCCACCUCUUAAAUCUCGGGACGAGAUUUCUUGUAGUGGAGGAGAUUUGUAACACCCUGGGUGUCAUGCUACAGUAAACUCCUGUUAAUGGUGCCACAUCAUCAUAAUUAAAUUUUGCUAAUCUCCGCUUUGUUCCAAACCAACCUUAAAUUCAAAUUUUAGAAAACAAGUCAAAUCAUUAUUUUUUCCUCGAGCUAUAAAACUAAAAUGUUCGAAUAGUUUUAUAAAUUCCCUAGAUAAUUCUCAUGUGGAAACCAACUUCAUUUGACUCACAGAUAAAUCCCUAGGAAAUUAACUAAGUGUUCCAACAACAAAUAAAUUGGUCUUUUCAAAAUAAAGAAUUAUUUAUACCCUACAAAAUGCCCCUAAACUUUGUGGUUAGAUCCCAAAGCAUUGCAAGGUAUUUAUGUGAAAAGUUUCAUGUGCAACAAAAUUCUUCUGAAUUUAAAUAAAAUGCAAAACAGUGCCUAACAGUUGAAAGCGGAAAGAAAAUAGAAAAUAUGAGGUGGAUCACUGUGCACUUAGGCCCAACAUGCACAACACAGGCCCAGCCCACCCCUGCACCUUCUCCUAUCUCUGUUCACAAGGGCGUGCUGGACGAACAACGUUCGUCCAUUGCUCGGAUGGCCGCGUGCCGAGCAUCCGCCGUCUCCUCCGCGGGGAUAAGAUCGUCCCCGACCCCCUUGCUAACCCUAGACCUCUCUGUUUUUUCCCUCGCGCCCCCACGCUUUCCCCCCCAAGCUAGACCGCCCGUCGUCGUUGCCGUGUCGCCGUCGCACACGCGGCCACCAGCUGCCCCGCACCGCACCGCCGUGUCCUGAGGGACCGCAGUGGUCGCCUACAUCGUGUUCCCUAACGAUUUGACGCCGAGGAAUCCUACAGCGACGGGAUCGAGGACGUCUUCCAUCUUCGGCCGCCGAGGAUCGUCGUCUUCGAGCCUCCCCCGAGCCCACUGCCCAACCCGUCGUACUCACAGUGAGCUCCUCCCCCGGAUCCCCUUUUCCUCCUUCGAUUUGUACGCCGUAAGACGUCGUCACUGUCGUGCCCGAGCUUCAGUGUACGUGUACAUGUGUGCGUAUUGCCGCUGCUCUGCCUCUUCUCCUUGCGAGCUGCUGCUGCUCUUAACUGCUCCAUGCCACUGCUGUUGUUCUACCGCUGUUGCUGCUUAGAACUCCCGCUGGCCGUUGCCUCCCUGCCGCGCCUGCGCCCGCUUGCCGCCGUCACCGCCCGCGGCCUACCGCGCCUGUGCCGGUCGCGGCCUCGCCGCGCGCCCGCCUGCGCCGCUGCCCUUCGCCGCCCUGAACCCCCGGCCGCUCCCGUGCGAGCUACUGGCUGUGGCUGGCCGUAGCCGCCGUGUGCUGGUGCGUGUGUGCACAGCCACGAUGAGGCAGGCUGGGCUCUAUCCACUAAGGCCGGCCCCAUUCUAAUUAGCCAGUACUAAUUAGUAGAUUAGUUAGGUGUUAAUUAGCCUAAUGGCCCAAUGACAGUGGGCCCCAUCUAAAUAACCUUUUAAACUAUAGUCAAUGACAUGUGGGACCCAUAACACUGUUCACGUUUGACCCCAGUCAUCACUUUGACUAUUGACUGUUGACCGGGCUGUUGACUAAGUCAACUGUGCCCUGGCCCCACAUGUCAGCUUCUCUGUACUUCUGGCUGGGUACACUUUUGGGUACCCAUAGCCUUUUUCCUUUUAAAUUCGAAUUAGUAGUAAAUCCAGGAAUUUUAGAAAAACUUUAGAUCUUUGAAAAUUAAUAAAAAAUAAACCAUAGCUCGGAUGAAAAUGUUUUCUACAUGAAAGUUGCUCAGAAAAACGAGACGAAUCCGAAUACGCGGUUCGUUUACCUGUCAGAUGCCUCUAACUAUCUGAACAUGGAACAUUUUCCCCUCCGGACAUUUGUCUCACACAGGUCCGAAACCGGGAAAACAUUCCCCGUUGACUUCCCCCUUUGCCGGUAUCGUGUAGCACCGCGUUAGAACACGCCUAGCUCUGCCUGUUGUCCUAUUAUGCACUUGCUUGCUAUGUAUUUACUGUUUCUCCCCCUCUUCUCUUCGGUAGACCCCGUGACGAUGCUGAUGCCUCUGUGAUCGACUACGUCACCGACGACUCCUCCUUCUCGUAUGAGCAACCAGGCAAGCCCUCCCUUUGAUCAUCCCGAUAUAGCCCAUUGCAUUCUCUCAUGCUUGCAUUAGAUUUUGCUAUUGUUAUUGAUUGCUCCUAUUCUGAUGCAUAGCCUGCUUUUUUAUCUGUUAUUGUACCUUACCUGCUUAUCCUAAACUGCUUAGCAUAGGUUGGUUAGUGAUCCAUCAGUGACCCCCACCUUGUCCUUGUUGCCCCUGCUUCAUCAUUGAAGACCCGAUCAACGGGAUCGAAGACCAGGCCCCGACACCACACAUCACUUUCCCCUUAGUUGUUCGACACUGCUGGGUUACUAUCGAGUGCCAAGGGUGAGACCUCUACAGCACUUCUGAUGAUAACCCUGUAGAGUAGCUAUUCGGUCGUGGUCAUUGUCGGUGUCAAAACCGGCGGAUCUCGGGUAGGGGGUCCCGAUCUGUGCGUCUUAGGCUGAUGGUAACAGGAAACAAGGGACACAAUGUUUACCCAGGUUCGGGCCCUCUCGAUGGAGGUAAAACCCUACUUACUGCUUGAUUAAUAUUGAAGAUAUGAGUAGUACAAGAGUAGAUCUACCACGAGAUCGCAGAGGCUAAACCCUGGAAGCUAGCCUAUGAUGGUAUGAUUGUAAUUGUGAUCGGCCUUCUAAGGACCAUCCUCUCCAGUUUAUAUAGACACCGGAGAGAGCUAGGGUUUACAUGGAGUCGGUUACAAGGAAGGAAAUAUAAUAUCCGGAUGGCCAAGCUUGUCUUCCACGCAAAGGAGAGUCCCAUCCAGACACAGGCCGAAGUCUUGAGUCUUGUAUCUUCACGCUUCAAUAGUUCGGACGAUGUAUAUAGUCCGGCUGUCCGGAUACCCCCUAAUCCAGGACUCCCUCAGUAGCCCCUGAACCAGGCUUCAAUGACGAUGAGUCCGGCGCGCAGUCUUGUCUUCGGCAUUGCAAGGCGGGUUCCUCCUUCCGAAUACUCCAAGGUUAUUAUCGAACACGUAGAACGUGUCCGGAUCUGCAAAAUGAUCUUCACAUACCACCAUAGAGAGAAUGAUACUUCAGCUGACGACUUUUUAGACGACGUGAUAUGCCAUUAUGGUCAGGUCAUUAUUCGAACCGUUUUUUCACAACCAGCCAGAGUGCGUAUUGCGAGGCGGUUUCCUUGACACGUCUUGUCACAGCAGAGAUCGUGUCCCCUUAUCACGGGAUUCUCAUCAAUACGGAUAUGAGUAAUCCCACCAUGCCAUCAACCGUGGCGCUUGGGAAGUAAGCGGUUCUCAACGGGCUAGAGGGGAGGCGCACCGCUUUCGUCGCCUCUAUAAAGGGAUAAGAGUUCCCCAUUUUUACCUGCGCCUUCUUCCUCCUUUGCCCACUCUUGCCCCCUCGAGCUCUAGCGUCCUAGUCCAAGUCUUCUCCGCACAGCUAAACAUGUCCGGAGUAGGAGGCAAGUGGGUGGCUUCCACUGUAAAGGAAAAGCACAUCGCGAAUCUUUGGGCGGCCGGAUACUUGGCCGCAGACAUAGCGCACCGGCUACCAGACGACGGGCAGGUCGUUCCAACUCCAGGACCCCACGAGAGGGUCGUGUUCCUCGCCCACUUCGUCCGUGGACUGGGGUUUCCACUUCACCCCUUCGUCCGUGGGCUCAUGUUCUACUACGAGCUAGAUUUCCAUGAUCUAGCCCCAAACUUUGUCCUCAACAUCUCGGCGUUCAUUGUCGUAUGCGAGGCUUUCCUCCGCAUCAAGCCUCAUUUCGGCUUGGGGCUGCAAAUCUUCUGCGUGAAGCCGAAGAUAGUGAGCGGCCAGCAAGCGGAGUGCGGAGGAGCCAUGGUGGGCAAGAUGCCUAACGUCACCUGGCUCGACGGCUCUUUUGCGGAAACCGUGAAGGGGUGGCAAUCGGGGUGGUUCUACAUAACCGAGCCGCGCGACGCCAACUGGGCGGUGGCCCCCGAGUUCCGAUUUGGAACCCCCAUGCGGCUCACCUCCUGGGAACAGAAGGGCCUGUCCUGGGGCGAAUCUAUAGAGCUGUCCGGACUCAUAAACUGCAUCAAGGGCAUGAGGGACAAGAACAUCAAGCUUGUCAACGUGAUCCAGGUCAUGCUCAUUCGCCGAAUUCUGCCGUGCCAAUGGAGGGCAUUCAAUCUGUGGGAGUUCGUCCCGGCUGAACACCAGACGCUUCAAAGGCUCUAUGGCAUGAAGCACAAAAACGCAUGGAAGGCGUUGUUCAAGGCCUCCGAAGUACCUCCUCCCAUAUCCAAGGACCGCGGGCUCCAUGCCGCGCGGCUUCCUAAUCAGGUGAGUUCUCAGACCGCCACUGGAUUCGGUUCUUCCCAGUAUAUUCAUGGGGGAGCCUUAAGCAAUUGUGCAUAUUUGUUUAGGAUUAUGUGGAGACAGCGAAGCAGAUUGACUAUCCGGCUCCGCUGCCAGAAAGCCCAACUGAUACUCUUCUGACGAAGAUGCUGGUCCCGGCGCCCUAUAAGGGGCCGGAAAAGAAGGCCGAUAAGAAGGCCCCGGGGAUCCAAAAGGGUCUCCGGCGUAAGGUUGCGCAAGCCUCGUCCGAAGACGACAAGGCAUACUCCUCCCCUGAACGGGAGGAAGAAGAAGAGGAGGCCGCCCCGUCCAGAAAGGACGAGGGGCCUGAGAGGAUGGACCAGGGGGCCAGGAGAGGCCCCUGGCGCAAGGCCAUCAAACCCUUGUCGUCUGAUGACGACGAGGCAGAUUCCUCCCGCAGAGGUGGGAGGGGGGGGGACAAGAAGAAACUCCACCUCCCCGUAUUGGGGGGGGGGGGGAAGAGGAAGGCCGCCCCAGAGGGGGAGGCUGGGACGUCCAAGAAGGGAAAGGCGUCCCUUCCGGACUACUCCGCCACCGCCGCCGAUAGCGAGGAGGGGUGGCUACCCAGGAAGAAGCCCGCAGUGCGAUCGUAAGUAUCCGCACUCUAUCGUAAUUUUGCUUCACAGUUUUGUUAUAACACCGAACUUAUAUGCAGUCCAGCCAGGGUCCAUCCCGAAGCAUCGUCUUCGGAUGGGUCCUUGAGUGAUUCGGCGAUGAACUCGCUCCCGACGGCCACUACUCCUCAGCCUGCAGAUGACACGGAGGUGUUAUCCCAAAGGCUCUCAGAGCAGGGGGAGGCGGGUCUGGAGGCGCUCCAAGGCGGCGUUCCAGACGUUGGACACGUGGGGUUCAAGAUCCCCGCGGAUCGUGUUGAUGAGAGCCGCAGUAAGCCGGACUCUCAGCCAAACACCUUUCCGGAGCCUUCAAUGGUUCCGGACUCAGGCGGGCAGCCCCUCAUUAGGGAGGGAGGGCCGUUUGUGUCGAGGACUUCCGUUGCGCCCGAAGCGUCGGAUUGUCUGCUGGAGGCGCUUCGUGGCGCUUCCAUAGAUGAAGAGCACCGUACUCUUAUGAGUGUAGUGAUUCAGAAGGUUUCGUCCGCCAAGAGCGGACUAAC